rnacentral:lncRNA from 1 species
ACAUCGCUAAGAACGGUCUUGGUCUCGCCGUAGUACUUCUCGGCUUCGGCGGGGCUCUUGAUCUUGGCUGCAUGGUCAAGCUGCAAAAACGGAGGAAAAUAAUAAUAAUCUCACACAAGUCAGUCCUGAAAUCCUCGUGAAAACGAUCAGGUUUGCUGUAAAAACGGAGUGGAUGUAUGUGAAUUGGCGAGAUGUUUUACUUACCCCGUCGAGGGUGUCGAAGAGCUUCCCGGUGAGGUCCUUGAGGUCCUUCUUCUCCUCCUUGGUGGCCUUGGAGGAGAUGACGGUCUUGAGGUCGUAGCGCAGGUAGGAGGCCCUGAGGCGGAGGUCGUUCAUGACGUACGGCCAUUGCUUCUUGUCGAUGAGCGGCUUGAGGUUGAGGAUGUCCUGGGCCGACUCCUUGGCCCGGGCCGCCGCCGCCGCCGGAGGCAGCGGCUGCAGGUAGAAGCGGUUCUUCAGGGGGAGCGCGAAGUCCCUCGCCUCGUCCGAGUUCUCCGUCCCGGCUGUACCACAACCCCAAAUCAUCCAUCAUUACACAUCAUUUUUCAAUUGAAAUUCUACAAAAAAAGGUAGUAAUUCGUGCACGAGCAGUAGUUAUCUGGAGGCACUCACGGAGUCCACCGGAGGGAAGCGGCGGCGGGCCAACCUUGAUGGGGUUGACGGCCGCGAGCACCGCCUGUGCGAACGCGCCGCCGGCGACCCCGCUGGCCAUGAGGCCAAGGACCGCGCGGCGGCCGGCGGUCUCGGCCUCCGCCGACGCCCUCACGGUGAGCUUGCUGGCGCCGCGCCGGCCGGCCGGGCCUGGAAGGCGCACGCCCUGCGCCGAGGUCAAGCCGGUCAUGGACGCCAUGGCCUGUGCCAUCUCGAGCUUUGCGUUUUCUCUUGGGGAUCGAGGAGGAGGUAACGAUCGAUCUCUCGCUCCACCAGUGGCGGCCAGCGUGCCGGAAAUAUACGAGGGAGCCUUCGCCGUCGCCAACCUUAUCUGACUGGAUAAGUUGGGGGCCAGUGCGGGGGCGCCAUGUGGCAUGGUGCAUCGCCUGGCCUCCCCAUUUGGAUUGCGCUGUGGCCAAUGGGCGGCUGCGGCUCCUGGCAUGUGUGGUGAGCUCCUCGUCGGUGCUUGGGCUUCAGUUGGCCAGUGACAUUUUCGUGUUUUGUCGGUUUGUUCGUUUUGGAUAAUUUUUCUUCCCAGGAGACACAAUGGACAGCGCCAUUAGUACGAAUUUUUGUGGGGGAAAUUCAUAUUUUCAGCCUGUUACGAGAAUUGGCGGAAUCACAUAGAAACAUUUGAAAGGAACAUAAAAGUUAUCAGAAUAUUCGAAAGCUCCGUAUGGAAGCUCAUCAACAUGAGAGGGCAUUUGAAGUUUAAUCCCUCUUUGAUUCACAUGAUUUCUAAAAUGUGUAAAUAGGAAAACGUAAGCAUUGUAUGUCAUAGCAUGUUGUUUCUCACAUAAUUAAAAAACACACAGAAAUAAGAGCAAGACAAGUUAUUUGAUUACACUAAAAAUACAGAUAAAGUUUCAAUAGGGAUUAGGUCAAUGCCAUACUUGUUUAAGAAAACAAAGAAGAUAUUUCAAGAGGCUUGACUCAAUGAGAAUUUUCUUUCAGAAUUGGUGCAAGUGAACCAUACAACAGAUUCCUAUAGAUUCUAAUCCUACAAGUCAUAUAAUCCACAUAUCGAGAGGUGUAAGAGCCGGUUCCUAUCAUAGAAUCCGAAAAUUUAGCUUGAAUUUAAUUGAGUAUAUGAACUCAAUCGACAUUCCGUGGAAUCACUUCUGUACUCAAACCCCAAUUUUGUUAUAAAAGACACCAUUCCUCUCUGGAUUUGUCUCGAUUUUUACGAAUCCAUGUCACUGACAAACAUGCCUUUUGAAUUCAAAAUUUAAAUUUAGCAAAAAAAAAUGAUUUUCGGAGGGCUACCAAACAAGCUGAACCGUGAGAAAGAGAGAAAAAAAUACUCUCAGUUGAUUAAUCCCACAAAGUGAGAAAGAGGAAUCAUGCAAUAGCCGCAGGAUUAGAUUGCAAUGAACUCGCGUUCAUUUUUCAGAAACACGGAGGCGGUGCCCUCUGUAUCAUUUGCACCCACGGUGCUAGCCACAAGUUUGCCUUUUUGUCUCAUUCUUUCUCUCUCUCCACUUUAAAUUAGAGAGGUUAAACAGUCUGACCACUGACAACCUUUUGCUCUUCUCUUUUUCUUUCUCUCUCCCAUUUUAAGUAUAUUAUGGUACAUGACAUAUUUUUGAAUUACAUAUUUAUAUUUAGUAAAUUAUGAUAUAUGUAUUGUACCUUAAUAGUUUUUAAAUAUCUCCUGUACAUGAAUUUAUGAUACGGGUACAUCGUAUGGUACAUCACAUUACCUUAACAAUUUGUGAGUACCUCGUGCACAUGACGAGUACAUGAAGGUAUAUGAUGAUUACGUGAAGGUACAUCACAAAUACAAUUAACAAGUACCACAUCAACGAUAAAUUACAUCAUGUACCGGGACAAAAUUAGAACACAAACAUUCAUAAAUAACUACUACCUCGUCAUGUACCAUGGGUACAUGAUGGUACUCAAAUAAACAUUUAAAUAGGAAACCACAAAGAUUCAAAAAUCACAUGGUACAUGAUGGUGCUCCAAAAUCACAUGAUACAUGAUGGUACUUCAAAAUCACAACACAAAAUCAUGGUACAAGAUGGAUCCAAAAUAAAAAUUCACAUGGUACACCAAAAAUCAAAAUAAAAAAUCACAGCAAAAUCACCGGAACAGGAGCUCUCCGCGGAGAAGCCCAGGACAGAGCUCUCCGUGGUGGCGGGGACGGGAGCGGGGGCGGACACGGACGCGGGACGAUGUCGUCGCCGGAGUUGAGGACGGCGGCGGCCAAACCCACUGCCAGCCAGGAAGAGAUGAACAGGUUUCUGGAAAGAGGAUCGAUUGGAGGGACCGUACGGAGGAGAGAGGGAAGCUGGGACCGACUGCUAAUUAGAUGGGAUGGGCAGAGAAUUAAGGAAAAGAAAAGGAGAAUUAAGGAAAGGGGAGGACAGGUGGUUGGUAUAUACGGUAGGUGCAAAUGCCAUGCAGCGUACCGGGAGGUUUGGCUGCCAGACUUGCCAAGAUCGUGCCAAAAGGUUGCAACUGCGCGACCGCGGAAGCGCCCAAAAUCAAACCCUCUCGCUCGCCAGUCGCCACCAUCAAUGGCGGUUCGCCGCGGCCGGCGGCGACCACGCCCUCCCUCCUCGACCCAACCGCUCCCUCCGCGGCACCCCGUUCGUUAAGCGCUUGCGCAAGGCCGACCCCUGCGUUCAGCAGACGAGCCUCUCUCCCUUACUGACGGCGGCCUCACAUGCAGGGUCUUUCCGCAGCUCCACUCCCACGGGCCACGGGAUCUGAUGCGAUGGCUGUGCGCGCGUUCCCGCGACCCGCGGCGCGGUUACGCUCUCCGGCAGGCACCCUUACCUGAGCCUCCCCGCCCGGCUGCCUCGCCCGACAACUUCAUCCUCACUCCUCAGCGAGCGCCCUCUGUGAGCAAAAUCCCUACUUCAGUUUAACCGCCAUUGCCAGACGAAUCUGUAGCAACUUGAGACCUAACAACAAUUGAGUAAUGUAUUACGACAGUCAACUAUGUUACCUGACGAGUGUGACGAAGUUACGUGUAAUUUAGCAGCAGGUAGAAAUUUGUAGUGUCGAAGUAUGAGUUUUAUACUUUUGUAUUGGUUCCCUGUAUUUGAUUUGGUUAAACACUUAGUUCUAUCCGCAGUAGUCCACUUACUAGUUGACCAAUAAUAGUCGAGUAGGAACUCCCGUUUUGUUAACUCCUUAGGAGGAUUCAAAGAAUUUCUAGGUUUGGUUUCCUCUUGGGGUCUCUGUAUGUAACUAACAAGAUGAAAUCGUGUGUUACUGCAGAAGUGCAGAGGCGGACCUUUGAAAAGACUGAAAAUUGUCUGCAGUGGAACUCCCGUUUUGUUAAAGUAGUUUUCGAGAUUGCAUGGCGUGGUUAACUCUAUGAUAUUACAGGAUAUGUAUGGAAGGUAAGACUCUUCUGUAUUCCAUAAGUUUCCGCUACUAGAUACAUUUCUUACAGCUGUAGUCUUUUAGGAGAGUGAGGUUCAUCUUUGAUGGGGCUUCUCAUCACUGGUUUCUUAUUUGAGAGCACAACUACAUGAGAGACAUGAUAAUCAACAUACAUGGUACACACCUUGGGCCACCAUGCCUGGUGGUUGGUUCUGAUGGGAAACAACCUAGUUUGUCAGUUACCUAAAAGGUUUCCAUUGUGUACUAUUAACUAUUGUAAUUAUGAGCCAUUAAUUCUUACUUUGCACCAGAGAAAUACGAAGAAAACAAUCAUAGUCCAAAUCAUUUUUCAUUAGGACGCUCUUUGCUUCACCCCUCUGAUUUUAGUCUGUCAUUGCAUCAUCCAAUCAAACUCUGUUUAGCUGGAUAGUCAUCUUGAUUCCUUUCAUUAAUUAUGACCAAUUCACGAUAUCACUUUCUAUUUUCAUCGAUCACCCAGUGGAUCAAAUCCAGUUCUAGCAGUAGCAGCAGAAGCCUGGGUAGCAGUUAAAUUUAUGCUGUUAAAAAGCCACACAAUAAAUAAACCAUACACACAAACUGUUUUAUUCGUUCACUCAAACACAUACAGCGACAUGGGGGCCAAGGUCACAUGUAUCACAGCAUAUCAGAGAGGCAUCAAGCCUCAUGAUUUUAUUAUUGUCACACCAUAUGAUUAUAACCUCUUAACACAUCAGUUUAUUUAUUCUCGGCCUACUUCCACACAGUAGCCUUAUUUCUGUUUACCAGCACCUCUUGGCCCUUCUUGUACACUGCAUGGGGAGAUUUUAAACUGGCAGGUCGGUGUUCUCAUCAAAGGGGAACGGGUCCAACUUUGGUUGCGCUGCUUGUAAGAUCUUUUGAAUUGGCAUUUCUGGCGUUGAUCUUUCCAGAGGUGCAAUUGGAUCAACACUUGGGUCAUGAUCCUGAAAAUUAAGAAUUAAAGAUUAUUAUAAUAGAUAGGUGCAAAUGAUGCUUUUCUUUAGUUUUUGAGAUGUCUUGAUUUGCAUGAGUGGCACUGACCUGGUUAGCAUGCAUUCUCUUGACAAAAGUUUGGAAAGUGACAUAGUUCUGUCCCUGUAGCAGCUCAUCUGAUAACCGGAGGUAGGUGAAUCCAUGCAGCUUGUGCUCCGGAGGGCCACUCUUGUUGACACCUUUUGGUCUCGCAUUUCUGAGUAUAGUGUUGUACCCCGUUGCAUCAUAUCGACCAAGCGCGUUUUCGCAGGCCACAUCUAAGCCCUCUCUCCAUCCAGCACUCAGCACCUGGGAAUUUUGAUAAGAAGUGAUUCAGUGAUUCCGUAAAAGAGAAGUGCAGAAGCCCUAGUCAUAAAUCACUGGGCAGUGGCUAAUGGUGUAGUUACCUGUUGGACUAGUUCUUCUGGUGCACUCUUCGCCUCUGAGCUCUGCUCGGAGUCCCUCAUCUCUGCACAAGUGAAGUUGAGGCUAGCAUGAUGCCUCUUGAGCAUGCGUGCUAUGGUUCUGUAGCCGUCUCUGUCAUCUAAGUUGUAGUACCCGGCAGUGAGCUCGGCUGCAUGGUUUGGAACCCUGUACCACCAGUGAAUGCCAGAUAUCUGCAACCAAACAUCGGAUCAUGUCUCAUUUACGUUCGAGAUUAAGUAAUGGAGUUGCCUAUACAUCCUCGAUCUGUCCUUUAACCUCAAGUCUAAUGUUAAUAGCAAACAUUGUGCAAUCCUUGUUGUUUAUUUAGAUUAUCUUUCUGACCUUAUCAAAUGAUCUACCAUAAUAAGCACAGAUCUUGAGAAAGGUACUUACUUUUUUUUUGAAAAGUAAAAAGAAGGUACUUACUUUGAUUGCCAGCUGCACUGUAUAUCCCACGAAGACCUUGUUUGCUUCAUCCAGGAUCUUGUCACCGUGCUUGAUCAGUUUGUUGGAGUACCAUGAGAGGAAAAAAUCCCCCUUCUCGGUGACGUAUGUUCCGUUGUCCUUGAAGAAUUGGGUCUUCUCGGGAGUGUCAUUGUACUCCCCAGCAUCAUCAGGCAAUUCCCACUCAGGAUGACCAGCCUUCGCUGCUGCUGCUUUGAAGUCUGCUACCAGGUACUUAUCGUAGCACUGCAGAUUAUUUUUGUUAUAGUAUAAUACCAGUCAGUUAGAACAGUUCACUGAAGUCCUUUUGUCUGGUAGUGGUGAUAUAUUUUUUAACAUUUUUUUAUUUCAUCUUGUGGUAUUGUCUGUUUUUAGAUGUACGUUUGAUUCCAUCUGCUUUUGCCGCUUAACCGUGUGACUGUGGUCUCACGUUUGCGUCUGGUACAUUCCUCAAAAGAAUAGUGUGGCCGUUUUAUCCAAACGUCUCUUUUGAUCAGAAUCACUUUGACGUUAGCUGUUUCUUUUGUAAAGGAGCUUUCUCAAUGGAUAUCGUCACUUGGACAAAAAUUAAAUUGACCUCGGUCAGGUUUUCUGUUAGUUAGUAUGGCAGAAAGCACUCACGAUGAAUUCUCCGAUGCCUGGAAACACCCAUCCCUGGCUCUGGGGAUAGGAGGGGUACCUCAUCUCUCCAGCCGGGCCGAGCCCCACCUCAAUGUCCACAAUGACACCAGCAUUCAAGAACUCUUUCAUGUUCUCCCUGAAGCUCGCCAUGUAAUCAGUAUACAUCUAUCACACCCACAAAGGAGAACCAAAUUAAAGCUUCCCACCAUGAGCGUACAUUCGCAUCAAAAUCGCAACUAUAUAUGCCGUUGCCCAGAUUCAUCUGACCAGACCACCGUAUAUAUAUAUGCAAGUAGAGGUGGCUUACCUGAAUUGCAGUUCUUCCGUGGAAGAGAGGCUGGUCGUCCACUCCAAGAGUGAGGUACUCGAUGUUCCUCUUCCCGCUCCGGUUGGUGCAGAAAAUGUCGGGAUCGGUCGCGCCGAUGUCCCGCACCCACUGUGGGAUCGGGAUGUUGACGACGUCGCCGACGUUGCCACCGCACUGGUGGAACGACAUGAUGGCCUGCAGCUUCAGCCCGGCCUCCUGCACCAGCUCGAACACCUGCUUGUAAGCGCUCCAGUCGUAGGCCUUGGGGCCCUUGCCCUCCACCAGGCCCCACCAGACGUCUAUCAUGACGCCAUCGACGCCGGCUUCCGUCAGCUUCUUCAGCUGCGCCCUUAGCUUGUCGCCCUUCUCGAACUUGUUGUCUACGCUCACAACAUCCAGCUGUUUUUUUUUUUCGCCGGGACAAUCAAAUCAGGGUUAGUACAGAAUUCCGUCCAUUCAUGGCUCUAGUCGACUUGUCUAUGAUUUCACGCAUGAACUAGAGUUUAUACAUAUCGCUAAUGUACUACAAUAUGCAUUAGAUCCUUGAAACGGUGUAUCAGUGAAUGGAUGAGCUUAGCUUACAGGGAGCAUGACGUUGACUUGGACAUAGUUGGCUAGCAAGCUCCCCGCCAUUGUGGCUUCUGGCUAUGCAGUACUAUGCUUUGGAAACACUGCGCUGAACUUGGUUUGAUGGAUGCUGCAGGGAGCCUAGGGGGUCUAUUUAUACUGCGAAAGGGUGGUGGGUGGCAGCUGAGAAAAUAUAUUUUCCUCUCAUUGAGUGACGUUUUUUUUUUGGGGGAAAUGUAUUGAGUGAAGGUUGGGUAACUCAUACGUCCGUUUGGAGCGGCGAUGUUUAUCAAGUAUACUAGAAAAAGGUUUCUGAAGUAUAUCCGUUCAGGUUAUUUGAAGCCCCACUUCUGACACCAUGUUCUUUGUGAUCUAGAAACCCGUAGUGUUUCUAGAGAAAAGGCUUUUCAGUUCAGCUUUAUUAGAAAGCCGAACAAGAUUCAGCUGGGAGUUACAGCGUUACAGGAUAGGAUCACCACCAACGUAGCUAAAGUAUCAAAAGGGAUAACAGCACUCCAGCCAGAUGUGCACACAAGCACUACUACCAACAAACUACAAACCUCAACAUAACAGCAUAGACUACACCAGUCCGGAUUUGAUUAACAUUGGCAAGCCGGACCACAUCUUGAAUUUGCUUCAUCAUCGCCUCCAUCGCCAUGCGCCCUUUUUCAUGAAGAGCUAUCCAACGUGUAAGUAACGCCAUGGCUUUGAACACAACCCAUACCGCCAACCUCUUUAGGACGAUAAAGGUCUUCCCACUUCACCGUAUGAUACCUCCUCUUAUCUCCAAUUCCUUCCCAAAUUUUUUCGGCUGAAUAGAGUCUAAUUUCGCAUGAAUUCCCUCAUUCAACUUAUAGAACCCCAUCAUGUAAGUUGGAAUAUUGUCGAAGCAAGCAUCACAAACGGGAGUAAAGUUCUCCAACAACAACUUCUUAGGGGCCACUGGAAUGCCCAGAUAUUUCAAUAGAAAGUGUCCAACUUCACAAUUCAGCAAAGAAGCAAUCCUAUACUGCUCUUGUUCAUCACACCCAACAACAAAGACCUCACUCUUUGUGUAGUUGAUUUUAAGACCCAGCAUCUCCUCAAAACAAUAGAGAAGAAACUUCACCAUCGCAAUUUUUAAGGAACAAAACUGUAUCAUCCGCAUACUGCAAGCGUAAAAUUCCUCAUGGGACAAGAUGCGGCAACAAGCCUCCCAUAUGAUUCUUAUCCUUCGCAGAUUGAAGCAUGAUGGCCAACGCUCACCAAAUUAAAAAGCGGAUCUCUCUGCCGCAAACCCCUAAGAGUCCUAAAAUAUUCAGAAUAUACAGAAACCCGUAGUUUACACGUACGAGUUUUUCACGUACCCAUAAAAUGUGUAAUGCCGAUGGGCUCGAUGCACCGACCACCCAUGCAGGGCCGGCCUACCCGGGCGCGGGGACGGAUGAUGAUGAUUUGACAUGAUGUGAUAUGAACAUGGACGGAUCAUCGUCUCCCCGCCGCGAAUUUUUUUUGCCACCGGUGGAACGGAACCAUCGACGCCAACCGUCCAAUUAAACAACGGUACCAGCGACCGGAAUCGUGAAAUCUCCCUGGCAAACCCGACCCAAAUCCGUCGCACUACGGAACAAAAAAUGUACUACGUAGGCAGGCACUGCCCAAUCAUGGAGCUAAUCUAUGAAGCACGUUCCCAAAAUCGUCCGUGGUUCGGUGCGUGCUGCUUCGUCGAUCUUAUACGUACCACAAAAGCACAUGAGCGCGACGCUUUAUUAAUUCUUGCGGGGUUCACUGUACCUGUCAGACUUAAUUCACGGUCGAUCCACUGAUGGAGCCACUCAUCAAUGCACGUGCCUCUGAGCUGUAGCGUGGAGUCUCACACCACAAUUUCUGUCCAUCUGAUCAGGUCCCCUACGUGGCGAAUCCGUCCAAGAAAAGAAGUGGUAAUUUUCGUGCUUGUUAAGAGUGAUCUGCUGCUACCACUAGACUCGUGUAUGUCGAAGAUUUACUCAUCUGUUGAGUUGUGUUAUCGUGUAAAAACCGUAAGAUGGGAUUAUGUAUGAGGCCAUAGGGGCUUUUCAACCGAAUACCCAUUCGACCUUCUCGAACACCCAGUCGAUGAACUCCGCGAGGUCGCCGCCGACGGUCAUGUCCGUCUCGGGGUCGAACGGGUACGGCGCCUCCGGCGAAGUCGCCUCCAGCAGCUUGUCCACGGGCAUCGCCGGCCUCGACCGCUCCAGGGGCUUCAGCGGCCGGAGGUACCGGGCCGGAUCAGGGCAGUAAUCCUGAAAUCAAACCAACAGCCCAUUGCAUAUUGUCACAAGUAUUGGGCCUAACAGAGCCCAUGUUACGAAACCCAAAGGCGAAUCUUAUGUUGGGGUUUACCUGGUCGGCGUGCAUUUUCCGGACGAAGGUUUUGAAGGCCCGGAACUUGUUCCCGGCCAGGAGCUGCUCCGUCAGCCGGAGGUACGUGACAGCAGCUAGCCGAGGCCGAGCGCCGCCGACGCCGUUGGGCCGCGCGUUCUUGAGCAUCUGGUUGUAGGCCCGGCGGUCAUACCUGGGCAGCGCGUUCUCACAGGCCACCUCGGUCCCCUCCCUCCACCCGGCGCUCAGCACUUGCUGGACGAGCUCCUCCGGCCCGCUAAGGGCCUCCUGGGCCUGCUCCGAGUUCCUCAUCUCCGCGCAGGUGAAGUUGAGCACGGCGCCGUCGUGCCGCGCCAGCAUGCGCGCCACCGGGCCGUAGCCGUCGCGGCCGCCCACGUUGUAGUACCCGGCGGUGAGCUCCGCCGCGUGGCUCGGGUGCCUGUACCACCAGUGGAUCCCGGACACCUUUGCGGCGAGCUUGACGGUGCAGCCCAGGAAGGCUUUGUUGGCUUCGUCCAUGAUCCUGUCCCCGUGCUCGAGCAGCUUGUUGGAGUACCAUGUCAAGAAGAACUUGCCCUUCUCGGUGAGGUACGUCGGGGUGUCGGGGCCGUCCGCCGUGAAGAAGGCCGUGUCGUCUGGCGUGUCGUUGUACUCUCCGGCGUCGUCCGGGAGCUCCCACUCCGGGUGCCCGGCCUCCGCCGCCGCCGCUCUGAAAUUCUCCUCCAGGUACCUGUCGUAGCACUGCAGCAUAGCAACGCCGUUUAGUUAACAAUCUGAAGCAAGGCUCACCAAACAAUUGCAGAGUACGUAGUGCUUCUUGUUGUUCUGAAAGUCUUGUCAGUUGGGCAGAGAGGGAUAUAUAUAACUAGGAGGCCUACUUGGAACUGUCCGAUGCCGGGGAACGCCCACCCCUGGCUCUCGGGGUAGGAUGGGUACCUCAGCUCGCCGGCAGGGCCAAGCCCGACCUCGAUGUCCACGAUCAGUCCAGACUCCAGGAAGUCCGCCAUGUUCUCUCUGAAGCUCUUCAUGAAAUCGGCGUACAGCUGCAGUACACGUCGUCCGCGAUCAAAUUAACUGUCUUUGAUGGUUAUAUCCUGCAAUUUUCAACGGACAGAGCAUCCGUGUAUACAUACCUGGAUGGCAGUUCUGCCGUGGAACAGGGGACGGUCGUCGACGCCGAUGGUGAGGUACUCCUGGUUCCUGGCCCCGCCGGGGCUCGUGUAGAACACGUCCGGGUCCGCCUCCCCGACUUCCCGGACCCACGCCGGGAUCGGGAUGUUGACGGCGUCGCCGACGUUGCCGCCGCAGGCGUGGAACGACAUGAUGACCUGCAGCUUGAGCCCUGCCUCCUGCGCCAGGCGGAACAGCUCCCUGUACGCGCGCCACUCGUACCGCGCCGGCCCGGCGCGCUCCACGAUGCCCCACCACACGUCCGCCAUCACGCCGUCCACGCCGGCCUCGCGCAGCCGCCGCAGCUGCGCCCGGAGCGCCCCCGCGCCCUCCACCUCGUUCUCCGCGGUGAUCACUUCCAGCUGCGUUAAUUACAACGUUGAAUCGCCGACCGUAAGCCAUAAUAGUUGUCGAAACCACAUGGGUUUGCUCUGUUUCUUACUUACGGGGAGCAUGACGAAGACCGGGACGUAGCUGGCCAGCGUCUUGUCCUCGUCGGCGUCCGAUGGCGGGGGCUGUGGUGCAGGAGAAGUCUGCGCGGUCUCGGCGGCGACAGCUCGGACGGAGGCGGCCGCCGCCCUCCCGGAAUGGACGACGAGCCGCCCAGUGCUUGCCGGUGGAAGGGGCGCCGACGCCCUUCUACGGCAGCUUCCCCAUGGCUGCACCUUGACCUGUGAUGACGGUGAGGUCGCGAGCAUGGUGUGUGUGUGUGUGUAUGCAUUUCUUGAUUGCCUUCUCUUCGAGUGUCUGAUGUACCACUGCGAUUUUGCCUUGUUCGGUCGACGAUAUUUUGGCGUGUCUGUGCUGUGUAUGUAAGUGGCCGGCCGGUCGCCGUUGCCAUGGGAUCCGCGUGACACACGAAUCUGCUCCCUUUCUUCGCGAUGUGUAGCCAUGGGAGGAGGAGCCUGCCCGGACCUUCCUGCGGGUGUCCAUCUGAAGGUGUGGUUUGCGUGAGCCGUGUGUUUUCUGCGGGUGUGCAUCGCUCGUUUUUGUCCGUAGCUUUUCCUGUUUUCGUCGUGAACGUUUGGUGUUGGAGAGAGGCUUGAGGUUGUUUGUAUCUUUGGAGCUAGCUCUAGCAAGGUUGCAGAUUCUUAGGGCCUCCGCAAUGUGCGGCAAAUUGGGAUGUCAAAUUGUCAAUCUAGACUUUGAUACCGGUGUACACACUGUAGAGGUGGUGCCAAAUCAGAAAAAAAUGGGUACGAGCACCUUCCGGCUUCGAUGCUGUCAACCCCGGGAAUACCAGAGUAUCCCGCCCGGGAGUGUGGCUCGCAGGAACUAUCCAAAGACUUGGCACAUCUCCGAAAAGAGUUCGACUGGGGCUCCGCGAAGGCGUCUGCCACCACCCGCGGGAAGGAAUGUGUCUGCCGUGGCAUCAGCUAGUCACGAGCGAACUCUUUGGCGUCCCGUCGAUUGGUAGUUUCGCGUCCAUGGACUCCGACGAAGUCAACAGGGCCUGCGAACCGUGGGCAUGACGAUCCUCACGCAUGGCUAGAGGCUGGAUGCAGCGAGCUCAUCCCUUACUUUUGAUCAGGUAAAGUCCUUUGUGCAGAGUUUCACCUCACCGGACUCGACAAGUCCUGAAGACCCCCCGCGCCACGGACGUGGCGCAGUACGCAUGUACAUAACCACACAGCACACAGGGCAGCCGACCAGCUUCAGAUUCAUGUUGCAGUGCGGAAAUCCCCUUGCAGUAAAACCCUAGCCGCCACUGUGGUGACCCCUUACCACUGUAAAAGAAGGGCCAUGGCUUCCAUAGCAAGGAUCGGAUCAUACUGCGGCCAAUUGAGCCGCCCUCCAAGGUUGAGAGCUCACCCUUGUAAUCAAGAAACAACCACCAUUUCAACAAAGCAGGACCUAAGUUUUACACCUCCAGGUAAGCUGGACAUGGGUAAAUAUCCCCGUGUCUUGAGAUUGAAGAAGAGGCUUGUGUCACUCUCGCAUUCCAACACCAAACCACAAAGAUUGGUUUUUGUUUGAGGGAAAAGAAAUAGUAGAUCAAUUGAUCUACUGUAACAGAGAAUAUGUACAAUGAUUAUCUAAAGUUUCUAAGCCAGUCAAUCAUGUCCGGAAUAGAUUUUCUCUUAGCACGACGGAAAACAAGAUUCAUUUCAUCUCUGAAGAUGGUGUCCUGACUCCCGGUAUCAGUGUGCAAAAUUGUGUCGUGCUACAUUUUUUUGUGAUGAGUCGAGAGAGUUACAUAAUGUUUUUAUUUUGAGUUGGGUCCUACUCCGCCGGUAAAACUGCGGACAUUGGAGACCAACAUUGCUUUUGCUAAACUUUAGCUAUUUUCUCCGACACAUAUUACUUGUCUGAAAUUUGUCAAAUAUGAAUAUAUCUAUGUUUAAGAUGGAUAGUAGGGAGUAGUUGAUUUUUUUUUCAGCGUCAGUCGCUUUGAUUUUGGCGCACGAAUUCUUUACUCCACGUCGGGCUGCUGCGUGUCCCGGCUCUCCGCGUCCGGCUGUUGCCCUUGGGCUGCUGUUGGUCUUUUUCGUUUUCGGCUGGACUGGAUAUUUAGGCCGAGCCCGUGCCGGGGCUGAGUUCUCUGAGUUGUCCCCCUUUUAUUUCAUUUAGCAGUGUUCUUUUCUUUUUUUACGAGGAAUUUAACAGUGUUCUUCGGAGAGCUCUAGAGAGAAGAGGGGGAGAAGAGAAGAAAGGGACAGCUUCGAGGGAAUUCGGCAAUGCUGCGGCGGUUGUUGGGAAACGGGAUGCUGCAACAGGAAGCGGCCUCGUCUAGCUCGGUAUGGAUUUUGCUCUUCAAAUCCCACGCUCGUUCAUGCUAAAAUGUCCCCGUGUGUUUUGUUUUACUGUCUUUUUCUAGACCACCGUGUGAUGAAUUCAGCUUUGUCAUUGGAUUUUUUUUCUGUAGCACAAAGUGGUGUUGGUAAGCAUUUAAUUUGAUGGCAAAUGACUGAUAGAGAUUUCUCGCAAAAAAAAAAGACUGAUAGAGAUGCACAAAGAGAGAGCAGUAGUAUAAGAUUUACUUAUGUCGGCAACUAUUGAGAUUUUUCUUUUUCUUUCGAGUCUCUGUCUGAACCGAUAUUUCUAUUCUAAGCAUUUGUUUCUGAGUUUAUGUCCAUGUAUUUUUGCCAAUUGGUUAGUGCUUCUAUGCACUCCGUACGUGUAUUUAACACCUAGUUUGGUUUACUAAUAGAAACCAAAAUUUGAUGCUGCGGCUAUUUGGGCACUUAACGGAGGAAUGUGCGUGUAAGAGAAAAUAGAUAGUUCUGAAUACCGUGAGUCAUCCAUUUCUCUACUCCCUCCGUCUCAUAUUAAGUGAUUCAAAAUUGUUCAAAUAUGAAUGUAUCUAUACCUAAAAAAGUCUAACGUCUAGAUACAUGUAAGAAAUCACUUAAUAUGAGACGGAGUGAGUAUGUAAUAGUGACCACGUUCUUUAUGUUAUUCAUUUUGUUCGCAGAGUUGAGGGCUGUGAAAAUAGAUUCUUAACUGGUUUGCCAACAUUGUCUAUUGUUUGUAGAAGGCAAAUUUCUAUUGUAUUAAAAUUCACAUUUCUUAGCAUUUAAUUAAUUACCUUUAUUCAUCUAUGCAUUAAUUGUAAGAUAUUACACUAAGAGAUGAUUUGGUGUACAACAUGUUUUGUUGUCUUUUCUAAAUGAGGUGAAACGCACAAGAGAAUACAGUCUUAUCAACCAUUGUAUAUGUACUUAUGUGUUUCAUGUCAUUUAAAAAAUAUAACAAAAUAUGUUGUACAAUAGCUUAUCUUUUAGUGUCAUGUCUUACCAUUAAUGCUUACAUGAAUAAAAUUAACUAAAUAAAUAUGCUAAGAAAAUGUAAAAUCUAGAGUACAAUGAAAACUUGCUUUAUCCUUCUUGUGAAAAUCAUCUCUUAAUUAAGAAAAGACUCGUGCCUUUUGUUCAGUUCUCUCACUUACACGCCAGAUUUUAUCCUACGUGAUAUUGUUAAGAAAAAGCUGAUGUCACCCCAUUGUACUUGUCCUUAUUCGAUUUGUAACUUCACGUCACAUAAUUACAUACUCUCUCCGUCACACAAUUCUUGUCUCAAAUUUGCCCAAAUAUGAAUAUAUCUAUUCCUAAAAGGCGUCUAGAUACAUGUAAUAUUUUAACAAGUAUGAAAUGGAAGGAGUAUUGGUAAGUUAUGAUUGGUCAAAUCUUUUCUUAACGAAAUUAAAUACGUCAAUCUUUAUAAGAAAUGAGAAGAGAAUGAUGAUAAAAGAUGUAUCCUGCCCAACUGGGCGAGAAACUAUGCUAGGAGUGUACCGAAGCGCACACAAAGAAAUCUCAGAAGGAAUAGGAAGCAGUUUAUUGGAACGCAAAAAAAAAAAUCAGUUUAUUGGUACACUGACCAAUACGUAGGCCGUGACGUGGUGAAGCUACGUCAGGAAAGCACAUCCGGCAACAGUCAGUCAUCCUCACGGUCCCGAAAGUUUUCAAUGUUUAUUAUUUGCAGAGCAGCAGGACAAGACAAUCAUGCACUAGUCUAGUGAUCUUCACCGGAUGCACUAGCACGCUGCAGUAGAAUAAGAGAUUUAGAGCGAGAGUGAAGGCCGGCACAACCUGCGUCCUGGACUCCUGGUGCUCCGCCAUGGCUUCAAGCGGCGAGCAGCGAGAACACACGGUGGCGCUGCUCGACAGCCCUGCAGCAGAGGUCUGCCUCUCUCCUGUUGAUUUAUUCAGCGAGGAUAUAUGCUCUUUGAUUUCUUCUCUAGUCACUCGGCUACUCGCUUUUCUCCGGCAUAUAGAGGACAAAUGGAUGUUUAGCUUCUAAAUUUGGCUGGGGAUUUCCUUGCGGCAGGUAGAAGGAGAAUACACCAUUGACCAAUCGCUCGACUUCGAUGGGAACCCCGCGCUGAAGCAUCAUACAGGCGGAUGGCGCGCGUGCCGCUCGGUUCUCGGUAAUCCUCCUCCUCUGAUUGAUAUCUGCCGAAGAUCUGUUGCUAGUUUGCCUGCAAUGGGUAGUAAUAUUCGGUGUUCCUUCCUGGUUCUUAUUCUGUCCGGCCGCCGGCUGCUUGUUGUUGGAUGGCACUACCACUGUACACACGGCAGCCACGGAGUUCUGCUACUGCCUGGCGUACAGCGGGGUCUCGCAGAACCUCGUCACCUACCUGACCACCGUUCUGCGGGAGAGCAAUGUCGCCGCCGCGAAGAACGUGUCCACCUGGCAGGCCACCUGCUUCCUCACACCGAUCGCCGGCGCCGUCGUGGCCGACUCCUAUUGGGGAAGGUACCGCACCAUGGUGGUCUCCUGCUCCAUGGGCGUCGCGGUCAGUUCCCUCGCUACUCUGCACUUCCAUUAAUCACUGGAUUUUGCUUUGCCCCGACCCAUUCGAUGAUCUCUGUUUUAUUUUGCAGGGCUUGGUCGUGAUAGCGCUCUCGGCGAACCUGCCGCUGCUCACCAAGAACGCCGAGCUGUUCACAGGCUUCCCUACCCUGGUCUCAAACCUGGCGUCAGCUCAGGAGUCGGUCCUGUUCCUCGGCCUCUACAUGACGGCCUUCGGGCUAGGCGGCCUGCGUCCAUGCCUCAUGUCCUUCGGCGCCGACCAGUUCGACCACAACGACCCGCCGGAGCGCGCCAGCAAAGGCUCCUUCUUCAACUGGUACGUCUUCACCAUGAGCUGCGCGUCGGUGGUGUCCAGCACCUGCGUCGUGUGGGCGCAGGAUCACUUCGGCUGGCCGCUGGGCCUGGCGAUCCCCGCGGCGGUGCUGGCCGUCGGGCUGGCCUGUCUGGUGUCGGCGUCACGGAGGUACAGGUUCCAGCGAACCCAAGGCAGCCCCCUCACCAGAGUCUGCCAGGUCCUUGUCGCGGCUGUCUGCAAGUUCAACGCUCAGCAGCCGGCCGAUCGCUCUCUCCUCUACGAGCUUCCGGAAGACGGCUCCAUGAAAGGGAUCCAGCGGAUAGAGCACACCAAUGACCUCCAGUUUGUUGUUCCUUCCUACCAACUCACUGCGAUUAUCAAUUCCAUCUAGUCCAAGUUCUUGAGAUACACAUUGCGCGCUUAUACUCGAUCCAUAUCAGGUUCUUUGACAAGGCUGCCAUUGUGCUCGCUUCUGAGGCGGCAGAGGAGGAGGCAACCUUGCCGCCGGCGCGCAACCCGUGGAGACUAUGCAUCGUGACGCAGGUGGAGGAGCUUAAGAUUCUCGUGAGGAUGGUCCCGGUGUGGGCGAGCAUCGUCUUCUACUACGCCGUCUCGGCGCAGGUCUCGUCGACGUUCGUCGAGCAGGGCAUGGCGAUGGACACCAAUGUCGGCCCCGUCCGCGUCCCCCCGGCUUCGAUGUCCGCCUUCGACCUGCUCACCGUCGUCGUCCUGGUCCCGCUCUACGACCGACUGCUGGUCCCGGCUGCCAGGCGGCUCACGGGCAGGGCAAAGGGCAUCUCGGACCUGCAGAGGAUCGGCGCCGGCCUCGCCAUGCCAGCGCUCGCCAUGGCCGCCGCCGCGCUCGUCGAGACGGAGCGCCUCCGCCGCGCGCCCUCGGGGCCGGCGAUGAGCGUGCUGUGGCAGGCGCCGCAGUACGUGCUGAUGGGCGUGGGCGACGUGCUCGCCACCGUCGGGCAGCUCGACUUCUUCUACAGCCAGGCGCCGGCAUCGAUGAAGACCGUGUGCACGGCGCUCGGAUUCCUCGUGAUGGCGGCCGGGAGCUACCUGAGCUCCUUCCUCCUCGCGGCUGUCGAAUGGGCGACGGCGGCCGGUGGCCGGCCUGGGUGGAUCCCGGACGAUCUUGACCAGGGGCACCUGGAUCGCUUCUUCUGGAUGAUGUCUGGGCUGGCUUGCCUGAAUCUAGUUGCGUUUGGGAGCUGCGCCGUGCGGUACAACUCUAGAAAAGCUUCCUGAGCUUCACACUUUCACGGUGGACAGUGAUUCCUUCCUUGAAGUGUGAAGGCCGAGAUCUACAUAUCAUUCACCGAGUGUGAUGACUUAUUGCUGAGAUUGGAUCGAGUUCUUCUUUUUUCUGUUUGACACAUUGGAUCAAGUAAAUCUCCAGUGGCGGAGGUCCCCGUAGGGCAAGGUGGGGGCCGCAGACUUGCAUUUGGAUUGUGAGAGCACAAGCCUCCGAGCGAGGAGCUGCCCACCUCCAGCUUCUUGGAGGAGAAGUCGCCACCUAAAUUUAAUUAGGCUAUCAAAUUAGUUUGGACUAAACUAUUUUGGAUGUUUAACUAAAUCUGAGAUACGGCUUCUCCAGGAAGCUACGUGAGAGCAGUUUUUAGGAGAAACCGGUUCUAAAAUCCGAAAAAAACGCACCCCUAUUCCACCAUAUCUUAUUCUCGCCCUUUUUUUUUAACUUUUGCGAAAAGCAUCUUCUCACCCUUAGGCUGACAUGCAUACGUAAUAACCAACAUGUGUAUAUGCCAUCUCUAUCGAUAGGUCAUGUAACUACUGACCACAUGUCUGGCCGUGAGUUGAAUUAUACUCCUUCCAACUCACAUUAAACUCAAAAUUGCCCAAAUAUGAAUGUAUCUGUACCCAGAAAACGUCUAGAUACAUGUAAUAUUUCAUCACCUAAUAUGGGACGGAGGGAGUAGAAUGUUUGUUUGUCGAUAAAAAUACUAUCCGCCAGCGAAAAAACUCGUUUUGUUAUAUUUAAGUUGACUGAUUUUAGUUAGAGAUAAGUUGAUUCCUCAACCAUGUAUAUGAUUUGUGUUUUAAGAUACGAAAUGGAUGCUGAAAAAAAAAGAUAACGAAACCUACGUACUAAUCCAACGGAUCUGAUUCGUCAAUUUAGAUUUAAUCAUUUUCUUAAAAAUAAGACAACUUAGAUAUAGCCACACACAAAAAAAGUUAGCUGAAUCAGCUCAAUCGAUGGCAUAUGUCCAUGGACAAAACUAUCUAGUCACAAACACAUAGCCGUACAAGGCCAGUUUUACCAAUAGACUAUGUGGCACCUAAGAUAGGACGUGGCAGUGUUAUAUGAAAAAAAAAGUUGUCGUGGAGGGACAACGCUUGAAUUAGAAGGUGUUAAUGGACGAUAAUGUAAGCAUCGAUGUAAAAAUUAGUUGCAAAUUGGAGGUGUACGACGACUUUAUAAAAAAGUGUCAUCAUACGCUCAACAAUAUUUUUUUUUGUAAAAUACACAUAAUCGGGACUUCGUUAAAUAGGUUCGACUCUCUUGUGGAGUGCAAACCUACCUACUCCUAUGUUAGGAGAAGCGGCUUUUCAAAAAAAAAAUGUUAGGAGAAGCGGUGACUGUCGUGCUUGGGGAGUUUGGUCGGUUCGUCACACUGACUUCGUAACUCUACAUACUUGGGUCACUCGGUCGGUUCAUCCCUUGUCUCCUUCCCUUGAGUUCAUUCUUUUUUUCAAGUGAUAAAUGAAAUGAGAUACAAGUCCGAACCAUAGGUACCUUGAGGGAUGAGAAAUGUUAGGAUAAAAGUGCAAGUUAGAAACUAGAGUAGGAUCAUCCUAUUCUUCUUAUCAUGCUCUAGCGCUUUAAGUCCAUUUCUUCCGCGCGUGCAUCCUUUUGUGCCAUUUUAGCUCUUAUUGGCUUAUUAUCUUACUCUAGGUGGCUUGGCUAAUCCUCGUUGGCACCUUGACCAGACAAUUUUUUUAUUGCCCUUGUCUUGUGCCAUGUAGGAUUACCGGUCUAGCCCAUAUAAGAAAACUAUUAUUCCCCAUCAUAUUUAAACUACUCAAGUAUUGGUAGAGGCACACUUUAUCUCCAAUCUCCUUUUCAGGAUAUUUAACAUCUUUAGAGUAACAAAACCAUAUCAAAUAUUAGUAAAAUAAAAAUAGAUUUUUUUCUGAAGUUGAUACAAAUGAAAAAGGGGAAAUAAGAAAUUAUAAAAUAUUAAAUAUGAUAAGUAUUUUUGAAAAUAGAUCCUCACUAAUCGUAAAUCCUCUAACAAAAUUAGAAAAAAACACUAAAAAACUCUUUAAAAUUCUGGAAAUUUGUCAAAUUUUGUGUCAAACAGGCUAAGCUAACCUUGAGGCCCAUAAUACACUACCACUUUCUGUAUCCAAGCCCAGCAUCUUUAGGCCCAGUAGUUCUAGACGGCUAGACCCAUUUGUCCGUACUCGUUAACCUCGUGCUCCCCCUCUUGGCUUGAUCCUUAUCUCGGCGUCGGAGCCCACAACCGCUUCCCAUCCUCCUCCUUCCCCGGACCGCCCACCACCCCGAAUAUCCCCCAAAUCCCGACGCGACCGCGAAACCCUAGGCCACCGUCGCCGGCCACGGCGAGCCUCUCCGCCGCCAUGGCAUCUCCGGAAGGCUCCAACUGGGUCUUCGACUGCCCCCUCAUGGACGACCUCGCUGUCGCCGACUUCGCCGCCGGACCUGCAGGAGCAUUCUACUGGACGCCGCCGAUGCAGCCGCAGAUGCACACUCAGGCGCAGGCCGUCUCCGCCGCGUCGCUUCCCAACCCCUGGUAAUUGCGGCUUCCCGCCUUCUCGGCCUCGAUCGCGCUCAUCCGCGGCUGGCUUGGUGGUUCUAUGGUUUGGGCUAUACAUUCCGUUCCCUGAUUUGCUGCCUCUGUGUACGUAUGUUACCACCUGUAGCGUAAAUUGUGAUCGUUAUAACAUAACUGCUGUUAGCAGGCGUGCGAUUGUAGAUUGGUAAAGCCUAUUAAUGGAAUUUUGAUCACAACUAGAAUUACAUGCAUGUGAAAAGAUUGAGAACGUACGGAACUCCUUACAUGUGGGUUCUUCGUUUUCAAAAUUAUUUUCGCGUGUUAGUACUUAGGACUGGUGUUAGUUCUGACAAGGGUAUUACUAUUUGAGGAUAUGGUUCUGUACAUGGAUGUUACAUGGGCCUUUUCUGGAAGGUGUGUGCAGGAAGGGCUAUUUGCAAUCUGUAUUGCUCAUUUGGUUUCCGCACACAUACAUAUAUAUGCAACAUAGAAGGCAUACACAGCGCCAUGCUUCUUCUGAGUGAGAUGAACAAGGGAAGAGUUCAAAUGAAAAUGGUUAACAUGGUCAUCAGCGAUUUUAGGGAUGCAGCUGCUUCUUCUAUCUGUGGGUCGGAUUCAUGUUGAGUAUCAAGCUGAUGGUAUCAGAUUUAUAUGGCGGAAGUUUGUCUUUCAUCUGUGAUCUAUAUUUCCAGAUCAAGAGUUUGUAAAAUCAAUUGCAUUACAUGUUUCGAGUUAGAUAGUGUAGUGAGAAAUGCCAUAAUUUUUCCCAUUAACAGCUGUAUUAAUGAUCAGAAAAUGGGUGAGGUUGGGGUUGUUAGAAAGGCCCAUCUUUGCGGAUCCCUGCAUGAAGCCUAGCAUGCAAUUUAAAUUAUUUAAAAUGUUUCCAAGUUGAGAACUAUUUAUAGUUACACUUUGGCAUAUGAGGCUAUGCUUUGAUUUAUCGACUUAUCAUAGUAUUUAGCUGUCAUAUUCGGUGCAUGAACAGAGGUGACCCUGUGUGCUGUUUAAUGUAGACCUUCUUUUUUCUCGAAAUGGUAUUUCACCUAUUGUAGGUUAUUAUAUACUAAAUUUGUGAGAGUUUGGUAUUGUCGUUGAUAUGCUAAUUUUGUGCGCUGCUUAUUAUUGUGCACUAUAUUGUGAAUUUUACAUUCUUAACUGCAAAUUUACCUUUUCACUAGUGCUGAAAUCAAUAGCCCUGUCUCUCUGGACUGUGAGCAUGCCAAAGGACAUCCAACAAAUAAACGGUUUGUUUGUGUCUAUGCCUUUUGAAUUCCAUAUUUCAACCAUACUUUUCAUACCUUUUUCUGUUGAAUGUUGCCAACUUAGUACGAAAAUGCUUCAGUCCCAGGUCAGAAAGUAGUGCCCAACCUAGCUCCAAAGCGUGCAGGGAGAAAGUGAGAAGGGACAAGCUAAACGAGAGGUAUGUCCCUGCCAGCAAUUGUUCUUUCAAGCUGUUUUUCUUGCUGCAGCAUUCUAUCUGAAAGCAACAGUGGAGCUUAUGGUCUUCUUUUGUUAGGUUCUUGGAACUGGGUGCUGUCUUGGAUCCAGGGAAGACGCCUAAAAUAGACAAAUGUGCUAUAUUGAAUGAUGCUAUUCGUGUGGUAACUGAACUGCGUAGCGAAGCAGAGAAGUUGAAGGAUUCAAAUGAGAGUCUCCAAGACAAGAUCAAAGAACUUAAGGUCAGUCCUGCUCACAUGGCUUAGAUGUUUAAGCAGUACCAUCCGGCAUCUCUCUCUCGUGAUUUUAUUUGCGUUAUCUACAUACAAUAGAUCUGAUAUUCCACAAGAUUUUCUCAACCUGCUUUGCUGUAUAUGGCCUAAAGACCACUGUUUGUUGACUACACAGGCUUUUGGAUUUCCAGCGAUCUGUCAAAUCUUCUGCCUCUAUAUAUAUAUACUUGUUUUAAGUUCUUUGUUUAGACACUGCUUAUUCUCCAUUAAAUUAUUGUCUAGAGGUCUUGUCUUUCAACAUAUUCAUGAGAUAAUUUGUGGUAAAGCGAUCAUCUGACAAAUAAAAUGAUUUUGAGAUCCUUUGAUUUUUCAGUCUGAGAAGAAUGAGCUGCGGGAUGAGAAGCAAAAGCUGAAGGCGGAGAAGGAAAGCCUGGAGCAGCAGAUUAAGUUCAUGAAUGCCCGUCAGAGCCUCGUACCACACCCUUCGGUUAUUCCGGCUACUGCAUUCGCUGCCGCCCAAGGGCAAGCAGCUGGACAGAAGCUGAUGAUGCCUGUCAUUGGCUACCCAGGAUUUCCCAUGUGGCAAUUCAUGCCACCUUCUGACGUUGAUACCUCUGAUGAUCCGAAGUCAUGCCCUCCUGUUGCAUAGGCCAGCAAAAAUCAUUUGCCUCAUCUAUCUUGAGGGGAAGGGGGCAAAACUGCCUUCCAUUCAAGUUUAUUUUGGCCGCCGUCAGUGUUACUAUUGUAGUCACACCCAGAACAGAACUGAACUGAAGCCUCUUCUUCGUAUCAGCCGGUGACAUGUGAUGUCCUGUGACACCGUUGUAUAUGUUAGUAAAUAAAUACCAUCCGUUGAAGCAAAUGCGAUUAGACGUUGUAGAGUUAUUGUCGUUGAACCUUUUCUUUUUAUUUUCAUUGUUGCCCUGUAGCCUUGUUUGCUUGUCGCCCGUGAUUUGGUAUAACACAAGUAGGUUGUAGCUGGUUGGUUCAUCUUGGAUUGAGUUGGCCUCGCGAUUCUUCCAUGCGAAAACGAAGUAACCAGGGAUCUGAGGGAUGGAUGCAUCUGUGGUCUAUCAUGAAUUGUUGGCAAAUGGGUACGACGUGAUGACCUCUCCUAGCUUAGCAAGACGUGCCCUCCACUGAUGCCGUACUAAUUUACUUUCUCCAGCAAUAUCUUACAAAAAUAACUCCUUUUGUUUUGUACUUUCUUGCCAGUUUCAUCGCCUUUGCUUACCUGCAACCGAGGCAUCUGUCGCGUCUAUUCCUUGUUCCUAGUGUUUCCAGGAGCAAAUGUGCGAGGAAAACAAUAAAUUCACAGCAAGAUGCACAAAAGAGAUGAAACCAGGCAAUGAUUGAUCUGUUUAUAAUUUACCUCUGGUUUCAUCUUAAUUUGGAAACGUGGAGCUUCGGCUCCCUGUCUAUCUAAAGAAAAUCGACUAUGUACAUCGAUCGAUAUAGAGACCGGGUUUGCCUUCUUUUUCAAAAAAAAAAAUCUGACAACAUAAUUUAUCAGAUGAGAAUUGUGGAUAAUAGACGUGUGUACAAAAGCAGAUUUGCACAAGAGUGCCUUUGCACAAAUCGAAAUGUAGUAUCAAAGACCUGUUUCAAAAUGUAGUUACAGAGUAGGAAGUCGUGUCCAUGCACGAAAUGAACAAGGAAUCAACACAUGAAAAAUAAAAUAAAUGAAAACAAGUACAGAAAAAAAAAAGGGAAAGCCUCUGGUAAGACUUUAGUACAAACUCUUUGUACCAAACGUACGUGUAGAGAUCGUGCAAUUGCUCAAAUUAAUCCAAUUAAUUACGCGGCCAUGGCCACGAGGGCGGCCAGCGCCAGCAGACCGGCGACGUGAUACCGCGGCGGCGCGGACGUCAGGGACACGGAGCCGGAGGUUCCGGGGGCGGGGAUGGUGGCCUUCGUCGGGCCGCCCGCCGGCGCGCUCCUGGCGGCGGCGUCCGCGAAGGUGUCCGCGGGCGGGGAGGGGAGCGGCGAAGGAGAAGGAGCGGCGGCUGCGGCUGCGUCUGCUUUGAUCUUGGCGGCGAGGGCGGCGUCGUAGGGCACGGUGGUGACCUGGAGGUGCAUGGUGCCGUUGGCGCAGUGGCGCGGGAUGCCGCAGAUGAAGUAGCGCGUGCCGGCCUCGGCGAGCUCGAACACGGUCUCGCCGCCCGAGUGCGUGGAGAUGGGCUUCCCCGUCGCGCAGCUGCCGUAGUCCGCCUCCGUCACCUCCAGCACGUUGUGGUACGCCUCGUACUUGAAUGCUGCGGUUAAUUAUAUUGUUACCUUUUUGACAUGGGCACAUACAUGGCCUGAUCAUAGUGAGAAGAUUAUCGAGAAGAAGAAGCAGCAGGAGGAAGAGAUAUGUCCGUACUAAGGGUGUCGCCGAUCAUGAAGGUCUUGCCGGCCGUCCACUUGUCGUAGUCGACGUACGUGUCCCAGCCGAUGGAGUCGUCCACGGUGUAGUCCACCGCCAGCGCCGUCGUGGCCAACGCCGCCGCGACCGCCAUGGCUGCGAGAAAUGCUCCGCAGCUGGACUUCAUGACUCCCGAUCGAUGGAGGAGGAUUAGUCGUUUGGUUCUGUGAUCUCUCGUCUGAGCGAUGUAUUGCUACGUUGGGGGUAUAUAUACCGGGAGCUAGCUAGAGCAAGCAAAAUAAGACUUUCCUCUUCUUUGCCCUCUGUUCAUGGCCUGCCAUGAAACAUGCGUCUGAGUAGCUAGCUAGGCUAGGUUACAUUCGAUCAGUUGGCAUAUUUGGAAUUAAUUGAAAUUAUUAACACGUGAGUACAUCGCACCUGGUUGAUUUUUGGAGCGCCAAGUUGACUUUUUCUUUAAUUUGCUAGGCUUUGUAUUGUAUUUUGAGUUGCAGUCACUAUUAUUUAUUUAUUACUCGAAUAUGAAAUUACUUGAACGGUAUUGACGAUACGUGCUUGUAUCACUUUGACAUGCGAGAUUCUUUCAGUAUAAAUAAUUGAUGAAUCAUGAAUGAUGAUUAGCUCCUCUACGUGAGCACACGUCCCUUGCUUCGUCCGUACCGAUCGAGAAUAGCUAGCGUGUUCGUGGCUUCGUGCUUCGCAUGAUCGAUCAAACAUUAAUUUCAUUAUAGGUGGUUUCAGAACGAGUUGUCAUUAAUUAUACAGUUCUCUUUUCUUGUUUUUUCUUCUUAGAAGCAGAAGUCGUCAACCUAUUCUGAAUCCGUAGUGGUGUGGAACAGCCCUUCUCCUCCCCCGCGUCGUCACUCCCGCGGGCGGCACGGGGGCAAACCCUAGCGCCGCCGCCACCACUCUUCCCUCCCCUUCUCCUCCCUCGCUGCCGCCUCUGAGGCUGCCGCCGGCUAAGCCCGGGUCGUGGUCGAGGACGGUGGCGGGGAGGGCUCCUGUCUUGGCGGCGUUUGCGGUGGCAGGGAGCGCUGCAGGGGUCGGCUUGGCAGCAGCUGGGCGCGGCUUCGGCGGCGUGUGCGAGGGCGUCCCCAGCCUGCUGCGCGGCAGAUCCGGCGGUGGAGCGGCGUUUCCGGCGGCUCGCGAUGGUGUGGGCGCGGGCCGAGCCCGGGUUGGGCGGCCGGUGCUGGUGGCUUGGCACGGCGUCGUGGCUGAGUGCGGCUCCCCAGCGGCAUGGCAGGACCUCCCGACGGUGUGCGGCCUCUUUUGUGGCGCCGUGGUGACGCGGCUUUUGGGCCGCGACGUUCGUCUUGGUGGGGCUCCCUGCUCGGGGUUGGCAUCACGGAUGGCCAACGUCGAGUGGAAGGCGUGGUGGAAUAGCCGGAUCUGGGCGGGGUUGUGUUUGAGCUGCACUGGGCGAAAGCCAUGGCUCCGUUUGUUACCUUCCUAAAGGCGUCGAUUUGGUGCAGAUCUCCUCCCCUCGACCAGACCCCAUGCUCCAGGGGAAACCCUAGAUCCAGGUCUUCUCGGAUCGGGCGAUGUCGAUGCUUGGCAUCAUUUCCCUCUUGGGGGCACCGCUUUGGAGCAGGAACCGGCUAGAGGGAUCAGUGGCUUGGUGGAAGGUGGUGGCUGCCCCAGUGUUCGUGGGCGACUUCAGUGGCAGCGACGAUGGUGUUGGGCAGAGGUUAGGCUGCGGCGUCGGUUCUAGUAGUCGGUCUUUCCGACCUAUCCGUUGGCUUUCCAGGAGUGGUUGCUUUCAUUGUUGGAGAGUCAGAGUCGCCAGCUCAGGAGGAGUAAUGCGUGAUGACGAUGACUUGGUGGGAGGUGGUCCGAUUUUUGGGGUUCCUUUUUGGCGCAGGCCUUGCAUAGUGCCCCUCUGAAGCUCGCCAUCAGAAUCGGCGUCUUUUGUUCGCCUGCGAGGAUGACCGACUGUUUGGCAUGGGCCGGUACGAGCUUGCGUGCCAUUGGAGGCGGAGUCCCCGUUCUUGGACGCUAGUGGGGGAAGUCGAAGUCGCCAGCUCAGGAGGAGUGUUUGUGUGAUGACGAUGACUUCUGCGUGCAAUCUUCCUUCAUUUGCGUGCGUUGAGUGAAUGUGGGUGGCCAGGUCGGUUAGUUAGGGUGGUCCAUGGUGCGGUCAUGUUACAUGACGGUAUUAUGGACGUUUUGUUACGGUUUUUGUCCGGUUUUCCGUUAAUUAACUGAGCAAUUCUAUUUUUUUUAAUUAAUAGAUCGAGUCCUUCCGACUCCGGUUCGAAAAAUAAGAAGAAGUCGUCAACCUAAUGUAUGUCUGUUGUGCGAAAAGAGUUAUUUCUAGUCUUCCAAUUUCGGUGUUCUUGAUUGUAUCUUUCUCUUCUUCUUCUUUCUUUUCUUUUUCUUGAAGCGGUUUUUUGUUGAAAUUUGCAAAAAAAGAAUGCAUUUUUUACACUUGAGGAAAUAUAUAUUUUUUUGAGAAAAAUUUAUGCACAUAGAGAAUAGGUAAAAACAUUUAAUUCUAAAUUUUCAUUAAAAACAGAGAUCAUUUACGUUCUUUGAAAAAAAAACAAAAUGACACAAUGAAUUUCCGGCCUGCCUAAGCCGACCUGCAGCGUUCCUAGUGACAGCGACAAUCAGGAUGUUCUAAAAAACGUACGGAAACAAGCGAUCGAUCACUAUUUCAAAAACAAAAAAGCUCACCGAGCAGGUAUAGAAAAACCCUUAUCCAGGACAACUCCAUCGAACUUAGAAAAAGUAUCAUCCGUCCAUCAGUGAAUCUGGAAUAUUUAAUUUCACAUUGUUGAUAAUCUACUCUUUUUACAGAAAACUGUAGGAUACAAAGAGCCAAAUAAGGCACAAAGGAGACCGAGACAAGCCACUAAAGCAGGCUGCCUUGGCACCAUCCCCGAAUCUAUGACACUUUGGAUCAAGAGGUCAUCUUGACCUUGAGGCUACUAAGCCAGGAAGCACCACUUGAUAAUCUACUUACUGCUAGCCACUACUACUACUUGCAGUCCCCAAGCAUAGAUAGCAGAUCAACAAAUCCACUUACACCCAGAGCCACAGUGCAAGAUCCGAUUAAAAUCGAUACAGCAGGGCCUGUUCCUCUAUCAAGAUCAUUUCCAGAAGUCAAUACCGCACAGAGAUGGCUCCGUUCAGCAAAUUGCUUCCAAAGAUUCAGGACUCAUCUUGGCAAAAGUUCUGUGAUCGAUACUUGGUUCGAAGACAUAACCGUUGAGUUUUCAGUGUAUGGAUAGGCGUCCGAAUACGCGUUGGAGCUCUCACUGGUACUGACCUCCUGGAUGCAGAACGCUGGCCUCGACAAAGAAGGCAGACGAACAGUGUGGCUGCUGAACAUGAUGUUCACCGACGACAUAGCCGGCCUGCUCCCGGGUUUUCUCUGCACGCACAGGAGUCCGACGUGAAUGCACUUGAGCAUCUGGUCGAUGGGAGGAUGGUUGCCCAAAGAUGGAUCGAUCAACUCGAUGACAUUGCCCCGGGUCCAGUGCUCCCAUACCUGCAACAAAUUGUUAAGAGUAUUCGUACACUGUUGCAGGAGUUGCAGAGCUUAUGAAAAGGCUUCAGGUGCUCACAUUAUUCAAGAGAUCCACGUCUUGCUCGGUCUUAUCUGAACCACUGUUUCUUCUCCCUGUGACAAUCUCUAAGACCAAAACACCAAAGCUGAAAACGUCCGACUUGAUGGAAUAAUGACCUCCCAUGGCGUAUUCUGGGGCCAUAUAUCCGCUGCAACAAAAUAAGUAAUUCAGAACCCGAUAUAUGUUGAUGUCUUCUUAUGGAUGUUCUUGACGUGCUUACUAUGUGCCGGCAAUACGACGAGUGACAUCUUCUGAUUGAUCCCCUCCAAAUAUCUUCGCUAGGCCGAAGUCAGAUAUUUUAGGAUUGUAAUCAGAAUCCAGUAGUAUAUUGCUCGCUUUGAGGUCUCGGUGAACUAUCUUCAAUUGUGAAUCUUCGUGAAGGUAUUGUAAGCCUCGAGCUAUUCCAUUGAUAACCUUGAACCUCUUUCCCCAAUCUAGCUCUUUGUUUUUCUCAGAAUCUGUCAUUCAAACAAAACAUAUCAUUGUAGUGUAAAUUUUGUGUCACAGCAUUACUCUGAAGAAAAUUUCAAUAAGGGAAACAAAAAAACGCUAUAAUAAGAAAGUCUUACCAAAUAGAAUGGUAUCAAGGCUUCUAUUUGGCAUAUAUUCAUACACAAGUAUUUUCUCAUGUUCUUCCAAGCAAACACCAAGAAGUCUCACAAGAUUCUUGUGGUGAAGCUUGGCAACUAGAACCAGCUCACUCUUCAGCUCUCCUAUUCCUUGUCUGGAACUCUGACAGAGUCUUUUGACGGCUAUUUCUUGACCAUCAGGUAGGUCGCCCUGUCCAAGUAAAGAUACUUAACUGUCGGCAGAAAAACAUAACUGACAAAGGUGUUAUGAUUCUGUACCUUAUAAACCAUACCAAACCCUCCUUUACCAAGCAUUCUACAUUCGUCAAAGUCAUCUGUGGCACCUCUUAGUAUCGCUAGAUCGAGAAGAAGCGAGUCGAUGUUUCGAUCAUCUGAGGUAGCUGAAUCUGUUAGUGGAUAAGUACACAAUGUGUCAAUGAUGAGAAUCAAGACUAUAUGAGCUUUUCAGGAAAUAUGAUUUUGCUGCAAGCUAUGGAAAUUCACGGUAUUAGCUAGAAUUAAGAUUUAAGAAAAUGAAAAUUGACUAAACAAAGUCCAUAUUCUGAACUAAUCAAAUCACCAUGUUCUGGACAAUAAAUUGAUUCAUACUUGAAUUGCUAUUAUUCCAAAAUUCAAAAUGGUUAAGAGGUCUUACAAGGCAGAAACGCAUUUGCUUUUGGUCUUCUCCUCCAGCAGAAAAAGUAUACCAUGACAAUGACCAAUAUGACAGCAAUUGUAGCCAUUACAAUAGCUAGAACUAUACCUGCACUAUUUCUCGUUUUCUCUGCAAGUAAGUAUAUACCAUCAAAAUGAGAAUGUAAUUAAUUUUAUUUUAUUUUUUAAUGAAAACCUGAAUAAAACAAAUACUUCCUCCGUUUCUAAAUUAUUGUCGUUGUUUUAGUACAAAUUUGAACUAAAACAACGACAAGAAAUUUAGGAACGGAGGGAGUACAUUGCUUACAAGUAGCACAUAUAUUUUGCAGGAAAACUUUCCAGGACCUUUCAUAAGAAAACCUUGUGAGUUCAGAGCACAACCAUUUGCAAUAUUGUCUGUUGUUCUGUUCUGAAGGCUCAUGUUUGCAUUACUCUGACAAAUGGUAGCCAGCUUCUACAAUCUACAUGCAUAUAAGUUUCGUUCUUUCUGGUCAAGCAACUAGUGAUUUUUCAACGGAUAUGGAGAGGUCAUGACCCUUGAGCAGGAGAGUGAACAAGCUGUUACUGCUAAUUGUUUCGAAAUCUGUACCAGGAUCAUUUCUUGGCUAGCCAACUGUUUUACAUAAAAUCGAAAUGGAUUCCACCCUUCACCCUUGUAUAGUUGUACGCAAUUUCAGAUCAAACGACCAACUAAACAAGUAAACAUGCCAUCAUAUUGCACAAUUGCAGAACAACAAACUACUCACCUCCUCCUCCGGUGGUCGCCGGUGGCGCAGGAGCGGGCGGCGUGCCGACAAACUGCGGAAGCUGCAGCAGCGGGCGGCCGGAGAAGAAAGGGAACACCUCGUACCGGAAGUUGCACCACACCCCGAAAAUCCCCCCGCCAGUCCUCCCGCUGAACAAUUUGGGCAGCUCCGCAGUUAUGGUGCCAAGGCAGGUCCGGCAGACCUCCACCGUCGUGUCCGGCGCGCACUGCGACAGCGCAUAGAUCUUUGGGUUGCUCCUGUCGUCGAAGCCCUCUGUCCCCGUGCCGAACCGCCUGGAGGAAGACGAAGAGUCCCCCGCCGCCGCGUAGCCGGCCGUGGCGUUGACGAGCAGCCCUACGGCGGCGUCGAACGCCGGCGCGGCUCCGCCCGCGACGCGGCGGGAGCGCUGGAGCGUGUACGUGGUGACGUAGUAGUCGUCGUCGAGGAGGAAAUCCCGGUUGGAGAAGCGGAGCUGGCAGAGGUCGUAGAAGAUCAUCACGUCCUUGUAGAGCGGGCACGCGCGCGUCGCGCCGCGGAAGGCGGCGGCCACGCAGCUCUCGCAGGCGGAGGCGUUGGCGACGUCGCCGCGGCAGAGGGCCUGGCCGUAGACGGCGUCCGGCACGUCUCCGACGCUGCCGGUGGCGUAGAGCUCCGGGGAUGAGGAGGCGUUCCUGGGGAGGGUGGCGGCGAGGCGGUUGAUGUUGGAUUGGUAGGUGCUGUUGGCUGUGUAGUUGCCGCUGGGGGGAUAGGGGCCGCAGGUUGGCCACGGAGGCGGUUCGUCUUCGGCGGCGAUGAGUGGCGCGUAGAGGACGGCGAAGAGGAAGGUCGCGGUGACGCCGGUGAGGCAUGGGGAGAAGCGGCGGCGGGGCUUGGCCAUGGCAACCUGUGACGUGGGGGGGCUUGUGAGGAGAGCAGGUUCGGGUGUCUGUCCGUGUAUCACUGGCAUGUGUGGUCAGUGAGGUUGACUGGAGUAAAGUGACUUCAGGUUUAGUGAACAAAAAGCUUAACCAAAAAACCCUCAAAUUGAUCCCAGGAGGUGCUGGCUAUUUUGAACCAAACUAGUAUCCCCUUGGUACAACACGGGUAACAAAAAAAUACUAACCAAUGUGUACUACACGGUAACAAGAAAGACAAAUGCUAGACGUCGGGCGGGCGAUUUUGGGAAAAAUCCGUCUCCUCACAAACCGUCCGAUUGGAACGCCACGGCUGUUGCAUCCCGCACACAAGAAAGAAAUCAAUCUCCUCCUAUUCCCGUCCCCCCCCCCCACCCCCACACACACCCAACCCAACACGACCAGCCCAAACGGCGCUUGCAGCAUACCGCCAUCGCCUUGCAGCAGCGCCGGUGGUCUGCAGCGGUGCAACACCUCCGGCAAGAAGCGAGGCGGCUUGGUAGCAACGCCAGUGGGAGGCACCACCUCCUUGUAGCAUGGACGUCAAUAGCCUGCCUCAACGCCAGCGGGAGGCGGCGCUGCCUUUCAGCAUUGCUUCGCAACAUCCAGUCUCGCGCCUCGCCAUUUGCAGCACCGCCGACAGGAGGCGGCGUCUCCUUGCAGCUGUGGUGCCUGCAGGUCUCCACACCGCACAGGGCCUAUCAGCACCGCCGCAUAAUGGACGCAAUAUCACCGGUCGCCGAUCGAAGUACUUCCGGUCGUCGUUUGAAGCAUCGAAGCCUCCCGUUCCAGGCUUCCAGCACCCUAAGCCGCCGUUCGUAGCACCCCCGGUCGCCGUCUCCACUUGCAGCACCUUCGGCCACCAGUCGAAGCACCGAUAGCGGCGCUUCCCACACGGCCGCGGGUCGCCGCAUCGCUUCCCUUUCGAGCACCAUCGUCGCAGCACCUUCGGCUUCUGAGUCACAGCGCCUCCGACCGCUUGUUGCAGCACCCUCGCCCGUCGGUCGUAGCACCGCAACCUCCGCUUGUGGCACCGACGGCCGCACUCGCAGCAACGCCCUGGCCAUCACAGCAGCAGCGUCUCCAAUAGGCUUGGACAUUUUACUCGGUACUCGGAGAGUAGCUCGACUCGUUAAGAGCUCGGCUUGUUAGACUAAAGAACCAAGUAGAGCACCUCCAGAAACUCGUUAACACUAAAGAGCUUAACGAGCCGAGCUAGCGAGACUCGCAAGCAUACUCGUUAGCUCGUUAUCUGGCGUCUGGCGGUCGAACCAAACACAGUAACCCACGACUUGUUAGACCCAGCACACCCUCUCGAACAGCCCAACUGCCUGAAUGCGGCCCAAGCCCAAGAUUCGUUAGGUCAGUCGGGUCUCCAGUCUCCUCGUCUUGUACUCUCGUCAAGCUAAUAUUAGUCUUAUUAGUGCUUCUGUAUUGUACUGUAUGAGGACACCGAAGCUGUGUAAUGGCUGCUAGUCUUAUGAGUAUUUGUGUUGUAGCCUGUAAUGGUUAUUAGUCUUAUUUGUUAUGGACUUAUUAUAUAAUGUUGUACACAUGCUUUGCUUGUCAUUUUUUCUGCAUAGAUGCUGCCCAUUUUUUUCACCGCUAACGCGUUUAACGAGCGCUCGCGAGCAGUAAACGAACCAAGCCGAACAGGCUUUGAUGUUCGUUAAGGUUGACAAGCAUAACGAGCCGAGCUCUUAACGAGCCGAGUUCUUAAAAAAGCAAGCUCUUAACGAGUCGAGCAUGCUCGUUAGCCAGGCCUAGUCUCCAACUCGCAAAGCCGCUGGCAGCCUAGCCUCGCAGUCAUGCGCGCGGCUGCAGCCAUGGAAACGCAUCCAAGAGAUUGGAACGAGGGAGAGGAUGAGGGAGAAGGGGAAAGUAAGAGAGAGAGGAUGAGGGAGAAGUGUAACGAGAGAAGAGGGAAAAAGAGAACGUGGUGCUUGGUCGUUUCCUCCUUGUCACGUGUCACGCACGGAAGGCAGUCGACACGGGCCGUGUCAUCGGUCGGGUGAUAACUAUCUUUUCCCAACAAGAAAGUACUAGCCAAGUGGAGGAAGCAUGCAUAUCACAAGUAAGUAAAAACAUAUUGAGAAGGAAAGAGAAGAAAAUUAGUAUCGACUACCAUUGGAGAUGCCCUUUAAUACUCCUCGGCCGUGAAGAUUGCAUGCGGAAGAACUACAAAACUUUUGAAAGAGAGUUACUAACUUCUGCCAGUGAAUAAACUAAUGAACAUUUUGUAGUUCAGGAACUCAAAAAACACACAAAUAAAUCAAUAAACCGAAUUACUGAUACAGAUUAGUCUCAAAAUGGUUUACAAAAGCUAAAAAGGACAUGUGUCAUGAUCCUGAACAAUGGGUUGUAACUAGGUUUGUGUCAUGCAUCCACUUUUAGCCUUGACGAACGUUUUUUUACUAAUCUUAUUACUAACUCAAGUUCAUGGAUUUAUUUGGGUUUUUUAGUUCGUGGAAUAAAAUAUUUUUCAGUUCCAUUUUAGGUUUCUUUUCCUUUCUGUACUUUUCUCUUAACUGAUGCCAUUCGUAUUUUCUCUCCUAUCUAACUAAUGAAAAUGCAGGGCCGUUGCUUAAAAGAAGAAGAAGAAGAAGAAACACAUUUUUGACCGGACGUAUUGAAAAUGAAUGAUUUUCAAAUUAUCCUGGUACAGCUCAUAGUACAUCAUUUGCUGUACGUGUCUCCAUGUUUUCUCUGUUCCUUGUCGCUAUCCAUCACUUGACGUUGAAAAGACCAGAGAAAUGAAUGCAGAAACAGAAGAAGCCUCCUUACUUGACCAAUUCCAUGUGCCACGUGAAUACGUACAUGAUAGAGACCCUGCACUCUCGAUACCUCGAUCGUCGUACACUCGCAGGUAUAGUCCAUUCGCCGUCAGCUGCUGUCCGACGGCAACAGCAGUUCAGUCCUGUCAGUUUCUUGAUUUCUUCCUCGCUGUCGGGCGUCAAUUGUGUAUUACUACUGCGUGUCCAACAUUUUAUCAGCACAGCAGCAGCGCAGCUCGCCGCCAUGGCGAUAGGCACGCGUCGCCGUCUGGGUCUGGCUCCUCUCUCCUUCUACCUCGCUCCAGCCACAGCCUCGCUCCUCCUAACGUUAUUCCUCCACGCGCCGCCGCUCGCCGGCGCGCAGCCGCUGCCGUGGCAGCUCUGCGACGACCCCGCCGGGAACUACACGGAGGGCGGCGCGUACCAGGCCAACAUACGCGCCCUCGCAAGCGGCAUCCCCAAGAACGCCUCCUCCUCCCCGGCCCUCUUCGCCAAGGGCGCGGCCGGCAGGGCCCCGGACGCCGUCUACGCGCUCGCGCUCUGCCGCGGCGACACCGCCAGCGCCAACGCCUCCUCCUCCUGCGCGUCCUGCGUCGCCGCCGCCUUCCGGAACGCGCAGCAGCUCUGCGCCUACAGCCGGAUCGCCACCAUGUACGACGACCCCUGCAUCCUCCGCUACUCCGACCGGGAGGACUUCCUCGCCAACGUCACCGACAACGGCGGGAAGAUGCUCGCGUGGAACGCCAACAACGUCAGCGCGGACGUAGCGCCAGCGUUCGACGCCGCUUCCGGCCGGCUCGUGAACGCCACCGCCGACUACGCGGCGGCGGACCCGAGACGGCGGUUCGGCACGGGGGAGUUGGACGGGUUCGACGAGACUUACCCCAAGAUUUACUCGCUGGCGCAGUGCACGCCGGACAUGACGGCGGCUGAGUGCCGGGCCUGUCUCGGCGACAUGAUUGGGCGGUUCACUCCCCGGUAUUUCGUGGGGAAGCCGGGCGGGCGAGUCUUCGGCGUGCGCUGCAAUUUCCGGUUCGAGACCUACUCUUUCUUCUCUGGGCGCCCGCUGCUGCAGCUCCCAGGCGCGCUGCCGCCUGCACCGGCGCCGGCAGCGGCCGGAGAAGGUGAGUUUCUGAAACAGAAAUCACCCCUGGGAACGUACAGCUCUGAACUUACGCGUGCCCCGGCCUUCUUGAUUGCUUUGCAAAACUGAAAACAAUUUUCUGCAGCUGAAUUUAAGAUGCGUUCCAUCUGAAAUCAACACAAUUUUUUUUGCAGGAACAACAAGACGUGGUGCAGGACCAGUCUUGGCAAUUACACUGCCUAUAGCUGCUGCAGCAUUACUUCUCAUUGCAACGUGCGUUUGCUUCUGGAAGAGGAGAAAACAUACGGAAAGAAAGGCGUCAGUACCAUGUAAGUCCUCUCAAUUAAGGAAAGAGGAACGGCGAUUCACCGAUUACUUCGAUUUAUUCAUGGUUUACACUUUCUGAAAUACUAACAAAUCUUAGUUACUGGAAUUACUCAUGCUCACUCAGAUUGUGAUUUUUUUUUCCGAAAAGAAGGUUCAAACCUCAGGCCUCCGCAUCAAUAUGAUGCUCACUCCAUUGUGAUUAGAUUCUCAUUUGUUUUGCUUUUUGUCCGGGUCUAGAAUCCUACUUAUAUUGCUGAUCAUGGCACACAUGUUUCUUCCAACAGAUUCAACUAAUCAAGAUGACAUUCAGAGCAUCGAUUCCCUCCUCCUUGACCUAUCGACGCUGCGGGCUGCAACAGAUAACUUCGCCGAAAGCAACAAGCUUGGCGAAGGAGGCUUCGGCGCGGUCUACAAGGUACCAAUCGUACCAUUUAGUAAUGUAAAUCUGUUGGUUGCAUACAGCAUUACAGAUUACAGACAUAUAUCUAAACUUGUUGACACACAGGGCGUCCUUUCUGAAGGCGAGGAGAUAGCAGUGAAGAGGCUGUCGCAGAGCUCCCGGCAAGGAACAGAGGAGCUGAAAACAGAGCUAGUCCUGGUCGCCAAUCUCCAGCACAAGAACCUCGUCAGGCUCGUCGGCGUCUGCUUGGAAGAGCAGGAGAAGCUGCUCGUGUACGAGUACAUGCCGAACCGGAGCCUCGACACCAUUCUUUUCGGUACCAUUCAUCCGAUAGAUUCUAUCCCUAGCCGGGCAUACAUAGUUACAUACUGUCACUGGCUCAGCUGUCUGACCGUCUCUCUUAUGUUUGUGUAUUGGUUUCGAUGGAUGAAAGAUCCUGAGAAAAGCAGAGACCUGGAUUGGGGGAAGAGGCUGAAGAUCGUGGGCGGGGUGGCUCGAGGCCUGCAGUACCUCCACGAAGACUCCCAGCUGAGGAUCAUCCACCGGGACCUCAAGGCGAGCAACGUGCUGCUGGACAUGGACUUCAGCCCCAAGAUUUCCGACUUCGGCCUGGCCAAGCUGUUUGGGUGGGACGAGUCGCAGGCCGUCACUAGCCACAUUGCCGGAACGUAGUAAGUUCUUCCGGUACACGUUGGCACGCACAAAUACAUCGGAACAACAAGAGAUUUUAUUUCCUCGUGCUCUAUGGAUGCAGCGGAUACAUGGCGCCGGAGUACGCGAUGCGCGGGCAGUACUCGGCCAAGUCGGACGCCUACAGCUUCGGCGUCCUGGUCUUGGAGAUCCUCACCGGAAGGCGGAACAGCAGCUUCGCUAACUCGGAGCAAUCCGUUGACCUCUUAAGCCUCGUGAGUAAUUCUACAUGUCCAAGUUCCAUCUGAUCUGCUCCCCAUGAAGGCAAUUUACAAAACCGUCUUCACGAAACAAUGUUAAAUUCUGGCGCGUACGUGCAGGUAUGGGAGCACUGGACGAGGGGAACAGUGGAGGAGCUGGUGGACCCGUCGCUGGGCGGCCGUGCUCCGGGAGGCCCGAUGCUGCUGAAGCUGGUCAACGUGGGGCUGCUGUGCGUGCAGGACAGCCCCGCGGACAGGCCGGCCAUGUCGGCCGUGAACGUCAUGCUCAGCAGCAGCACGGUGUCUCUGCAGGCGCCGUCGAGGCCCACGUUCUGCAUCGAGGAGAUGGAGGGCUACUCCGACAUGUACUCGGCGACGUAUCCAAGGGGAUCCCGGCCCACCAAGGUGCAGACGGCCAUGUCGCCGAACGAGGUCUCCAUCACGGAGCUCGAACCAAGAUGAGGGCUGUGAAGCAAUUUGCUUGCUACUAUACGUAUACUACGUACUAUACUACUGAAUCUCCUGUAUUUAUGUUGUUGUGACCUUUUAAUAUGCUGAAAGUACUCAGCAAGUUCUGUGCUACUGUAGUAUACUAAGCACUAAAGUAAAGUAAUUAAGGUUUGUUGCACAUCUUCGCACACGAGUCAAGAUGGCCGAGUUGGUCUAAGGCGCCAGUUUCAGGUACUGGUCCGAAAGGGCGUGGGUUCAAAUCCCACUCUUGACAUUAAUUUUUCGUACACAGCACUACUCCGUUCAUUUUUCGUACACAGCACUAAACAAUCCUUUCUGAAACAGAAGAAAGAAAAGAAAACCCCAACCCGCCAGAGGCUUUCAUCGCAUCCGAUGCGCUAGCAACUCUAGACUGGCAAUGGCGUGCAAGCUAGGUUUAACAGUGGCCACCUCGCCAUACCGGAACUACGCUACGCUGGAUGGUUGGCCACCCCGCGAUCCUUCAAUGCGCCGCAGUUCCACGGCCGUGCCCUGGUGGCCUGGUUCUUUCCACUCCUCUCUCGUGUUUGAACUUCCUACACGGUGAGUCCAUGCAUAUGUGGUACGUCGUCGCCACCUGCUCCAACAUCGUUCUAAUUAAUCCAAGUGUUCCAAAGCUAGAUUUAAAACAAAAUAACAAACUGCUUGUUUCCCCGCAAAAAAGCUUCCAACUUCCUGAUCUUUAAGGAGCAAAUGUCCCACCAGCCUUUUUCCUCCGCCAAUCCAACUGACAGUACCGACGUUUCUUCCGAUCUUCUCCCACUCCUCUUUCCCAGACAAUCCAUCAGUCUCUUCACAUUUGAUCACUUAGAGCAUCUGCCUAUCAAGUUUCCUAAAAAUUCUCCCGAAAAGGGCUCAAAUCCGGUACUUUACAUGUGCAAUUUCACGUUUUUCUCUUCAUGUAAAUAUAUAUCAUCAAACUGAGAAUGCACUUAUUUUUAAGUCUUAACUUUAUGAAAACAUGAAUAAAACAAAUACAUGCAUGUUCACAAGUACUCCCUCCGUUUCAAAAUAAGUGACGUGGAUUUGUAUAAAUUCUUAUACAAUCUACACCGCUUAUUUCGGGAUGGAAAAAGUAACACAUAUAACUCUUCUAAAGCUUUGUGACGCUUCUUCAGGGCAAGUGCGAAAGAAAAUUUUACUGACAGUUUUCGAGUUGUGAUCUGUGACCCGACUAUGUUUGACGCAUCAACGGUGUUAGACUGUACUGACACUUUUCUUCGUUGUGUCAGUGUUAAACUUGUAGGAGUAAUGUGUUUUGGUAGUAGUGAUUAUAAAUUUCGCAACGGGCCUUCUAAUUUUUUGUUACGGCUUAAUAGACCAAGAAAAUAACAAUCUGUCCAGUCACUAAGAAAUAAAUUCCGUAAAAAAGUUCAUACUCCUACAAAGAUCUGUUAAAUCGAAGACGUGCUACAAUUUGCGAGGCAAAGGGUCGCGGUGUGCAGAAUGUGAGCUAACUGCCAGCCUGCCAGGAUACAAAUGGCGUGGCAAAGGGUCUUAAUUUAUCUAGGCAGCACAUGACACUUUCUAGUACACAAGAAAUUCAGAAAGCAUUGCAUACGGAAGCUAGCUUUCUUUAAUCCUUCUUUGCAUCGUCAGUAUUCAGUUUGACAUUGGAGCAUUCGAGUGCAUCCAGAUCUCAGCCGAUUCCGUCCUCAUCAAACAGGCGGGGCAUGGCGUCCGAGGCAGCCAGCGUCGCCGUGGUCUCGGCCGCCGUGGCCGCGGCCAUGGUUUAUGCGCGCCUCGCCGCCUCGCGUUCGCACCCCGGCCUCCCCCGCCUCGCCGCGCUCCUCCCGGUGCUCCUCCUCCUCCCCGUCCUCCCCUUCACGUUCUCCUCCAUCCACCUCCGCACCAUCUCCGCCUUCUUCCUCGUCUGGCUCUGCGGCUUCAAGCUCCUCCUCCUCGCCGCCGGCCAGGGCCCUCUCCACCCGGCGCUCCCGGUCGUCCGCUUCGUCGCCUGCGCGGCGCUUCCCAUCAAGGUAGUAGUAGAAGUCCAGGACAGAGCAGCAGCGCAUCAGCCGUCCCGGCGGUCUCUCCCUCCCGCGUUCUUGCUCUCCUACGCGGCCAAGGCGGCUCUGUUCGCGGCGCUCGUCUCGCUCCGGGGCAUCCGGGCUCGGAUGCCCGCGUACGGCGUGGUCGCGUUCGACGGUGUGCACGUCUACCUCUUGCUCGAGCUGUUCAUGGCGUCCGCCGCGUUCUUCGCCCGGGCCCUGCUCGGGGCCGACCUGGAGCCACAGUUCGACCGGCCGUACCUGGCCUCCUCCCUCCGCGAUUUCUGGGGCCGCCGGUGGAACCUCAUGGUGCCCGGCGCGCUCCGCCCCACCGUGUACCGCCCCGUGCGCAGCCGCCUCGGCGUGCCGGCCGGCAUGCUCGCCACGUUCGUGGUGUCGGGGCUCAUGCACGAGGUCAUGUUCUACUACAUCACGCUCCGGGCCGGCACCGGGGAGGUGACCGCGUUCUUCGUGCUCCACGGCGUGUGCGUGGUCGCGGAGCGGUGGUGGGCGAUCCGGAGCCGGAGCGGGCUGUGGAGCCCGCCGCGGCCCGUGGCGACGGCGCUCACGCUGGCGUUCGUCGCGGGCACCGCGUCCUGGCUCUUCUUCGCGCCCGUCAUACGCGGCGGGCUGGACAAGGCCAUCGUCGCCGAGUGCGAGGGGAUGCUGGCAUUUUUGGAGGCGGCUGCGCGUGCUCUGGCUGACGCGGCGGCACGUUUGGUCUGGUCAUGAUUCCGGUUGGCAUUCGCGGUGUGUAUGUCAUGUAAUUGUAGUUCCGUGGUUUGCCCAUGGCGAUUCCGGUUGAAUUUGAUUUCAGGGGAACAAUAAGGUCUUCAGCGUAUUUCCCCAGAACAGAAUCUGGUAUCACCGCGCUAUGCGUGGGCACUGGAUCAUGGGAUUGUCGUGUCACGAAGGUGUAGUGUACACGCUGCAUACAAGAGCAUCAGACAACUGAAACUGGAAGAGCACAUUUUCCGUGAUGUCAAACGAUGAUGGAAAAUUCCAGAAAAGCUUUGUGAAAUAGGCAUGAUAUCUAGGACACCGACAAGUGGCCACAAGGGCUCACAGAGCGACGUGGCCUGAUCCGGGCUGUUGUUCCUCAAUCGGAUGGUCAAGAUCACCACUUCGGUUCCUCCAAAAGACAGAGUCUUGGUACCGGUUUCAGCACGGACGAGAGCAUCUCUAGAAGAUAACGCAAAAUCUUGAUAGAAAAAACACGUAUUCGGUAAAACUGAAUCCGUUUUUUAGUUACUAAUUUGGUCCGGACAGAACAUAUACCGCAUACCUGAACCGUAUCAUCGAAUAUUCCCAUCUACUACAGCCAGCCCACCUCGUGGUCGUUUUCCUCCUCGUGAACGACACGAGCACCAGAAACAUCUGUUUUCUCAAUGUUCUCUCGGCGCAUCUGCUUUCUCGGUGUGCUCUCCGUGCUCGAAGACCACGGAUCUGCGUUGGGGCAUCCAUGGUGUGGCCGCGUGAGGGCUGCAGAGGAGGGCCGCACGGGGCUCCAGCACAGGCUCGAUGCGGAGGCAGGGGAAGUACCGAAGCAGUGGCGCAAGCGCGGGUGACGCUUGGCCAGAGACGGGGAAGAAGGUCGCGGGCAUGGCGGUGAGCGCACGCGUAGGGUCCAAGUUGUGGUGGAUCUCGUGCGGGGCGAUGCCGCGGUGUGUGAGGCGUCAUCUCGGACAGGCGGAGCGGCAUGAGAGCUGCUAGAGAUGCUCUGAUGUCCACUUCGAGGUCUUCUUCUGUUUCUCGUUGUAAAAACUCUCUCUUCAGCUAAAAUUAAUCUCCCUUUUGUACAUUCGUACAAUAGAGAGAUGGAGCAUUUGCACAAUAAAAAAAAAUCCUAAUCAAUUUCGGCUGCUUCCCUUGACCCUUUAAAAAAAAUUCUUCGACAGUCGAAGGUUCAAAAAUUGGCCGCGAGCAAUGGUCAGGGUGACAGGCGAAGAAACGGAACUGUGGAGACUCCAGACGAAGAAACGGGGAGGAGGGGUGCGAUCUGCCGAGUUCAAUCUUUUUUCUGCGAGUAAAGUCUAUUUUUACAGUGGUUGGCGUCGACAUCAAACCUUGACCUUGAAAUCCCUGAAUUCAGCACUUUGUACUCAAUAAUUCCGGUCAUCAAGUGCCGGUCAUUAGGUGUUGAAACAUGCUUUACAUACUGGGAUUGCUGACGUGGCUGGGAUCUUUCACUGACCAAGUCAACAUUUCGCAAACACAAGUCAAGACGUCUACGUGGCACGGUCAAUCCUACGUGGCAAAAAAAGAUUAGUCAACGAGUCAAGCCUCUCAUGCCAUAGUCAAAGGGUCAAAUGAGUUAGAGUAGAGGGCAAGAAAGGUGUGAGGAGAGAGCCCUUAGUCCAUGGUGGACCAUGGACCAAGCCCCUCUUUUCCCCCGUGGUGCACACAAAAUCUAUGGACCAAAGGAGCUACUUUUACCACUUUGCCCCCAUUUUUCUCUUUUCCUCAAGGAUAGCCAUGGUCUUUUGUCAUGGACCCCUAGGAUAUAAAUACCCCCCAUGAGGACAUGUAUCAUUGACUCUCAACUUGAAUAAACUCAAGGAGAGAGGGCUAAAGCCUCUUGCAAAGAGCUCUAGUUUCGAGAUUCGGGAAGACGCGUUCGGCCCGGACUCGAAGGAGAAGGGGUUGGGUUAGAGUUCCGAGGGUAUCCUAACCUCGAUACUUGGAAAGACGCGUUCGGUCCAAGUACGAGGCGGCCCCGACGAACCUCUCGCCAAAAGGUGUCUUGGGAAGAUCCGCUCGGUCCAAGCCCUUGGCUAACAACCCCUCGAAGCUUUUCCUAACAUAGGAUUAAGUCGCACCCGCAGGGUCGACCGAACCUAUUCAAAAAAUAUCGACGUGUCAACUUGUCCAAGUGUACGGCGACCUUCGCUAUAAGGCCGGCGUAUAUGCCCUACUUUUAUACCCGCACUUGUGUCAUCGAUCAUUGGCACCCCUUACUCUAAUUGUUGUCGAGAACAACAACAGUAGCGCCGACCGUGGGGAACCCUCGCCGCAAUUGAAGAUCUAAUGGCCCCGACGAAGCCUACUUCAUUGGGUCCCCAACUUGCCGCGAAGUCUACACGGUUGCAAACGAAGAAAGCAAGUGCCUCGGGGGCUCCCGAGGAAGAAGGAAACAUCACCAUUCCGGACGCCGCCGCAAGCAUGGUCGCCACGACGGAAGUCACAGACGCCCCUCCGGUACCGGCCGUCCCGAAAGGAACCGAGGUGUUCGAAACCGUCAUAGGCGGUCCUCGACACUUACCAACGUAGUGGCAAGGAUCGGCGAGCUGCCUACGGUUGCCGCCCCCGCAGGGGACACGGAACUCGGCAUGCCUCGCUCGAUGGGCUUCGCGCCACCUUCCCUACAACCGGUGGUAACCCUGCCCUCGGAACCUACAAGAGGAAACCAUGUGGUGUCGGGAGGAUCCGUCCAGAAAACCAAGGAGUCCCGGCCUACGACCCCUCCAACCCGGGAUUAUCUCCACUGUCGCUCGCCGCGAUCGCCCAAGGAGCUCCUUGCUAUCAUCCUUAUUGGGGGCUUCCGCCGCAAGGUGCUCUCCAAAUCACACACCCUCAACAUCAACCUCGCUUUGCGAAUGCCCCGCAAGCGCCCCUUGCUCCCCCCGCCGGGGUCGAAUAAGGCGCCCACCAGGUACCACCUCAAGCUGCGCCUCGCGAGGAACGAGACCCUAGAGUGCAUGGAAACGAGCAAGUGGUGGAAUCCGGAGCCCGUGCCGACGGCGAAAGGAAUGCCCGGCGACGCUCCGACCCUCCCAGAAAACGUCGAGAUCAUUCUCCAAGCGACCCCUCUAGCGACGAGAGCGACGAGGGAGGACCUCGCCACCGAAGGAACCAAAAGAAUCGGCCGACUUGCAACCCGCUCACUCGAGAGAUCCAAGACGCGCCUUUUUCGCCAAGGUUCAAGCCGCCCACGAUACGACCAUAUGACGGGGAGUCAAAUCCUCUUCAAUUCUUGGAUGUCUACUCCACCGCCAUACGGGCCGCCGGGGGAGGUCCCGUCGAGAUGUGCAACCUCUUUCCACUCGCGCUCACCGGAAUGGCGCAAACUUGGUUUUACAACCCGCGGAGGAACUCCGUGCACUCAUGGGAAUGCCUCCAAGAGGUCUUCAUCGCCAACUUUCAAGGAAACUUUAAGGAGCCCGUGCAGGCUCACGAGCUAUACACCGUGAAACAAAACCCGAGGGAAUCCCUCCGAAGCUUCUUCCAUUGCUUUGCGAAGGUGCAAAACCAAACGCCAACCCGCCGUCGACCACCAUGAUCGACGCAUGCAUGUAAGGUCUUCUCCAAGGAGAAGUGAAUCGGGCCCUAAGUCGAAACCCACCGAAGACGACCGAAGAGCUUUAUCGAAUCACGCCCGGGGCGAAGACGGGGACAUCACCAAGGACGUGCCACGCGCUGCUCCCGAAGGAACUCCCUCGUCCGACAAACCUCCUGCACCCGCUUCGUCUUCCAAGAAGAAGAGGAGGUGGGGGAAAAAGGGCGUCGGUGACCAAGCCCGGAAAAUCUUCGCCGUCGUAGGCCAAGCACCACCUCAAAAGGCUUGGCAAGCCAAGAAACCACCUCGUCCGACCGAGGGAGUGGCUGGAAGGUGCCUCAUCCACAACUCGGCAAGCCAUAGCACCGAAGAGUGCAACACACUCAUCGCAGCCCGCGAAGAGUUCCAGGCGCGGAUGCAAGCCCGACGCAAGGAUGAGAAGACAGCUGAGGCUCCGCGCCUCGCCAUCGUCCUUGUCGCUGACCCGGCACCCAAGGAAGAUAACCUCCCGUUCCAGGAACCUGCACAUCACGUAGGAGUGAUACUCAGGGGCUCCGCAACGGGACAAGGAUCAAAGCGACAACGCAAGGAGUAUGCUCGCGAAGUCAAUGUCGUGGGAACCUUCACCCCGACACCCCCACCUAAGUGGGCAAGCGUGCCAAUUGCCUUCACCGAAGAAGACGCUAAGGGGAUACGCUUCCCACAUGAUGACGCUCUCUUUGUGAUGGCGAUCGUCGCCAAUUGCGAGCUGAAGAAGAUUCUUGUGGACGGCGGAAGCUCCGCUGACAUCAUAUAUCUAAGCACAUUAAAGAAGCUGAUGGAGCCCAAGGGGGGGAUACAAGAACGGCUCGCUUCAGCCAUCCCUUUAUCCCCUCACAGGUUUCGUACCAGGGAAGUCCAUUCAGCCGCUCGGACAAAUUGAGCUCCUCACGACCUUCGAAGAUGCCACAAAUCACCGAACCGAGCUCGUACGCUUCGAUGUGGUGGAUAUGGAGGCCUCCUUCAACGCCAUCCUCGGGAGGACAACGCUAAACCGUCUUUGUGCCGCCAUCAACCACAAUUUCUUAUGCAUGAAGAUCCCAGGCCCGAAGGGCGUGAUAACGGUCCGCAGCGAGCAAUCUUCCGACAGGAAGACACUUUACCGCCACGAGACCAAGUGCGCCGAAAGGGAGAAUCAUCCAAGAGUAUUAACUUGCUUUCAAGCACGGGAGCAUCCGAAACCAAUUCUCAGGAGCGCUACAUCCCCAAGCCUCUCCCUGAGGGAGAACUCAAGGAAGUACGCAUCUCCCAAGAUGACGCCACGCGCACGGUGAAAAUUGGAGCCGACCUCCCGAGUAAACUCGAGGAAGAACUUGUCGGCCUGCUCCGGAAGAAUUCCGACCUCUUCGCUUGGUCACCUCCGAAAUGGGAGGAGUCCCGCGUGACGUCAUGGAACAUCGCCUCGCCGUGCGACCGGACAAAGCUUCCGUGAAGCAGAAGCUUCGGAAACUCUCCACCGAGAGAAGCGAAGUCAUCAAACAAGAAAUCGCUAAACUCUCCGACGCCGGGCUUAUCCGAGAAGUUUGGCAUCCCGAGUGGCUAGCCAAUCCUGUCUUGGUGAAAAAGGCCAGCGGCAAGUGAUGAAUGCGUGUCGACUUCAUCGACCUGAACAAGGCAUGCCCCAAGGACGACUACCCACUCCCUCGGAUUGACUAACUGGUCGACCCCACGGCGGGAUGCAAGAGGUUGAGCUUCUUGGACGCCUAUUCGGGAUAUCACCAAGUCCACAUGGCCAAGGAAGACGAGGAAAAGACCAGCUUCAUCACUCCCGUCGGCACCUUCUGCUAACGCAGAAUGCCCAUUGGAUUGAGGAACACCGGCGCGACCUUCCAACGCCUCGUUAGCCUCAUCCUCAAAGAACUAUUGGGGAGAAACGCCAAAGUAUACGUGGAUGAUGCCGUCAUCAAAAGUCAAAUUGCAGGAACUCAUCCCAAGGACCUGCAGGAAACCUUCGACAAUCUUCGCAAGUACGGCGUAAAGCUCAAUCCGGAGAAGUGCGCAUUCGGAGUUCGAGGAGGAAAACUCCUGGGCUUUCUCGUCUCUCAACGAGGGAUCGAGGCUAACCCGGAGAAAAUCCGGGCCAUCAUGGAAAUGGAGCCUCCUCGCUCCGUCAAAGAUGUGCAGCGCCUAGCGGGAAGAAUGACGGCCUUGUGACGAUUCGUCGCCCGAUCGGCCGAGAAGGGUCUUCCUUUUUUCAAAGCCUUGAGAAGCCUCGACAACUUUGAGUGGACCGACGAAGCUCAAAGGGCCUUCAAAGAACUCAAGACCUAUUUGUCGACCCCUCCGCUUCUCACGAGCCCAAAGCAGGGGGAGCCCUUUCUCCUUUACCUUGCCGCGACCCCGGUCGCCGUGAGCGCAGCACUCGUGAAGGAGGAAGACGGGUCACAACGCCCGGUAUAUUACGUGAGUGAAGCCUUGGGAGGAGCAAAAGGUCGAUACACCCAGAUCGAGAAGAUCGCUUACGCCCUCCUCAUGGCCUCUAGAAAACUCCGUCAUUACUUCAUGGGCCAUACCAUCUUGGUGCCAACCACUUUCCCACUCAAGGAAGUCUUCUGCAAUAAGGAAGCCACCGGAAGAAUCACCAAAUGGGCAACGGAAUUGGCCCCUUUCUCGCUAGAGCUCACGGCGAGAACGGCCAUAAAAUCCCAAGUCCUGGCUGACUUUGUGGCCGAGUGGAAUGCUCCGCUAGCCCCACCCGAAGAAAUCACAUCCAAAACCAAGCCCCCCGAACCACAUUGGAUAAUGAGGUUCGAUGGCUCCAAGCGUCUCGACGGCGCCGGGGCUGGAGUCAUACUCAUCAGCCCCGAAGGAAAAAUCCUGGAGUACGCCGCCCACCUGGACUUCAACGCCACCAACAGUAUGACGGAGUAUGAGGCGCUACUUCUCGGACUUCGACUGGCCAAGGCCAUGGGAGUCUGACGCCUUCUCAUCCAAGGAGACUCCCAACUGGUGAUAAAUCAAAUGGACAAGUCAUAUCAAUGGCUUGAUGAAAGGAUGAAGAAAUAUAUCGAAGAAGUUUGCAAGAUGGAACAGUAUUUCCUGGGCAUGGAGGUGCGACGCAUUCCACAAGGAGAAAAUCACCUGGCCAACAGGUUAGCCCGAACGGCGGGUCCUAAAGAACCGCUGCCGCCCGGUGCAUUUUUCGAAGUAAUCCGCGCUCCAUCCAUAAAGGAAGAAGCCGAUGCCGUUGACGAAGCUUCAAAGACCAGCAUGGUCAUCGACACUCCACCCUCUUGGAUGACAUCGAUUAUCCGCGCCUUGAAAGGCGAGGUGGACGAAGAAGCGGAAGGCCCGAGCGCCAAAACUCUGCUCGCAAUAGCCAAGAUGUACGUCCUCCUCUACGGCGCCCCACACAAGAAGGGUGUCGCCGCUUUGCUUAAAUGCAUGCCCUCGACCAAGGAGCCAAACUCCUACCCAAGGUCUAUUCGGGAAUAUGCGGCAACCAUCUUGCGCCAAACGCAACCAUGACAAAAGCCUUGCACUAGAGGUCCUAUCGGCCAACGAUGGUGCAAAGCUCAAACCCAAGGGGAGAGGGCUAGAGCAUCCCAAGGGGCCUGCUCUCGAGUGCUUGGGUCGAGCCUAGCCUCGACUUGACCUCAGGGACGCACCUUGGGAGGCCUAGUUUCGAGGUUCCGGGCCGUCUAGUACGGUCUGGACUCGAAGUAGAGGGGUCGAGUUAAAGUCUUGAGGGUAUCCUAACCUCGCUACUUGGGAAGACGAGUUCGGCCCAGGUCCAAGACGGCCCCGAAAGAUCUCUCGCUAUAAGUGACUUGGGAAGACGAGCUCGGCCCAAGCACUUGGCUAACGACCCCCUCAAAGCCUCUCCUAACAUAGGACUAAGUCAUGCCCGCAGGGUCGACCGAACCUAUUCAAAAAAUAUAGCCCGACGAAAUGGCUAUUUUCUCGCAAGGGAACGGACCUUCUCGGGCCCUCCCCUCGCAUGCAACGGGGGCUGGAGACAUGCCAUGGUGACAGGAUAAUCAAUUGCCACUUCUCCGAGAAGGUCAAGGCAUAAAUGCUUCCCUGAGGGAUUUGUGUCGCAAGUCAUCCAAAAGUUCCGGGAAAAACGUCAUUUUGCCAAAAUGAUGUCCCGCAAGAACUAAACUCCAAGGAAUUCAUAAAAUUCUGCGACCAUCUGGAAGAUAAAAGUACACUUCACCUCCAUGACUUAUCUAAAGACAAACGGCAUAGUCAAUAGAGCCAACGGACUCGCCCUCUAGGGGGCUUCGCCAAGCAGUCAAAAGUAUGAUAAGCAAGGAGGAAUGCGAGCCAAUAGGCUCGUCAAGGGUGUGGUGUGAGGAAUACGCACCUUUGCAAGCCACUCUAUAGGGCCGAACACCGUAAUUUUUGGUGCAUAGGAGCAAAAGCAAUGCUCUCGGUCAAAGUCAAGCGCCACGCGCUCACUUCAAGAGGAAAGGGCUCCAAAAAACCACCGCCCUCGCCUUCGCGAAAAAUGAAGAGCAUCAAAUUGAGGAAACUGCCGACAGAGACCUCAUGAAGCAUGCCACUUAUAAGCAGACUGCAACUCGCUUAUACAAAACAAGGGUACGAGAAUGAUUCUCCUCCGAGAAGACCUCGACCCGAAGCUCUAGCACGAGCUCGGCCCUAAGUGGGAAGUACCUUGCCGCAUCGCAGCCAAGAGGGACAUAAAGAGAGCACACGUGUCAUCCUGAAAGCAUAAAGGGAUAACUCCUCAUCAAUGCCUGGAGCCGGCAACGAGCUGCCACUUCUAUGCCUAUAAUGGCCGAAGUAACCAAGGGUGCGCCUCCGACCCUUCGGGCGAGUAUAAGUGCCAAGCCAGCCAUCUUCGCCAAGGGAUUAUAAGCGCCCUCGAGGCCAUCUCGUCAAAAAGGAAGGGAAAGGGAUGUGAGCACAAUCAUCCUUGGAAAAAUUAAGGUAGCACAUUGUCAUGUGUGUUACCUUGGCAUGUGUGGGCACUCAAAAGAGGCUCACCGUCAUCGAAAGGGAAAACCUUGUCAUGUGGCAUCGCCGCGAAAGGUUAAUCCUCCUCGUGGGGAGUUGCUGCCUAAGUGCCACUCUCCAAACUUAUCAUGGGAAGCCUACACCGGCCUAGGUAUUUCCCAUGCAGCAUCACCGCAGAGGAGAACCUUAUCAAGCGGCACCCCCGCGAAAGGAAAAUCAUCCUCGAAAAGAGUUGCUGCCCCAGUGCCGCUCGCCAAGGAAUGCUAGGAGGCCUACGUUGGCCCAAAGCAUCUCCCGAAAUGUCUCCGGACAUAAUUGUCUCAUCGGCAACCCGUUCCUUGGUGGAUCCUAGUGUGCCCCGAGGCCAUCCACCAAGCAGAACCAAGUCCCCCGAGGGCCGGAAGCUCCUUAAAACGCAUUUAAGGAGAACCGUAAAUAAGCGAGUUAUGCAUGAGCUUACUUACCUCGGAGAACCAUGCUAUCCGUGUGCGAGACGUCACGCACGGGCCUGUGUGAUAGUAACCGAAUUAAGGCUCCAUAAUAAUCGCGGAAAAGCAUAGCUUCCUGAAGUCCGAAGAGGGAAAAUUCCGCAUGAAAUUUCCCGAACGGCAGGUCGAAAUGUCCGGAUCACUACCGGCAUAUCGAUAGCGACCCUCGCAAGGGUACCAGGAUUCAUGGCUCGUAACCAUGACCUAAGGCACCGAAGCCGAGUCAUAUCCCAACGGCAACAUCAAUUGAAAGCACAAUGUGCGAGUAAUAGCGAUUGAUCGCGAGCUGUAUAAACUCGAGGAAACAUAAUAUUCCACAAAGGAAGAAAUGUAGUACUCACAACCACAUGUUGAGCUAAAGUUGACAUUUCCUUAAUGUUAAUAACAUAGCGAUACAUGGAACGAAACAAAUGGAUGCAUUGCAGGCAUAUGGCAAGCUACACGCAAGUCAUAAGGCUAUGUCAGAAGGACAAUGUGCAAAGCACAUAUGCAAGCAUUAGAGGUGACUUGUCGACUCCAAGGACGACGUAAGCUCAUACCUCCCAAAUACCCUCCGGAAGGGUGAGGUCGGAAACUCAUCACAAAGUGAGGAAUUUUGGACCAUUGAGUACCACCGUACUCCCGAGGAACUUCCUCGCCCAACAAGGUCGUCACAACCUUAGGGCUCGAAAGUGCGACGAGGUUACAACCUCCAGCAAGCCUCAAACCUUCCAAAGGUUAAAGGCGCAUGCUAAGACUUCAUGGCUCAACAAAAAGAGUUUGAAGCAAGAAAGCCACUCACCAAGUCUCGAUCUUGGUGUGAGUAGCCCACGGCACCCUACAUGGCUUGGAGAGAGCCCGAGGCCUCCUCCUUUUUUCGUUCGCGCCAAUGUCAACUCCAGAAACACCGGAUACAACUAUCACGGUACCUGGAAAAGAAGACAAGUAUGGUGUCAAAAUAUUCACCAAAGGUGGGCGGAGCAAGAAAAUGCAGAAAAGCUCACCAAAGAUAGGCAAACGAGCUCAAGCUUUGUGCUCGAGAGCGUGAAUGACUCGAACGCCACAAAGGGCAUUGCCUUGUUGCAAAAGCUCCGGUGACAUGGUUGAAACGCCAUCUUUGACUGGGUUGCCAAGCGCAAACACAACCUGUCACAUGGUGCCUAACCAAGUCGCGAUGUCAACAUACAAAACAAGAGAAUCUCGCCAAAAUUCGCUAGGGGGGCUCACCUCCAAGGUUGCCAGACAAUCAAGGUCCUUGCUUCGAUGCGAUUGGACUCCGUUGAACAAAUACCUCGGCAAACAAGACCUCGAUUCCUUUAGGGCGAGAUACCACCAAGAUUGUGGUCAACAAAAGUCUGCAUCCCGAGAGGAUUGGACUAUAUCGAGAUGGUCCUUGAACAAAAGGAAACCCUAACCCCCACCAAGUCGGGGUGCAAUCAUCUCGGUGAUAAAAAAUCCACACCUCUUAUCUUACCUGCAACAUGGGUAACGAAGCGUGUGAGCAACACUGAAGAGCCCAAAGUUCAAGGCUUGUUUCUGCAACAAAAACCUUAACUCCAAGAGUUAGGUUUGAAGGCUCAAGACUCAAAGGCCGUCGCAGAGUAUCAUAGCUCCAAGAGCCAUGGUCGCGGCAAAGAGCCGAAGGUACAAAAAGUACCACUAAAAAGUCUAACUUCAAGAGUUAGCAUUGCGAACCCAAGGUUCGGGGCCGCCGCGAAGUACCAUCGCUCCAAGAGCCAUGGCCGCGGAAAAGAGCCUAUGGUACGAAAGUACCACUUGAAGUCUAGCUCCAAGAGCUAGCACAGCGAACACAAGGUUUGAGGCUGUCAUGAAAUUCCAUCGCUCCAAUGGCCAUGGUUGCGGCAAAGAGCCUAAGGUAUGAAAGGACCACUUAAAGUCUAGCUCCAAGAGCUAGCAUUGCAAACCCAAGGUUCGAGGCCGCCGUGAAAUACCAUCGCUCCAAGAGCCAUGGUUGCAGCAAAGAGCCUACGUAAAAAAGUACCACUUAAAGUCUAGCUCCAAGAGCUAGCGUGUAGAACCCAAGGUUCGGGGCCGUCGCAACGUACCAUGGCUCCGGGAGCUAAGGUCGUGACAAUAACGAGCCCAAGGUUCAAAGGUCCAAAUUAAAGGCGAUUGCCAAAGACCCAUCUCGCCAAGCAAACAUGAAACUCGCCUAGAAAAGAUGACACAAAGAGAUUAGUAUGAGUUGCAAAGAUUCCCAAGGAAGCUACUACGGAAAAUCUACGGCAAAAGACGUCGCCAAGGCAUGCACAACCACUGGUCUAAAAAAAAGGGGAGCCAAGCUGCUGGGCUGAAAGGCCCACAGCCUGCCUACGCGAGCAAAGCUCCUCAGGCUGCAGGCCCACCUCAGGCCAGCCCAUCAAAAAAAAAGGGGAGAGAGAGCCUCACCCCCGGGCCGCAGGCCCAUCUCUCGUCCGGCCUGCCCACGUGGAGAAGAAAGAAGGAGAGACGCCGCCACCUACAGGGUGCUCGAUGAAUCGCCUGACGGGGGCACGCCUCGCGCCUCGGCGCCUUGCCACGCACGCUCGCCCGUGUCCGCGUCGUGCUGUCGUGCCCAUUUAUGUGUCAUGCCGCUCGCAUUUGCGCCGCACCAAGCACGCUCGCGCCAGCUGCGCCCUCGCUGUGCCUCGCGAGCGCGGUCCCGCUCCAAGCUGCGUGUGCCUGCGCCGUGCCGAAUGCGCCUGCCAACACCUUGUCGCGUGUGCCCGUUCCUACUCCAUGCCCGCGCCCGCGCCGUGUCGCCCGCGCUCGUAGUGCCGUGCGCUCCCAUGCGCCUGCCGCGCCCGCACGCGCACCUAGCCGCGCCGCGCCGUGCCGCUCUGUCGCACCAGUGGCACCCGGGGUACCACCGCUGCGCGACGCGUGGGCCCCGUCCUCGAGUUCCCGGGAAGGUUUCAUCGCAGGCAGCGGCUACGAGCAGUCCGGCAAGCUACUAGCCCGGAAGGGCUAGCGGGGCUUCGGGGAAUAUUCCCGCCUGGAUACCUCCCGGGAAGCCGCUUCCCGGGGGGAGGUUCCUGGGUGCGUUGGGCCCGGGCGCUUCCCGGGGAGCGACUUGCCGGGACAGGGAGUUCCCGGGCGCCUGCCCCCGCCUCAAGCGUGGGGCCCAGUAGGCAGAUCAAAAGCGCCACGCGAGUGCGUGGCAGGCGUGGGGUGCGCGGCCCCACCGGGGCAAGGAGUAAGGCGCACGGCUCAUUAAAUGAGCCGACCAACGGGGCGUUACCCGUCCGAUCAAGUGAACAGUGGCUGUCCAAUCCUACCCUAGGGUUUUAGACCCCUAGCGGCGGAGGUGGCAUCCAUGCGUGCCACCAGCUCACCGGGGGGGAGUUGUAUGCCUCUCCGCUCGACACUUGUAGCGCAUGCACCGUGGCACCUGUGGUAUCCCCUUGAGUAUAAAAGGAGGACCCCUGCCAACGGUCAAGGGGUUCGUUCGGUUGGAAUCUCAGUUGGUUCGAGUAGACGGUAGAGUUCGGCUGAGUUCGGUCAUCCCACAGUUAGCCUCUAGCUUGAGCAGAGAAUAGUAAGGAGUACCUUGCCAAAGGGAGAGAGUACCCGGGAACUUUUCCGGCAGCCUGUAAACACUCGAUUCACAACCAAUACCAGCUCAAACAAGCAGGACGUAGGGUUUUACACCUCCGGGUGGCCCGAACCUGGGUAAAAACGUGCAUGUAUCGUUUCCUUGAUUAGCGCGCACUUUCAGUACAUCCUUUCGCCGGCCCCGCAGGGCCUCAUCGGCCGAGCCGGCGAUCGCCGGGGUGAACCCCGACGCCCCUACCGAACCUAAAAGGGGGCCGUGACCGCACGCCCCCGGUGUCGGAGCACCCUGCGACGACAUCUGGCGCGCCAGGUAGGGGGCGCGCCAGAAGAGCCUGCCGGUGGUCGCCGGCAGCAUCGUUUGCGUCGACGUCGGCCUCGCCUUCUUCGCCGACGAGAAUAGUCGCCAUGCCCCCCAAGCGGGCUGGUGAUCCUCGUAUAAACCCGCGUGAAGCCUCAGCGGCGCACACGCGGUCGCAUGACAUGCGACCCGAGUCAGGGGCUCCGGAGAAUCCCGAGCCCUCGAGGGUAUAGCAAACACAGCUGCCUCCCCUGCCUCCUCGGCCGUCUACCGACAAUCGGCCGAGGGGACCGGCUGCCCCCAAUGCCAGGGCCACUCGCGCGAGCACGCACGGUGCCGCCUGCGCCGGGCAGCGGGUUGAGUCGCGGGCCGAGGAUGCUCCGCGACAGCGGCAGCAGGAGCAUACCGCGUCACGGGCGACCCCUGGGGGUUCGCACCCAGCACACCCGGAGGUGUCCGGGGCCAGAGCGGGAAGCAGUCGCUCAGGAAACCGGUUGCCCCCCGCACGAACCCCGGCGGAAGCCAUCAUCGCCGCACGCGUCAUGGUGCGAUACGAACCGCAACAAGGCACACCGGCGCACGAGACGUGGGGCGAGGAGUUAGAAGCACAUCUCGCCCUGGCCGCCCAGCAGCCGCAAGGGGAGGGCGCCCCGGUAGGCUCCGGCCACGGGCAGAACCCAGAGCGCGGGGACGCGCCACCCGCCUCGCGACAGGGGGAGAAUCCUCCCCCUCCGCAGGGAGGCCAAGGAGACAGGGGCCCGGAGGGGUCCUCGAACUCGUCGCUCACCGUUCCGGGGGGCGAUGCACGCGGCAUCUUGAAUGCCCGCCAGCAAGAGGAUUUGCGCCAGCGCUUGGAGUGCCCGCGCAGGCGCGAGGUAGAGCGCCAGCGUCCACAGGAGCAGGAAGACGCUCCCAUGGGCCCCGAGGACGGUUGCACCGCGUUCACGCGCGAGUUGCGACGGGUGACGUGGCCCCGUAAGUUCCGAGCGCCCGCGCUCGGUACAUACGACGGGACCGCCAACCCCAAGGAUUUCCUCCUGACCUACACGUUGGGCAUGCACGCCAUCGGCGCCGUUGACAAGGUCAGGGUCAACUGGUUCCCGAUGGUCCUAAAAGGAUCAGCGCGAACCUGGCUGCUCAACCUGCCCACCGGGUCCAUCGCCACUUGGGCGGACCUGCGCAAGCAGUUCGUGAGCGCGUUCCAGGGCGGCUAUAAGUUCCCGAGAACCAUGGCGGAGCUGCACACUAUCGUGCAGAAGCUGGGAGAGACGUUGUGGGCCUUCGUCAACCGCUUCUCCAACCUCUCCUAUUCCAUCCCAGAGGCGGAGGCGGCUGCUAUCAUCAACACCUUCGCCAUCAACGUCCGUGAUCCCAAGAUGCGCGAGAAGCUGAGCACGCAUCGGAUCCGGACGACGCAGGACCUGUACGCCCUGGUGCACAAAUGCGCCAUGGCCGAGGAAGGGCGCCUAGCGCCCGAGCUUGCAGCUAAGGCUGCCGCGAGCCCUGGCGAGGGUUCGCAGAAGAAGGGUUCCCGCAAGUGCAGCGGAAAGUAAGUUCUCGCUGCAGACUCGGGGGCUCCUGCCGUGAGGCCUGCGAAGAAGGCCUCGUCGGGUGGUGGAUCUGGCGGGAAGCAUGGCAACGCGCCCCGCUGCCCCAUAAACAGCAACUCCACCCGCGACGCGCAGAACUGCCGUGUUCUGCAGGGGAUCAAGCAGCGGCGGGAGGAGCGCCAUGAGGAGCGCCACGCCGCCAGUGGCUGCUUCAACUGUGGCGACAUCGGGCAUCUCUUCCGAGACUGCCCGAACGACCCCAGGGCGGGGCCAAGGCCUGCCGGUGGCGGUGCCGCAGGGAUGAACCCCAAGGGGGGCGCGGUCAGCCCCGCGCUGGGCGGGAACGCCCACCCCGGGGACGCGACAGCGCACGCGCUGAGGAGCAGCGCGAGUCCGACUGUACUGGCGGUGACGAGCCGGGCUUCCAGGAGCCUCGUGGCGUCGCUUGCAUCCAUGGUGGAGCUUACGCUCUCCCAUCCCACGCCGCGGUGAAGCGCCUCACCCGCGACGUGUGCGCACUGUUGCCGGAUGCGGAGCCGCAACAGCCGCUGAGGUGGUCGCAUGUGCCGAUCACCUUCAGCGCCGACGAUCACCCAGCAUGGCAGUUGGGUUCAGGGGUAAUACCUUUUGUCGUCUCGCCGAUCAUUAGCAAUAUGAUGGUGACCAAGGUGCUGGUGGACAACGGAGCGGGGCUUAACCUCCUGUCCGCCAGGCUGGUGGAAAAACUCCAGUUGCCGGUGGAGCAGCUGAAGCCCACCGACCCGUUCCGGGGGGUGAACCCCGGGAUCGUGCGCCCGCUGGGACGCAUCACGUUGCCGGUCACCUUUGGGUCCCGAGAAGCGUUCAGGACCGAACACAUUGUGUUUGACGUGGCGCAUACCCCGUUGCCCUACAACGGGAUCCUUGGUCGGCCAACGCUGAUCAAGUUCAUGGCGGCCACGCAUUGCGCUUAUGGCGUGAUGAAGAUGCCGUCCGUCUAUGGAGUUCUCUCCAUCAGGUGCGACCUCAAGGACGCGGCCUGGUGCGUCGGCGAGGUCAUCAGGCCGCUGCCGCAGCUGACGCCGGCGACGAAGACGCUGCCGGAGACAGUUUGUCGGGCGAUGCCCCGGCAACGAAGAAGGCCCGCGCUACCCCGCAAGAGCUUGUCGGGGGAGGCGCAGGCUCGAGCUCGCGCCCCGGCAAGGGGCAGAAGCUCCGGGAGGAGGCCGCCAAGGUGAAGAACCUGCCCCUCCAAGCCGGCGACAAGGAGGGCACCGUUACUGUCGGUGCGAACCUUGCAGCCGAAUAGGAAAGCACCCUCAUCACCUUUCUCCGGGAUAAUGCCGACGUGUUCGCAUGGGAACCGUCGGAUCUUCCCGGAGUCCCCAGGGAGGUGAUUGAGCAUCGGCUCGCGGCGCGCCCCAUCAAGCAGAACGUCCGCCGGCAAGCACAAGAGCGUAAAGAUUUCAUCAAGCAAGAGGUGGACAAGCUCAAGGCUGCCGGAGCGAUCAGGGAAGUUCUGUACCCUACUUGGCUGGCUAACCCUGUAGUAGUGCCUAAAGCAGGGAAUAUGCUUUGCAUGUGUGUAGAUUUUACUGAUCUUAAUCGCGCAUGCCCCAAGGAACCCUUUCCUGUACCCCGUAUCGAUCAAAUAGUUGAUUCUACCGCUGGUCGUGACUUGCUGAGUUUUCUGGAUGCUUUCUCCGGCUACCAUCAAAUCAAGAUGGCGGUCGAGGAUGAGGAAAAGGCAGCGUUCAUCACCUCGGUUGGCUGUUAUUGUUAUACAUGCAUGCCUUUCGUGUUGAAGAACGCGGGCUCCACAUUUCAGCGCGCCCUGCGCGAAUGUUUGGGGCCCCAGCUAGGCCGCAACACGGAGGCCUACAUGGAUGACAUCAUCAUCAAAUCGAAGCGUGGGGACUCGCUGAUUGAUGACCUGCGGGAGACGUUUGACAACCUCUGCAGGAUCAAGCUCAAGCUGAACCCUGAUAAGUGCACCUUCGGUGUCAACUCCGGGCAGCUUCUGGGUUUCUUGGUUUCACACAGGGGGAUACAGGACAACCCGAGCAAGAUAGAAGCCAUCGAGAAGAUGGAGGACCCCCCGCAAGGUGAAGGAUGUCCAGCGCCUCAACAGCUGUGUUGCCGCGUUGGGAUGUUUCAUCUUUAGGCUGGGCGAGCGUGCCCUGCCUUUCUUCAAGGUGAUGAAGAAGAAGGGUCCAGUCGACUGGACUCCUGAGGCCUAGGCGGCGUUCCGGGAACUCAAACAGUACCUGAGGUCGCCGCCCGUCCUCGUCGCCCCCAAGCCGGGCGAGCCGCUGCUACUCUACCUAGCGGCGAUUGACUAGGUGGUCAGCUCGGUGCUGGUUGCCGAGAGGGAGGAAGAUGUCCCGGGUACUGAGGCUGCGGGGCAGGGGGCUGAGCGGCCCCCGGCAACCGCCUUGGACCCGAGGACCACCCCCGAGUCGGCAACCUCGGCACCGCGGAAGCGGUUGGUGCAGCACCCGGUGUACUUCGUGAGUACGGUGCUGCGCAACGCGCGGACGAGGUACCCGCAAGUACAGAAGCUCCUUCAGGGGAUUCUCCUUACGUCCCGCAAACUGCGCCACUACUUUCAGGCGCACCACGUUACGGUGGUGUCGGCGUUCUGCCUUGAACGGGCCCUCACCAACCGUGAAGCCACCGGGAGGGUGGCCGAAUGGAGGAUGGAGUUGUCGGAGUUCGACCUUCACUUCGCCAACUCUAAAAGCAUUAAGAGCACGGCCUUGGCGGAUUUCGUUGCGGAAUGGACGUCUAUGGGCGUGGAAGAGAAUGAACCAGAGACCAGCCUGCCCGGCAAGCUGGACGAGGACCACUGGGUCCUCUACUUCGACGGCGCGUUCAGUCUCCAAGGAGCAGGCGCCGGAGUCGUCAUCGAGUCACCGACAGGGGACCAGUUGAGGUUCGCUGUCCAACUCGAUUUCGCGAACUCCACCAACAACACUGCGGAGUACGAGGGCUUGCUCGCCGGGUUGCGGGCGGCAGUCGCCCUCGACAUCAAGCGCCUAGUUGUUCGCGGCGAUUCCCAGCUCGUGAUCAACCAGGUGAACAAGGACUACGACUGCCCACAAAUGGCACCGUACGUGUAGGAGGUCCGCAAGCUAGAACGUAAGUUCAAAGGUUUGCGUUUCGAGCACGUCAAGCGAAAGGAUAACUUCGCUGCUGACGAGCUGGCCAAGAUGGCAGCAGAGCGCCGGAAACCUCCGGCGGGGGUGUUCUGUCAGAAGCAAGCGGCUCCUUCAGUCGCCCCCAGCCGGCUGCUGGGGACGCCCCUCCGGCAACCGAAGGAACCCUUGCCGCAGCAGGGGUCCAUCUCGCUAACAUAGCGGCAUGUGUUGGCAGGGAGAUCCCUCUCUGGGCGGAAGAGAUCGCCCACUACUUGAAAGGAGGGGCUCUCCCGGAAGAUAACGUCGCCGCGGAACGAGUAGCGCAGCAAGCCAAAAUGUACACUAUGGUGGAUGGGAACCUCUACCGCAGGCGUGCAAACGGUGUCAAGCUUAUCUGCGUGCCGUAGAAAUAAGGGCACGCACUGUUGGAGGACAUACACCGAGGCACAUGUUCACACCAUGUGGCCUCCCGGGCUUUAGCCGGCAAGGCGUUUCGGCACGGCUUCUACUGGCCCACAGCCAUGGCCGACGCGGAGCGGCUGGUGAGGACGUGCGAAGCAUGCCAGUUCCAUUCGAAGAAAAGCAACCAGCCGGCGCAGGCCCUACAUGUCAUCCCUUCCUCGUGGCCGUUCGCGAUCUGGGGGCUCGACAUCGUCGGUAAGCUACCAAGGGCGGUUGGCGGUUACGAAUAUCUGUUCGUGGCCAUCGACAAGUUCUCUAAGUGGGUGGAGGUGGAACCAGUGCGGAAAGUGACCGCCCAGGCAGUCAUCAAGUUCUUCAGAGGCAUCGUGUGCCGGUUUGGUGUGCCUAACAGCAUCAUCACCGACAACGCCACACAGUUCACGAGCGCGGCGUUUCAAGCCUAUUGUGAAGACAUGGGCACUAAGCUGCGCUUCGCGUCCGUUGCUCAUCCGAGGAGGAACAGACAGGCGGAGCGAGCCAACGCAGAGGUGCUGCGGGGCUCAAGACGAGAACCUUUGACAAGCUCAAAGCCCACGGGAUACACUGGGUCGAAGAACUCCAGCCCGUGCUGUGGUCAAUCAGGACCACACCUAGUCGGGCAACGGGCGAAACUCCUUUCGCCCUUGUCUACGGGGCAGAAGCGGUGCUGCCCCUCGAUCUCAAGCACGGAUCUCCCCGGGUACGAACGUAUGGCGACACCAGCCAACGCGAGCAAAGGGUUGACGAUAUAAACUUCAUCGAAGAGCUUCGAUGCCGGGCUGCUGUGCGAGCCUCGCGCUACCAGCAGGGACUCUGUCAUUAUCACGAUAGGCGAGUCCGUCCCCGGGGGCUCGAGAACGGAGACCUUGUCCUGCGUCAGAUACAAGAAACGAAGGCCGGGAACAAGUUUACUCCGAAAUGAGAGGGGCCCUUCCGGGUAGUGCAGGUGACCAGGCCGGGGGCUGUCCAGCUGGAAACCGAAGACGGCUUGCCGGUGCCCAAUAGUUGGAAUAUUGAGCACUUGCGCAAGUUCUACCCGUGAAGCGGUGGAGCCCGACCCUUAGGUGAUGCCGCCGAUGCAUGCCUCUCGAACUAGUGAAGCCGGGCAGCCCCCGUGUGUAAACCACUAGUUAUUGUGAAUAAAGCUUUAAAUUCGCCUUGUUUAUUUGCAUGUUCCUCCUCCUUCUGUCUCCCGCUUUAAGUGCACAAAAGUGUCUUUCCAUACUUGGUUGUGAGCAGGGGGCUGUUGGAGCCUCGAAAACAUUAACCCGUUGCCGGAUCGUUCCGAUACGGGACAUGCAGUUCCGGGCUUCCCGCAACGUGCAUCCCUGGACAUGCAGUUGCCGGGCUUCCCGCAACGUGCACCGCGCAGUCGCUGUGCCUGGGAAAUGAAAUGCUCACACCCAAGUUUGGCAUCGACCCCUUUGUGCCUGGGGGCUGGGAGGCAGGAGGAGUUUGUCUGUGUUGCUUUGUGUAUUUUCAUGAAUUUCGAAAAAAAAUUGCAGCACCUCGGGCCUGGUAAGAAUCUAACUUGCAGGAAAGGGUGUAAUCUUGUGCACUGUGGUGCCCGUGGGCUGCCCACGGGUCGCGGCAUGCACCGGUGCCUUGUGGUGCGGGACGACCGCAACACAAGAGACUCACCGCACUCCGAGGAUUCUGCCCCACGGUGGGCUCCACCACGUGUACCACAGUUGCUUGGCAUGCAUGGUGGCGGAGACUGUACCGCGUUUCAAGGGAGGGGUGCCACGGGUGCUGGGCGGAUCCGUCGCGCGCGGUGGCAAACCCACCUCCCGCGCCUAUAAAAGGCACGCCCCAGCCACGGAACGGCUCAGAGCGAAGCCGGGUGAGGGGCCGUUAAGGCGGGCGGUGCCACGGAGGCGCGAUGGUGGUGCAUUCCAUCAGCGCUUAGCACCGACGGGUGCGCUACCAUCGCGCCCCUGCCGCAUCACCCCAUCGAGCCCGCCCCGAGGGGCGUCGUAGAGGCACGGUGGUAGUGCAUGCCAUCAGCGUUCUGCGCCGACGGGUGCACUGCCGCCGUGCUCCUGCCGCACCUCCUCAAGCGGGUGGCUCCUGGGCGAGGGUCGCCGCGGAGGCACUAUGGUGGUGCAUUCCGUCAGCGUCCGGCGCUGACGGGGUGCAUUGCCGCAGUGCCCUUGCUGCGUCCCUUCAUAAGACACCUCCGCAAGGAGCAGGGGCUGCCGCAGAGACUCUAUGGUAGUGCAUGCCAUCCGUGCCUUGCGCCGACGGGUGCACGGUCAUAGUGUCCCGGCAGCAUUCCCCUUGAGAGAGCCUUAUUUCGGGCGCGAGUCGUUGCGAGGACGCUGUGAUGGCGCCGGUGUCGGCGCCCGCCGCCCAUUCUGGCCCAUCACCGCGUCCCUGCCACAGCCCUCGAGCAGUUUUGCUCCCGGGCAACGAGGGUUGUUACGCCCCUCAGGACGAGCUCCCCAGAAAAACCAGGUCUUCCCAGUUGCGGGGGCUGUCGCCGGGAGGCUAUAACUUCCUCGCCACCCGUGCCCGCCGCUCGGGGUGGGGCACAGCUGGCGGCGAGGACGUUAUAGCCAUCUUGCGGCUGCUCCCGAGGUGGAGUCCUCCUAGGCCAGGGUCCCUCCCUGAAGGCGAGUGUCGCUGCAUGAGCGUGGUGGUAGCAUCGUCGUCAGCGGUUGCCGCUGGCGGCAAUCCUGCCCCCGCGUUCCUGUCGCAUCCCUCAGAAACAGUUUCCCUUGAACAGGCACCCGAGGUGGAUCCCUACCAAGGCAGUGCUCCAGGUGGUCUUUUCCGCCAAGCGUCACGAGGCAUUGGACUGAACGGAAAAGCUAAGUGCGUGAACAUGAACGCUGAAUUCGCUAAAAACGGAACGAAAUUGAGCGUUAUCUCGUUGGGUGUGGCCCCAGAUCCUGCGCGUAGCCGGAGUGUUAAAAGGAUGCUUGCGGGGGGAGUGCGCUCCCCGUGUGGCUUCGCGGGUCCGUCCCGGAAGGGCACGGCUUGGAGUAGUUACCCCGCAAGUGGAGUGGCUCCCCACUACCGCUUGGCCCCAGGUCAGCACCGCGAGUCCGUCCCGGGUCCCUGGUCUGGUCAAGGGUGAGGCGCGCGAGUCCCCCGCAACACAAGGCAAAAUGCGCAAAGGCUAAAAGGGCCGCCCCGCUAGACAGCACCAGGAACAAUGAACAUGUCGAAAAACUUAAUUGACUAAGAGUCGAACGAUUACAUGGGCUAAUCCGAAGUAUAAUUGUUCAAACAGCGCUAAGCGCCACACUUGCAGGGAAAGCAAACAAAAGAAGAUACAUCGGGGAGCAACAAGCACGGCUGGGGGCUGCGGCAACUAGUUGCCGCCAUCUUCGGCCGGGGGGUCGGUGGGGAGAUCGGGCUCCGGCUUCAUCUGCAUCCGCUCGACCACCUCGUCAACGAACUCGCGCACUGCUUGGGUGUGCAUGGGCUCGUCCUCGCUGUCGGACCAAGCGUCCAGCAGGGACUCGAAGGGAAACUCCGGGUGCCGGAGAUGAAUCCGCGGGAGGAUUGUCCCGGCAACCUUCCGAGCGCAGUUGGCGACUUCGUUGGCGUCGUACUGGGCGAUCCAGACGUCGAGCGCCCCAAGCUUUCCCACCAGAUCGGAGAAGAAGGGGAUCAGCGUCGUGACAUCUAUUCCGUCCACUUCCGUCGCCUGCAGCUCGAACUUGGGCAGCAGGUCGCGCAGCGGAUGGGCGAUCUUCAGCAGCUUCUCCGUCUCGAUCUGCCGCUGCCCGAUCAGCGUGCCGUGAUGGAGUCGAGCGUCGUGCACGGCCUUUUUGGCCUUGUGGACAUUGCCUUCCAUCGCCGCGAGCUCCGCGGUCUUCACCGCGAUCUCGUUGCCGGCCUUGGCAAGCUCCUCUCGGACGGCGGCCAGCUCGGUCUCAAGCCUGGCCGCUGUCCCUGGCGGAGCCGAGCUCGGUCUCGUGCCGAGCCGCUGCUCCCACCGCAUCUUCGGUGGCCUUGACUUGCACCUCCAGCAUGUCGCAGAAGCCUUGGAUUUCGCCGAGGUAGUUAGCGAUCAGGACACUCUUCUCGUCCAGCCGGGUCUGGGCCGCCGCGACCACCUCGGCAUGUUCCUUCCUGGUCGCCUCGAGGGUGGCCGCCAUUGAGUCCAGCUUCCCUUGAAGCUCCGUGCGCUGGGCCUCCAGCUGCCGGUGGAGCUCGGCCUCCGGGACCACCGGCUGCCAGGCGUCCUCCAAGGCUUGCCGGGCCAGCCGCGCCUCCUCCUCGGCGAGGCGCGUCUCCUUGCGCCGCCGGGACAGUUCUCGCCGCUCUCUCUCCACGACCUCCCGCACCUCGCCAAGUUGGUUCUUGGCGGCAGCGUGAUGCUCCCUCACCUCGUUGAAGGAGGUGACGAAGACCUGUUGCUGGUCCCUAACGGCGUCCAGGAACCGGUGCCCCCGUUCGAAGAUGCUCGGAUCCUAGGUGAGGGGGUUCCAAGCGACCCCGGCGAGGGUGCCGAGGUCGGUACCGGGGAGAGCAGCCGAGGACGAUGAAGCCCCCGCUGCCAAUGUGAGGCUGUGCGCGGGGUUGCCAGCCUGCUCCCGGGGGUCCUGUUGUCCUUCCCCGGCAACUUCCCCUGCGCCUGCGCCUAGGGACCCCGGGGCUGGGGAAGCCUCCCUGCUCCCGGCGGGGGCUGUCCCCUACUGGGCGGCAGGUGAGUCCGCGCCAGUCGCGUCCGCAGCUGCGGGCACGUCGCCGGGCGCCGUCAUAGCGGCGGCGAUGUCCACCGCUGCCACUGUCUCUGCCGCGGUGGGGCUUGACGUGAGAGUCGGUUCCGGCUCCACCUCCGCCCCCGCGACCUCGACGACCGGGUCAAGAUCGACCACGGUCGCGCCCGUUCCAGGUGUGGGCGCACUUGUGCCUACGACGAUGAUAAGCAUGAGGAUCGGCGAGUAAUGGGCUGGCGAAAACGGACAAGGGUGACCAAGAUGGUUACCUUGCGCGGCUGUCGGGCUUGCGGGGGGAGCCUCUCCUGCCUUGCCUGUGCCGGCGGGAGCGUCCAAGAGGCUUGCCGCGCGCGGGCUGCCGGUCACUGCGAAAAGAGGUACGUUCAUGAGUUUGGCUAACAAAAAUUGCAGCUGCGGAGAAGUAAUGAAGACAUACUGGUUGCUGGCCCUGCCUCCGUGGGGGCUGGGCCGUCAGGGGGCGCGAUCGCGUCGCUGCCAACCCUUGCGGCGGUGGGGUCGGCGGCGCCACUGGCAUCGGCGCGCGCCCUCUUGCUUGGCGUGACGGGCGGGGAAUCGCUCCUCGCCCUCUUGCUGGCACCCGUCCGCGAGUUGGACUUCAGGAGGUUACGUCGGAGCGCGAAUCCCCGGAAGACCCCCCGAGCAGGUGGCGUCGUAGGCGCCCGCGGGGUCGUCGCGACCCGGAGAGCCCCGGGUGUCGACGGUGAUGCCGCCGCAGUGCCGGGAGCCGAACUUGAGGAGGCUCCCGCUACCGGGGCGAAGGCCGUUGCCGAGACUCCGGCGACCCCUGCGGACGCGGGCGCUGCCGGAGUAUCGGCAGGCGCCCCGGGACCGGCUGCCGCCACGGUGCUGGUGGCUGCCGCUGAGGCGGAGGACGCCGACGAGCGCCCCUGAAGCGGCCGCCAUCGCAAGGUUGGUGGCCGCUGCCGGGGCGGACGUCGCCGUUGAGGAGAUUGCUGCGGCCGCUGCAAAUGCCCUCGAUCUCCUCACGAUCAGGGGCGUGCUGUCGCUGCUUUCGUCGUCAUCGUCCACGGGGACGACCUCCGGGGACGCAACCGCCUGGCCCGCCUCAUCGUGCAGCGACUGGAGGGAGGGCCAGCUGGGCUCAGAUCCGCCCCCGCUCUCCUCGAGCACCUGCUGCUCGCGGGGUGCUUGCGGGGGAGCGUGCGGGACCCGGGUGGGGGUGUCGUCCAUCAACCCCCACUCAUUGCAGGGCGGGAAGGCGCCGACGAUGUCGCUGAGCGCCUUGACGCCGACGUGAAGGCAGGAAACCCCCAGCGAGAACUCCGUUGAUUAGAAGGUCUCGCCGGAGAUCCCCCUCACCCAUGUCCUGAGGGUCUCCAAGUCCACGCCGUCCUGCUAGAGGCGUGUCCUGUCCCCGGGACCCGUGUACAUCCACGCGGGCCGGGAGCGUAGCUGCAGAGGGGCUAUGCGCCGAUGGACGAAGGUGCGUGCCACGUCCAUGUCGGUGAGCCCCGCUAGCCGCAGCGCCUUGAUCUUCUCCACGAUGGGGAAGAGGUCGGCGUCGCGGUGGUACCUGUCUGCCAGCCGUUCUGGGGUUGCGGCAGCUCCGUCGGCGACUGGAUGAACUCCUGGGGGUCCUCCACUCGGACCCAACACCAAUCGCUCCGCCACUCCUUUUUGAUUUUCUUCCCCGACCGGACGAUGAAUUCGGACUUCAUCUGGUCGCGGGCGCGGAAUACCACCCCCGACGACAUUGCCUUCGCGUUGUCAAUGCGGGGGUAGAAGUAGUGGCGGAAGAGCCCCACCGACGGCAUCACCCCCACGAACGCCUCGCAGAGGAACUGGAAGGUGGCGAGGAGGAACAAUGACGUGGGGUGGAGCUGCGCCACCCGCAGCUGGUAGGACUCCAUCAGUGCGUGGAGAAAUAGUGAGAAGGGCGGCACCAGGACGCAGAGGAGGAAGCGCGCGAACACCCAGAAGUCGUUGUCCUGGUGCUCGACGCCCGCCGGGAAGAUCAACGUCUCCCCGUGCUCGUUGAAGUUGGAGGCGACGGCGUGCCGGAGCUUCCCCAGUGCCUCGCCGUUGUAGCCGGGGCGGAAGAAGGCGACCGCGGCCCGCAUCUCCCGCCUCUUCUGGUACUUGGCGGCGGCCGCCUUGGUUGCCGCCUCACUCUUGCUGGCCGCGGUUUUCUUUGAGACCUGGAUCUCCUUCCCCUUUCUGGUGGUGGGGGGCGCCAUGGAAUGCGAGGGCGAAAGCUAGCAGGAGCGCUGGGAUGCGAGAUGCGGAAGGGGAUGAAGACGAAGGCUAUGGGGGCAGAGUGUUUUUCCCCUUUUGGCAACAGUACAGUACGAGCCUUAUAACGCCCGGCCGUUUGGUAAUGGCCGGUUCCGUACCCUACGGGUGCGCUGGGAUAACUCCUAAUCAUUACGAGUAAUACGCGGCGUGGCCUUAACUUCCCUAUUUAGGGGGGGUGUUUGGGGCGGAAAUCACGCGCCCACUACUCCGUUUGUAACGGCGCCGUACACGGGGCAGUGAAGGGACGCGGGCCGCGGCAAAUCGGGGCCCACACGUCGGUUAAGGGCGUAGCCCGGAAACCGACCUGGGGGAGACUCAUCCGGGAACAGGUGAUGCCGGCCCACGCCCGGGGGCUACUGUCGCACCAGUGGCACUCGAGGUACCACCGCUGCGCGACGCGUGGGCCCCGUCCUCGAGUUCCCGGGAAGGUUUCAUCCCGGGCAACGGCUACGAGCAGUCCGGCAAGCUACCAGCCCAGAAGGGCUAGCGGGGCUUCGAGGAAUAUUCCCGCCUGGGCACCUCCCGGGAAGCCGCUUCCCGAGGGGAGGUUCCCGGGUGCGUUGGGCCCAGGCGCUUCCUGGGGAGCGACUUGCCGGGACAGGGAGUUCCCGGGCGCCUGCCCCCGCCUCAAGCGUGGGGCCCAGUAGGCAGAUCAACAGCGCCACGCGGGUGCGUGGCAGGCGUGGGGUGCGCGGCCCCACCGGGGCAAGGAGUAAGGCGCACGGCUCAUUAAAUGAGCCGACCAACGGGGCGUUACCCGUCCGAUCAAGUGAACAGUGGUUGUCCAAUCCUACCCUAGGGUUUUAGACCCCUAGCGGCAGAGGUGGCAUCCAUGCGCGCCACUAGCUCACCGGGGGGGGGGGGAGUUGUAUGCCUCCCCGAUCGACACUUGUAACGCAUGCACCGUGACACCUGUGGUAUCCCCUUGAGUAUAAAAGGAGGACCCCCACCAACGGUCAAGGGGUUCGUUCGGUUGGAAUCUCAGUUGGUCCGAGUAGACGGUAGAGUUCGGCUGAGUUCGGUCAUCCCACAGUUAGCCUCUAGCUUGAGCAGAGAAUAGUAAGGAGUACUUAGCCAAAGGGAGAGAGUACCCGGGAACUUGCCUGGCAGCCUGUAAACACUCGAUUCACAACCAAUACUAGCUCAGACAAGCAAGACGUAGGGUUUUACACCUCCGGGUGGCCCGAACUUGGGUAAAAACGUGCGUGUAUCGUUCCCUUGAUUAGCGCGCACUUUCAGUACAUCCUUUCACCGGCCCCACAGGGCCUCGUCGGCCGAGCUGGCGAUCGCCGGGGCGAACCCCGACGCCCCUACCAAACCUAAAAGGGGGUCGUGCCCGCACGCCCCCGAUGCCGGAGCACCGUGCGACGACACGCCCGCGCCCGCGGGCGCACCACGCUGUGCCGUGUCCGCGCCCCCGCUUUGCCGCUCACACGCGCACCACGCCGCGUUGCGCACCUAGCCGCGUCGCUCCGCGCCGCGCCGCGCCUGCGUUGUGCCACCCGCGCCCACGCGCGCCCCGGGCCGUGCCGUGCCGACGCCCGCGCUCCGUCGCCGACGCCCGCGCACACCCCGGGCCAUGCCGUGCCCUGGCUGCGCUGCGUUCUACCGCCUGCGCCUGUGCGCAUCCUGCUGCGCCAAGGCCGAGCAAGGGCUGAGCCCGCGUCCACAUUGCGCCCCAGCAUGCGUGCGGCCAUGCCGCUCCCUCACCUCACCAAGCCGAGGCCACACUCGUGCGAAGACACGCCCACUUCCACGCCCGGAAGCGACGCCCCGGGAGCGCUCGACAGAAUGCCCACGAAGACUCGGAGAUGGAGAGCUUCCGCGGCAGCACCUCGGCAACCAAUGCGACCUCCGUCAUGAGCAGAAAGUGGCUAAUGCCCCUACGAGGCGCCUACAAUACACCAACCUCUCGAAGAGAUGUCGGGCGCCGCCGAACUCGUCUUCGACGCCGGACAAAUCAAACAAGCAUGGUGUAGGCUUCUCCAGUGGAUGGGGGUUCCAUUUUAUAGGCCACCGGAGUUCCUAGACGUCCGGGUCGGGCCAAUGGGGCGGCGACACCUCGCCGUCCUUCAUCCCAAGGAACAAGACAAGGAGAGGAAGAAAGAAGCAAGGGAAGUUUUGCCUUUUCCCAAAAGGAGGCCGGCCUGGCCGAAGAGGGGCGCCCCCCGCCCGGGCCCCGUGUCCCGGCCGUGCCGGCGACACCUCCGGUGACGGGCGUCGCCUGCAAAGGCGAAAGGCAGCCCCUAACGGUCCCUCCCCCGUACGAGGGAAGAAGAAGGACGGUGGUCGUCCGAUCUAGGGUGCCAGGCCGCUUGCGAACCGUCGGAUCGACAACUUAGUCCUGAACCGGUACCGGGCUCUAACUGGGCCACGGCCCAGUAUUGGCCCAGGAAGUCGGCCGGAAUAAAAAAAAAGGAAAAGGGGGCUGCGCGCCCAGGGACGGCCCAGGUGCCGGCCCGGCGUGAUCCCGCACCCCCGAAAAUGGCCCAGCCGGGGAAAUUGCUAAUAAGACCCUGAAAAUUUCGGGGAGGCCCGCAGGGCCCCUGAUUUUUGCAAAAAAGUCCUCCUGGACACCGGAUUUCUCGCAGAGAGGCCCCUAGGUCCCGGUUUUGCUAAAAAUACCCCCCGAAACUCAAUUUCUCGCAAAGAACAUCGUCAUGGGCAUGGAAUCGCCCCACGGCGCCUCCAAAACUCCCAUUUUUUGUAGGAAAACCAUCGAGUACUUCUGCUUCUCAUAAGGAAGCCAGCCAGGGAAUUCAUCAAGGACACCAUCGCAAAUACAACGACAUGAUUCAAGAGUCUCACCUCAGAGGUUGACCCGAAGGCAUUCUCAAUGCCUCCAGCUCAAGGGGGCUACUGUUGUAGUAAAAUAAAACCCUUAUAUGGGCCGGGUCAUAAAUUCUACGUGGCGACGACCAAGUCAACAUUUCGCAAACACAAGUCAGGACGCCUACGUGGCACGGUCAAUCCUACGUGAUAAAAGAAGACUAGUCAACGAGUCAAGCCUCUCAUGCCAUGGUCAAUGGGUCAAAUGAGCUAGAAUAGGGGGCAAGAAAGGUAUGAGAAGGGGGCCCUUAGUCCAUGGUGGACCAUGGACCAAGCCCCUCUUUUCCCCCAUGGUGCACACAAAAGUUAUGGACCAAAAGAGCUACUUUUACCACUUUGCCCCACUUUUCUCUUUCUCUCAAGGAUAGUCAUGGUCUUUUGUCAUGGACCCCUAGGUUAUAAAUACCCCCCCAUGGAGGCAUGUAUCAUUCACUCUCAACUUGAAUAAACUCAAGGGGAGAGGGCUAGAGCCUCUUGCAAAGAGCUCUAGUUUCGAGAUCCAGGAAGACGUGUUCGGCCCGGACUCGAAGGAGAAGGGGUUGGGUUAGAGUUCUUAGGGUAUCCUAACCUCGAUACUUGGAAAGACGCGUUCGGUCCAAGUACGAGACGGCCUCGACGAAUCUCUCGUCAAAAGGUGUCUUGGGAAGAUCCGCUCGGCCCAAGUCCUUGGCUAACAACCCCCUCGAAGCUUUUUCUAACAUAGGAUUAAGUCGCACCCGCAGGGUUGACCGAACCUAUCCAAAAAAUAUCGACGUGUCAACUUGUUCAAGCGUACGGCGACUUUCGCUAUAAGACCGGCGUACACGUCCUAUUUUUAUACCCGCACUUGUGCCAUCAAUCAGUGGCAUCCCUUACUUUAAUUAUUGUCGAGAACAACAACAGUUAUUAUUGAGUACAACCUUAUAUGAGAUAAACGUGUGAUUGCAUCACAAUUUGACAAGAAUACGGACAUGUGCAUGUAUGUGUCCGGGUGUUUGGAUCAGAGUUGGAUUUGUUCGGGUGUUUGGAUCAGAGUCCAGGAAGGAAGCAGCCUGCGCUGCAUAUCAUAGAAAACCAUCGUUACUUUUUUCUUUGCUCCGUCUUUCUUUGGUAUACGAUCUCCUUGCAUCUCAAUAACGUCCGCAUGCAGCAGGCGGCCGCAUGGCAGCAUUGCAGCGCCUGCCGGUGCCGCUUUCUCGCUAUGUCCUCGGCAUGAUCGCCGCGACCUCUGGUCGAAGCCGCCGAGCGCAUCGGCGCGCCGCUGCUAGCCAGAGCCAUCCCCACCGCAGGCAGAGCCUCCGCUGGCUGCGCGCAUCGCACCGGCCGCAAUCGCUAUUCGUUGUCGCUGCGACCACACUCCCUCCGAUACAACCGCCAUGCCAUGACCCCGCGGCGCUGGAGCCGCCGCUGGCCCUCGACGCCAUUACCAAAGAGGUUAGUGUUUUUCUUUUCGAUGUUGCAAACGUGUCCAGAUUUUUUUUAAGAACUUAGCAGGAGAUCUACUUUUUCAUUAAAGUGGACGAGAAAGUAUACAUGACUUGACAAAAAGAACCAAGCCAAUUAUACAAGCAACUGGCUGGUUUCAAAUAGAAUAAGCUACUCCUAACCCUCCUCCUCUAACAGGAGGGCACAUUCAGAUCUUAUAACCAAAGCCACGUUUUGCGACGAUGAUCUACAAUCCUUGAAUAUUCGCUGAUUUCUUUCUUUCCAAACAUGCCACACCACCAUGCUAGCCCACACAAUGUCAGAAUUUUUCUUCCUUGAAUUAAGUUUCAGCAGACGACUCCACCAACAAAUUAGCGAAGUACUUUGCUUAACGAUCCUACACAUCCUCGGCCUCUCUUAAGAAAGAUCCCCAUAUCUCUUUGGAGAAAGGGUAGUCAAGAAUCAGGUGUCGUGCCGUCUCCAAAACCUGAUCGCAAAAGCAGCAAACGUCUCCAUGAGGCCAGCCCCUCGAAGCCAGCCAAUCCCCAGUCUAAAACCUGUUCUGGAGCAAAAGCCACAGGAAAAAACGAAUUUUGCCCUCACAUCUGACACUCCAAGCUGAGUUUAGAGCCACCUUUGAAGUUCUCCCUAAAAAUUGCACCUCAUAAGCUGAUUUGGCUGUGUAAACACCACUGGCAUCGAAUUUCCAUCUAAUGGAGGCUUCCUCCUCAUUCAGAGUGGUACCCUGUGUGUCCAGAUUUUGCAAAAGUUAACAUAAUCCAAUCCAAUCCGAGUGAAGGAAAACUAAUUAUACACCAAUAGUAAGGGCCGGCGGUCAGUCCAUAUGGGAUGACAAACACCAAUCGGUAAGGGAAGUCAGUAAAAAGGCCGGAACAACCAAUCCCAGUAGGCCACAAUAGCCAUGGUAGGCCACAAUAGCCAUUGAAACUAACAGUCCACCGUAGAGAAUUGCAAAUGAUGCAAAUUAUCAGAUGUACGUAAGAGACCUUAAGGCUAGAGCAAAAACGUCAGGCCCGAAAUAGCAACUCCAACAGUCAAUGACGCCAAAUUGAUAUGAGAUGUUCACUAAAAUGAGUUGAUCUCCAUCGGAGAUAAAGAAAAUAGGAAAUCAAUAGCCAAAAGAAGACCAAUUUUUACACAGAAGCAGCGAAGGAACAAUGUGGCUCACAUUAUCGGAUAGAUGCAUGUGAAUCGGAUGGAAAUAUACGUCCACAGAGUCGCCGAUUCCGUACCUGCGAUACCAACUGUGGACUGGAAGCAACACCCUUGCACAAACGACAAUAGGAAGCCGAUCUACCAUACGUUCACUCCAAUCCACAACCACGACAGCAAAUAGACGAAGCCGAACAACUCUUGCCGCCGUCCGCCGGAAGCCAUAAUUGUACCACAAACAACACGUCAGAACAAACAAGGGAAGUUCGUGUGUUAGGUAAAGUCGUACAGGCCAAUGGUUGAUGGGCGUAAUACAUACAAAAUGCAUUGGAUAAAAAGGAAUGCUUACCGCAUUACCCAUAUAAAACUAUUGAAGAAUAAAAAUCUAUACACACCUAAUAAAUGUCUAAAAAAAAUUUUGAACAUAAUAUCUAAAUGGUAUACAAAAUGAAUCUAUUAGAAAUCAAAAUAUUAAAUACGUAGAGAGAACUGGAUUAAAAAAUAUAUAUAUAACAUAUUAUUUUAUUAUACAAAAUCUAGAUUGCGCGGGUCACCCCGCUAUUAAUAAUAUGAAAAGGAAAAGAAGUUCCGUGGUGCCUGAUGCCGGCAUCGCGGCCACCUGCCUUUACUCGCCCACUCCGCCGACGGAAUCGAUGCGAAUUCCCACACGCACAGGCUAACCGCCCCCAGAUGCUCUGAGAGGACCACCACGUACGCCAUGGCAGACCGGAAGGAUGCAGGUGGGCUCAGUGAAAACAUGGCACGACAGCUCGCAGGCCACGGCCCACGGCAAUGCUGGAGUCGGUCAGGAAGUAAGCCACGGGCUCACCACCAUGGAACGUGACAGAGUAGUGCCCCCGACGCUGUCAUCGUCUUCCUCCGGCGUGUCCAGGGAGCGUCAUUAACGGACGAGGCAUCCGGAGAGAGCGAAAUGGCGUUCUCCAUACGUUAGUGCAGGAAUGGAACACGUCCAUGGACAGCAGGGCCGGAGCUCGCCGACGACGAGGACGACGCCAUAGGGCGAGGAGCUGUACAUGGAGACGGCUUGGAGAUUCGUGUCGGUAGCUCCGGGCGUGGCGGGAGCGCACGGGAGGCGCCGGGAAGUUGGAGUCUAGCGCACGGUAGAGCACGAGCCAGCCUACGACGGCGACCGGCACUGGCGCGGGCCGCGGACUCUGCAUGGCUUCGCACGACCAAGACCCACUCGAGCUGCUAAUUCACGGUACUAAGAGCAAGUCCAGCAAUCCUCCUAAAAUUUCUCCCCUAUAUCUCAAAAUGAGGGAUUCCCUAAAAAUAUUUCCUCCUAAAAAUUGGCCAACUCCAACAGUUUACCUAAAAGAUCUCCCUAAUUCUAUAUUUUAAGAAUUUUUGUAACUACUUUUUGAAACCCAACAACUAACUCUCCAACGACUAGUUUUCGAAUGGUUGGAUUUCUAACGGCUACCUUUUCUGAUCUAUAUAUACAUGAUCAUCUCUCACAAUCUCGAGAGCUCGAUUCGGGCUCGAUCCAAACUUGAGAAACGAGAGCGGGGACGUACCUGUCGGCGGGAGGGAUCGAGCGGUUGCUCCCUGACGUGAGGGGGGAUGCCCCCACCACCUCGAUCUAUAGGAGAGAAGGAGGGGGUGGAGAGGAGAGACUUUUUUUUUUGCCUUUUUCUUCUCCCCUAAAAAUGCUAUUGGGAAGGUGAUAAGGGAACUGCCGGAAUUGUUCUAAGGCUGCUGACUGGGAUCCAACAUUCAAUUGGGCUGCUAAUUUUUGUGUGUGGAUGCUAAUUUUUGUGUGUGGAGAAUUGGGCUGCUAAUUGACUCAAGGUGGACUCACUCGUCCCGGGGCCACAUCAUCGAUCCAUGUUUGAAAAAGCUAUGUCAGUGCCUAAUAAAUGGGAUUAGCGAGUACAAGGUGCUGAAAUCAGGAUUUCAAGUGAGGGUUUGAUCUCAACGACCUCUGUAAAGACAAGAUUGAAAAUAAACUUUUACUCUUUUUUAUGCCAAGUCCCGAUCCUUCUGUUCAGUUUUUGUUUUUUGAGCGAAAUCUUUCUGUUCAGUUGAUUUUUUUUUUUACCGAACUUCUGUUCAGUUGAUGGUUCAAUUAAGCUUGCUGGACUGUUGGGAGUCUGGGCCUGGUUAUUCUAUUAAGGCCUACUGAACUUGAUUUGCACACUAUGCCACUAUGGGCUAUUGGGCUUUGAGCCCCAGCCUUCACAAUAGGAUACGCAUUUGUUGACGGCUAGUGCAAAUGCUUUGGCAUUUCUCAGCCGUAUGAAUUGGCCGAAUCAAAUACCAAGGCCUCAUUGAACACAGAGGACCUAGAUGAGAUGAGGCCGGCCUAUCCACGCUUGUGUGUCCUCUGAAGACUACAUCAAUUGGGUCAAUUCGAGUCCAAGUCUUCCCCUACGACUCGAUCCAGAUUGUGAUGGUCGUUGCCUUGUAAUAUAGCCGAACUCUUGGAAAGGAGAUUGCCCGGCCUUGGCAAAUGGCAGUGGCAUGCAUGCACAUGGAACCAUGCACCAAUUAAUAAGAAAAUGAAAUGAUACAGUAGCAUCCAAUUAUGGUUGGCUGUUACCUCAGCUGGUCUAUGCUUUUUCCACACGGGCUGACAAAAUUUGGCAGGCAUGGAUGCACCCGUACGUGCAAAUUAGUUAGCGAUGUGGUGGAAUUCUAUGUCCCGUACAUCCACAUGAUGUGGAUAUGAGGAUAUCGGUGCAACACGCAUAGAAAGAAGGUGAGGAUACACAUGCAUACAUUGUACAUACAAGCUAGUGGCCGGGGCAAUUGGGCAUACAGGAGCACAGUCGCUACUCGCUAGCGACGUUCUAUGGGCUGCAUGCUUGGUUUCUUCGCUUCUGCCAAACCAAACACUCCGAUUUGUAAGCUUCCCUAUUACAAGUGGGGUAGUUUAUUACGAGUAGUGAUGUGGCGCUAGCGGCUCAAACAUGCCACGAGGCACUGGAUGAUCCAUGUAUGGUACUCUACCUUGAUACUACCGUUAUGAUGAGUGCAUUCUCGUAGUUCCAUUCGUCUUAUCCAGUUUUAGAGGCGAUGUAUUCAGUGAAAACUCUUGUUCAGUGCAAAACUGCAAACUUCUUUAAGAGACCAUUAGAUUUGAAAUAUACGUCUCAGACGAGAGGUAGGAAUCCCUCAAACUACAGCCACUUAAGCACACCUUUAGUACGUAACACCUCGGAAUAGUUCUGUAACAAUUCAGAUAAUAAAAAAAAUAAAAAAACUGUCCGUCUUAUCGAUCGAUCAGAAGCGACAUCAUCUCUUUAUGAAAAAAAGUGCGAUUCAUUGAUCUGGAGUGUCGCCGGCCAGGUCCACCCCCUCGACACGAGGCGACCUGGACCACCUCCGCAACGGCGACCAGGAGCACCAAUGCAACGUUGAACUAGAUCCCCAACAAGACAACGACUUGGAGCUUCGCCCUCGGCCUUCCAUGAUGCGCCGCCCUCUGCCACCAUCAUGCCUUCCAUGGCGACGGCCGACGUGCCCCCAUCGACCGGCCAACGAGGCAACGGGGUCGUCACGGGACAUGGCCGGUGAUAUCGAUGAGGAAGCUCCCCGGAGGAUGCUGUCGUCGGACACGGUGGAGGACACUCCAGGCCGUACUUACCAUAAUAGCAAGUCAGGCGGCUGUUGUAUGAUGCGCAAGGUGGUGACCAACGCGGCGGAGCAGGAGUGGUAGAGGCGGCUGCACGCAAGAGAGGAGAGGACGAGGAUGUGGCCGUGGAGAGGAGGGCCUUCCUGGCCGUCGGUGACCAUGCCCCAGCGGCGGCGAAUGACGAAAGGAGGGGAUAACUCCCAAGUCGCAUGAACAGCUCGAAUUACUUCCACAUAAAAAUAAGGGUUUUCGUAAACAACUGCGUUUAAGUGAGUGGUUUCAAUCCCACCUCCUAUCUAAACCGUAUAUUCAAUGUCGCUGUAAAAAAAACCCCUAUAUUCAGUGUUCCAUGAGAAAAAGUUUGCCAGAUUUCAGUGGAUACGUUGCCAUAUAUUAAUUACACGAGCUUGACAAAAUGAUGGCCUUGAUUUUGUGAAAUGUAGCCGGCCAAUAGAACAAAACUGACUGAUACCGAGAGCAACUAAUUUCUCUGAACCAUGGAUAGAUAUAUAUCAAUAUAAAUAGCAUCAUGCAUCGCCGGCCAUAUGGAAGUAUUGUCUUUGUUUUCUGUUGGGUCUAUGGAAGUUUGUUGGAAGUCUUCAGGCUUUUUCCACACGAAUUGACGGAAUUUGUUGGGAAGCAGCAGCAGGGAGAAAAAGGGCUGCGGCGUCCAAAGGAACGGUGUUGCCACUUUUGUCCGGACCCAUGGCCUGAUGCCCAAGUGACCCAACCCAAGUGGGGUUUGCGCGAGGUUCCAGCCAAACUAUACACUGGCCACUUGUGAGACAUCUUUUUAAUAGGGCCCAUCACGCGCACGGGUACACAUUUAGAGUCAGGUCAUCGGUGUUUGACCUGUCCAGGUCAGAUUCGGCCGAUCGAGCUUGUCGUAAUUGUCAUAAAUUCAUCUUUUUGCAUGCAUGGUACUAGGUUAGUACUCUGGCAGAGUGUUACAGUGGGUGGGAGUAACAACAUAGAUGCUGCCGAUCGUGUCUUUGAAGUGAUACAUAGAUAGCUGCAGUACGUACCAGCCUUUUUAUUCCUCGCGCACAAUUUUCACAGCUCUUGUAGGUAGAAUUUCGUAGUAUAUAUAGUACAACGUUACUCGGUCUGAAUUGCAUAAAAUGGUUCUAGCUAGCCUUAUCGACUUGUAAAGAAAGUACUUACCGUCGGACGUGGGAAAAUGACAAAAGAUCAGUCGUACUACGGCUCGUAAGAGAGGAAACUCAGAAAACAGACUUGGUCGUCGACGAAAACGGCCUUCACGGCGCUGCGCAUGCACCACCCUCAACCCAAAGCGCUGGAUCGGUGAACUCACAAAUGCCGAUCGUCGAGCUAUAAAUUCCUGCCCGCCACUUUGCCUGUUCACCACUCCUCUCAUCGAUCGUCUCGCCCGCCACCUCAGAAAAGCAUAUACAUCAUGGCGCUUACUGGCUCUCUCAUCGUCCUUCUUGGUGCCACAUUGACGCUGCUCUACUUCCUCGGCGCAGGUAAUUAACCGCAACAACGACAUAUAUAAUUCGAUCAUAUGAAAAGGCAGCGGUUCCGAGAGUCCGCAAGCACGUGCACAGUCUCUUCUAACAAUGGGCCGGCAAUAAUGGCUUGUAAUUCAGUCGUUUCUUUGUGGCAUACGAUCGACAUUGCAGUUGCAGAGGCGGGCGAGGUGGGUGUGAGCUACGGGACGAACGGGGACAACCUGAUGGACCCAUCGGCGGUGGUGGAUCUGCUGAAGAAGAACGGCAUCACGAUGGUGAGGGUGUACGACACCGACUCGAAAGUGCUGACCGCGCUGAAGAACACCGGCAUCAAGACGGUUGUCGGGAUACGCAACGACAUGGAGCUGGCGGCCGCCGCCGGUGACCCGAGCUGGGCCGUCCAGUGGGCCAAGAACAACGUGCUGCCGUACUACCCGGCCACGGACAUCCGCGGCGUCACCGUAGGGAACGAGGUGUUCAAGCAGGUAAGCCAGCUGAACCUGCAGCUGGUCCCGGCCAUGAAGAACGUGCAGGCGGCGCUGGUGAGCCUAGGCCUUGCCGACGCCAUUAAGGUCACCACGCCGGUCGCCUUCGACGCUCUCAAGACGUCCUUCCCGCCGUCCCAGGGCGAGUUCAAAGACGACAUCGCCCAGCCGGUGAUGAGCCCCAUGCUCGAUUUCCUGGAACAGACGGGCUCCUACCUCAUGGUGAACAUCUACCCGUACUACACGUACACGUCUCAGCCAGGCACGAUCGACCUCAACUACGCCACGUUCCGGCCCAACGACGGCGUGGUCGACCCGGUGACCGGCCUCAGGUACUCCAGCCUCUUUGACGCCCAGCUCGACGCCGUGUACUCUGCGAUCGACAAUGUGCAGCAGCAGGUGGCCUCUUCCAACGGUGCCGUGGGGACGAUGCUCAGGGGCCGGCGUCGCCACGUGCCCGUGGUGACCGGGGAAUCCGGGUGGUGCUCCUACUGCCCGCAGAGCGUGGGGGCAUCCAUGGAAAACGCUCAGGCGUUCAAUAAUAACCUCGCCAAGCGCGCGCACUUCGGCAGCGCCAGCAGCAGCAGCUCGCUCGCCGUCGUCAGCGACGGCACCCCGGCCCGCCCCGACGCCGACAUCUCCGUGUACAUCUUCGCGCUCUUCAACGAGAAUCAGAAGCCCGCUGACGAGCAGAACUUCGGCCUGUUUUACCCAAGCGGGAAGCCGGUGUACCAGGUCGACUUUAGCGGCGGCGGCGGCGGAGGAGGAACGGCGAGCUGGUGCGUGGCGAGGAGGGAUGUCAGCGACGCGCGGCUGCAGGCGGCGCUGGACUACGCGUGCAACAACGGGGCGGACUGCAGCGCCAUCCAGCCCGGGAAAGUGUGCUACGAGCCCAACACCAAGCUGGCGCACGCGUCCUACGCCUUCAACGACUACUACCAGAGCAAGGGCCGGGCCAGCGGGACUUGUGACUUCUCCGGGGCUGCUUCCAUCGUCUACCAGCAACCAGGUGACUUCUUCCAGCUGACUCCUCCUGAUCAAUUUGUUCAAGCCCUUAUUAGUGGAAACUGUCAGGUGUGAUUAAACGCUGUGGCCUGAAAUAAUUAACAGGCAUCUGCGACCCGAAGGCGGCGAGCUGGUGCGUGGCGAACGCGGCGGUCGGGGACGCGCGGCUGCAGGCGGCGCUGGACUACGCCUGCGGCAAAGGCCGUGCCGACUGCAGCGCCAUCCAGCCAGGCGGGCGGUGCUUCAGUCCUGACACCAAGGUCGCGCACGCGUCCUACGCAUUCAAUGACUACUACCAGCGCAACGGCCGGUCGUCCAAGUCCUGCGACUUCAGCGGCGCUGGCUCCGUCGUUUACCAGCAGCCAAGUAAGUUCGUUCACGCCCGAUCCGUAUGCCCGGCCCAACAUAUCUUCACGGGCCCUAUCUUCACCUUUGCUUACUUUCUCGAGUAAAUCACCCUACCUACUAGCAUAUUUGCGAAAGAACUACGUAGCUUGUACCUAUUUCCACUUUACCAUUGACACGUACUACUUCACAAUUUUGCUGCACCACCCAGUACCGUAGUGUGAUGCUUUCAGUGAUUAAUUAAGUUGUGAUAUUAUUGUGUUUGUUCAUAUUUUACAGAGAUAGGUAACUGCGUGCUCCCAUCAACGGGCUGAAUGAAGAAACGCUAGAGAGCUAAGAUCGAAGGCUACGCGCGCUACCAGCCCAUUGGUAUAUAUGGGAUUCAGGAAUAAAGCCGUGUAAUCUUUUAUUUCGCAAGAGAAAAAUAUGUGAUCAUAUCUGAAGAUAAAUAUGCCCUUUGAAUAAACCUCCACUUUUCAAUCAGUGGAUUUUUAAACCCGGUCUCCUCACGCCCUUUCCACUACUUUGACAUAACGGAAAAACGAUGUCUCUGACUAAACCAGAAUACAAAGGGGAGAUAAAGAAGAGCAACAACGUUUUACUACAUGUGGUAGGAAACCCAUUGACUGGGCUCGUAAGCAAAACACUAACUGCCGAACGAAUACCAAACUAAAGGCACCUCCGAUCAUUGCCUAACUUCUCGCUCUGGAUUGUAAAGACAUUAUUACUUUUAAAUAAAACUCUCCUGUUCCUCGAAAAAAAAAAGUGAAGGCACAUUUCCUUUGGUUACGUGCUGACUAAUUAUUACAGUACUCAUACCAUAUUCUUGCAAGGAAAUUAAUUCCUUGCUGAUUAAUUAAACUAUGUAAUAACCAAGAGCAUACGGCUCCCUACUCUCGCCGUUCUAAAAACAACGGCAUUGGAGGAAGUUGGCACAGGCUUAAAGCCGAGGCUGCAACAGCAUCUCCAAUGUCAUCCCCUAAAACUAUCACAAAUGUUCUAUUUGGGGACAUGGACAUUUUGCCUCCAAAAUCAUCUCCCAAUGUCAUUUUCUAAAUGGACAAAAUGUCAUGUUUGUCCGGACACAUCCUCCAAACUUGCCCCAAAUUUGAAAGAUUUUUGGGGUGUCCAAACAUUGUCCAGUGCUCUCUUUUGUCCGUUUCGGCCCCACAACAAGAGAUUGGGAAAUGAGAAGAAAAAGUGAAAAGGAGAGGAGAAAAGAUAAAGAAAAGAAAAAGCUAAUUUAGGAGAGAAAUUUGAGAGGUGUGGUUUGGAUGACGAGGGCGGACAUGGAACGGACACAUGUCCACUUGCUCCUUAAAUGACCCAAAAAAAGGACAUUUGAGGACGAAAUUUGGGGAUCCAUUGAAGUUGUUCUACUCCCCCGGUAUCUCCCCCAUCGUCCUAGCUGCCGAUCAAACUUUGAGAUCUACGCCAAUCAACUAACUUACCAAUGUCUUGCAUUAGACCAUUGAUGAAUUAGUCUACGAAACGUACUGCUAUUUUUAGCGACAUCUCCCAUUCUCUCUCUGCCUUUUGCGUGUGAGUGCUUUUUCCAUGUGAAUGAUGACACUUUUUUUUUCUUUUUGCAUGUGUGCUGACACCUCUUUUCCUCACAAUUUUUCUUCUGCACAUGACACAAGUGCAUAGUCAAUAUUUAGUAUGGGCUUACAUCCAAGUACAUGCCAAGUACAUCAUCAAUUUAUAGUACAUCCAGGUACAUGCCAAGUACAUCACCAAUUUAUAGUACAUGAAGCAGACCGUGACGGGUACGUCGAAAUACAUGACAGGUACAUCAAACGUACAUUAUGAUACAUGACAUGAACAUUAACAGUUUUUAAGUACCUUGUCAAAUCAAGACUGUGUACUUCAAGUCCUAACGGUACGUCACGUACCAAAGGAAAAAAUUGCAGUACAAACGUUUGUCAAAACUUAAUACCUGAUCGUGUACCAGUGGUACAUCAGAAAAAAAAGUUGACCAUCAAUAGCUGCCUAAAACAUUAAGAAACAAAAUACAAUAGAUAAACCAAAUUGCAGAUAGCCUGCAAUCUCAAUUCAAUGAAAAAACCACGAGAUCCAAAAUCAGAACAACAACAUCUCUUGCCUCCCUCAUGGUACUAGCCAGUACCAGGAUUAUGCACAACCUCAAAGGAGCGCCUGGUGUCCAUGGACCUUGCUGAUGCCGACACUGAGGAGGGCUGGAGGGAUGAGAUGUGAGCGUCGAGGUCAUCGUGGGAUGGGGAUGGGACGAAGACCACGAGGUGGUCGAAGGAGGCCCACGGCCCGCAGCAGCGGCAUCGGAAGUGCAGGACCAUGGUAGGCGGCGGCGGAGGCCGAGACCAGGGCCCGUGGGGCGGCCUUGCGCCUGGAGGUCUCGCGCACGUACACUGCUGUGCCGAUGGCGGCGGCACGGAAAGGUUGGGACGGGCUGGUGUGUGUGUGUGUGAGAGAGAGGAAUCAAGGGAAAGAUGGGCAGCUAAUUACAGAAUAAAUGGCCAAGGAUUAAAGGAAGGGAGAGACACGUGGUUGAUUAACAAGGUGGGGGUAGAUAACGGGGGUGGUACCUGGAGGUGGCACAAGCUGAAGUGUCAUAACAGUAAAAUGUCGUCGGGGGUGGUACCUAGAGGUGGCACAAGCUGAAGUGUCGUAACAGUAAAAUGUCGUCAACUAUCGUCCGGACACUAAAGCUGGAGUACUUCCUAUGCCCCGUGUGCUAAAUACUCAACGGAGAAGUCGUUUUCCCAUGUGAAUACACAUGGUAAAAGAUCCGCCGGACAAAUCACCCUAGGCGCCUUGGACCUAUGUGCUACCCGAGGCGUUGAUAUUUUGGUAUUGUUUUGUUUCGACACAUCUAUCUCCACUCCAAUCCACGAUCUUUAUUCUGAUUUCCUGAAACUUCAUGUGCCAACAAAAUUAACAAGGAAAUUAGCUGUUUUGACAGCCGGUUGAUUAAUAGAUUAGUUCAUUAUAUCUAUUUCAUAUAAAAUACACCCAGUGUCAUUUUGGCAGCAAAAUACUUGAUCAAGCAAUUAAAAAAAACGAUCCUUUAAAAAUAAUGCUUAAUUUGAUUGACUUUUAGUUAAUGACAAUAGGUCAGUUCUUUUCGGCUUUCUGGACUGACUUCUCCAAGAAAACCUAGCUUGGCCUACCAAACUAGUUUGGUCUAAACUAUUUUAAAAACCUAGCUAAAUCUGAGAUGGGGCUUCUCUAGGAAGCUAGAUGGGGACAGAUUUUAGGAGAAGCCGGUCCUAAAAGCCGAAAAGAACGCAGCCAAUGAAGGGUAGUGUAUUUACCCAUCAGUGAUGGCUUUGAAUGCAUUUUUCAAAAUAGCAUCAAUGCAAUUUCUUCAAUAGAUCCAAAGAUGCAUUAUACACAACAUAUUCUAUACAGAGUACAUAACUCAUCCCUGUUUGAAUAUCCUUCGUUCCUAUGUUAAAGCCCAUACAUCACAAUGCCAACAAACCAAACCAGUUUAGAAAAAAAAAAGGUACCUAAUACCGCUCUAGUGAUACCUCAUCAUCCCGUUCAUAUGAUCCUUCUGCCUGCAAUUACCAAAACAUGACUACAUUAUCCCACAGCUAACAUAGUGCUUGAGAACCUCUAAAAGCUACACAAGUGAAAUUUAUCACAGGUAGCAAAAUGGAAUUACCAAAACAUGAGUACAUUAUGCAUGUUGAUUGCUUUCUGAGAGGAGAACCGUUAUGGAGGUCUCGACACAAAUCCUCUACAUCUAAGUAGAGGCAACCCAUUAGCUUAUUUCUCUCAACAUGCAGCCUAUCCACAUCAGCAACCAAUCAUGUCAACAAUUUGUGCCAUGUCAUUUGUGCCAUUGCAGCAGCCCAUUUUUUGGUGGACCAGCUCAUCCUCCUUUUUCCUUUUUCCCUUGGACCUUUGACCGAUCACCUGCUGAGCCCAUCACGCCCGAUGCUUUGCUCGCUUCGUCGUUGUUACUCCAUAUCGAAUCACUGUCCGUCCGUUCAUCUCAUAAGUCGUCGCCGUUAAUGUCAAAUGGCAUGUCCGUCCGUUCCCCUUCAGUUCCAGCUUCCAUUUCCCAUUCAAUACGAGUCCCGUGACUUCUCCACUUCCUCUUCUUUCUCCUCACCACAUCCUAUAUAUCUCCAAGAAUUUCAGUGCGAAUCUGGAAGCCACCACAGACAAACAAAAAAAAAGAUCGACGUCACAGAUCAAUAGAAAACUGAAAACAAAAAACCUGGCAUCACAACAUCAAGAACUGAGCAGGAGGAUGCAGACGGCGACGCACGGUGGCGGGCGGGGUGGGACGGAGCAUAGUGAUGAGCGAGCUGGAGACGGUGCGCAAUCACGGGCGGGCAGAGGCGCUGUAGCAGGCUAGCGGCGACGCAGUUGCAGGCGCUGGCGGCACACCAACGGUAAGGGUUCAGGAGUUUCUGGUUGGGGUGAGGAAUCAGAGGGCGAUUGGCAUGAGAAUCAGGUAUCGGUACAGGGGUAUUGGGGGGGGGGGGGUACGAGAUGGGCCUUUUUCAGAGAUGGGCCUGCUAGAUGGAGUAGGUAUCGGGGGGGAUUUCGGUUCAGGUUAUUUUGGAUGGGCUGCUCGAGACAUACCAACGAUCUAUGAUUAUGUUUCAACACUAGCUAGCCAGCACAACGAUAAGAAAAGUGGAAAUAGAAAAAAUAAAAUCCUCUUUUCUUAUUUAUCAUGUUGUGUUUACAAUACAAAUCAUCUUCAUCAAAUAAUGUAUUAUAUAAUACACUCUUCAUAUUAUUUUAAUUUAGUACGUCCGCUGAAUCGUGAAUCAAAAUAUCAGGUCCGCAAACUACAUAUAUCACAUAUUGUCAUACUAAAUUUAUGAUAUUUAUUACUCCAUUCGAUCCUAAAUUGUUGUCAAAAUAUUACAUGUAUCUAGACGCUUUUUAAUAAUAGAUACAUUCAUAUUUGGGCAAAUUUGAGUCAAGAAUUUAGGAUCAGAUGGAGUAUUAUUUUUUAUGUCUUAUACUCUCAUGAGAAAACUAUUUCUUUGAAAAUUUUGCUCUUAGUUUCCGCAGCAACGCGCGGGAAAUUAUCUAGUUUUAUUAGUAAGAGACACAAUAAUUACAAAGGGAUGGGAUACACAACAAGGGAUGCAGGGAGCAAGCUAGAACAGAGCAGUAAAGCCAUGCUGAUUGUGAUUCAGACUACAGCUCUUGCAACAUCUAAUCUUUUAAAUUUACUACUUAUUAAUAUACUCCUUCCGACACAUAUUACUUGUCUCAGAUUUAGUACAAAGUUGUACUAAACCAGUGACAAGUAAUUUCGACCGGAGGGAGUAAUAAAGUUCUUUAAGAGCAUCUCCACUCGGCCCCUCUAAAGUCCCCCCGAACCGGUUAUGGGGCCGCCGGCGCCAAAAAAAAACGACCCAGCCGUGCCCUCAUUUUGUUUUCUUGUCCGGCACGGCCCCACUUCACAUCCAGCGCCCCUAGGCUGAACAUCAUCGGCACAACCCAAAACAUAAAACCCAUCUCACCCUCUCCUUCUUCCGGUGGCCACCUCCAUCCCAAAUUGCCGUCGGAACCACCCCUCUCACGAGUGACGGUCCGCAGCAAAUGGAAAGGUUGUCUGCCGCAUAGAUCUUCCCGCGCCACCGCAGCAACUGACGAAGGGUUAACUUCGGCGAUGUCCAUAUUAGUCGACUUGUGUUCAGGAAAGCUACGUGUGUGUAUUGGCAAACCCGUCAGCUUACAAGCAACGGGAGGCGAACAUUUACCCAGGUUCAGGGCCCUCGGAAGGUAAUACCCCUACGUCCUGCUUGUCUGAUCUGUAUUGAUGAGUCGAUUACAAAGUUGCCGUCACGAUGAAAAGCUCAGAUUGGAUCUGGCGAGUGCGUCUAGGCGGCUUCUGUGAGAGAUUGGAUGAUCUUGGCUCCCCCUCUUGGUCCUUUAUAUAUGCACGAAGUCAGCUUUUGGGUAGAGUCCAAGUUGAUUACAUCAUAGAGAUAUACUAUAUGUAAGCUUCCUUAUCUUGAGUCGCAAGAUUAGGCAUCUGGACUCCUGAAGUCGCAGUAGGCUUCUACAUGGGCCCGCAGCUGGGCCAUGGCGGGUAUCCUCAAGUCGAGUACGUGGUUAGUCAUAACCACGUCAACGACCCGUUCCGCCGUUGUUGUAAGACUACCGGUAGCUCCAAGCCCACCCCGCAGCCACCUUUUACGGGACGUGUUCGACGAUUUACCAAUGCCAUGAAUUCGGAUGACGAGGAGAUGCUCACCGUGCUGUUUGACGAGGAAGUCGCCGUUGCCGAUGAUGCGGCCUCUGACGGCGAGGAGGAGCAUCAGGUGAUCCUCUCUGCCCUCAUUGGCCUAAUUGCCCAGGAUGCACAGCCGCCGGGCUGGGGAGAUUCGAGGAAGGGCCGCCACAAGGGCAAGGAGGCAGAGGAUGGAGGGCUGUACGCCGACUACUUCGCCGAUGAUCCAUUGACGACGAUGUGGUCCUUCGGAGCCGUUUCAGGAUGUCCCGGAAUUUUUUGUUGAAGAUUGCCGAGUACCUCAAAGAGUUCGACGAUUACUUCAAAUUGAAGAGAGACGUCGUUUGCAUGCUUGGUUUCUCAACUAUUCAAAAAUUCACUAUAUCCCUCCGGUUGCUUGCAUAUGGAAUUCCUUCCGAUACACAGGAUGACUACCUCUGCAUGGCAGAGUACACGGACAUCGAUUGCAUAUACAAAUUUUGUAGGGUAAUUAUGGUAGUGUUUUGGGAUAUUCACUUGAGAUCACCCAAUGCAGAAGACACAGCUCGGAUCCUGGCACAUAACAAAAAAAGAGGAUUCCCAGGUAUGCUUGGAAGCAUCGACUGUAUGCAUUGGUCAUGGAGAAACUGUCCAUUUGCACACCAGCGCAUGUACAAAGGUCAUAAAGGAUCAUGUAGUGUGGUACUUGAGGCAGUGGCCGAUCAAGAUCUUUGGAUUUAGCUUUCUUUCUUCGGUAUGGCAGGAUCGAACAAUGACAUCAAUGUGUUGCAGUGCUUGAAUGUGCUCUCCAAGCUUGUUGAAGGCAUUGCUCCUCCGGUGAACUAUGAGAUAAAUGGACAUGUGUACACCAAGGGCCGGGAUACUACCUGACAAAUGGCAUCUAUCCAGAAUGGUCAACUUUUGUGAAGACAAUCUCAAAAGCACCUUCGGGUGGAGCAAGUUCUUGGUUUGCGAUGCAACAAGAAGCUUGUAGGAAGGAUGUUGAGCAGGCAUUGGGUGUGUUGCAGGCUCGAUUUCCAUUGCCGGUACCCUACUCUUACAUGGUCUAGAGAUCAGACGUGGGAGGUCAUGGUUGUCUGUGUGAUCUUUUAUAGCAUGAUCAUUGAAAACGGAAGGGAAUUUUCAGUGUUUGACACUGAACCUUAUGAACGGAUGGGUCCUCUAGCCAAUGUUGAUCAUCAUUUAUCGGCCGCCUUUGCUGCUUUCCUUGCCAAACGUCAGGAAAUUCGGGACACAAAUACUCAUUAGCAACUUUAAGAUGAUCUGGUGGUACAUUUGCAUGUAGUUCUAAUUUGUUUGCUUGAAUCUGUGAUUCAAAACUUAUUAAAUAAUGUGCUUGUUUAAGUUUUUUUAUUUGCAAAAUUAGGUAUAAGGGAGCCGUUUGGGGUGGGUGGGGGGGUGGGGGGCUGGAACUCUAGCUGGAGCCCUCCCAUACAGCCCAUAGCCGGAUGCCGCAUGGGAGGACGAGUGGACAUGCUCUAAGAUUACCGGCCCUCACGUGGUUGACACAAACGUCAUCAAGAGCAAUCAUUUUUUCUUCUUCUUUUGAAAAAGAGGACGUUCCUCCGGUCUCUGCAUCAAUCGAUGCACACAGCCAUAACAUUAUUGAAGUCACAAAUAGCGACAAAUCACAAUUAUUCAAACUCAAAAUUGGCAAUGAGUUAGGAAACGCUCCUAGCCUGUCGCCCUCGAGCCACAUCAGAACAAAGAGACCGUUUGCCCAACCUGUCUUCAAGCGCAGUCAUGUUGAUCCAAAAGCAUUCGAGUCGAAGUCUUCCCCUGUGACUCGAUCGAGACUGCGAUAUAUACAAUGGUCGUUGGCUUCUACUGCAGCCGGCAGUGUUAAACACUAGUGGACGCCUACGCCUGAAUAAUAAGCAUCUUUCUUUCUCUGAAGUCUGAUAGAAAGGACUCCUGCUUAUUUAUUGGCAUGCAUCCAUACGAACAUGCACCAGUGAUAGUAAGAAAAUGAAUAUUGUAGAAUAGCAUUCAAUUAUUAUUAGUUGUUACUUGACCUGGUCUGGUCUAGGCUUUUUCCACAGGAGCUGACAAAGUUCGGCAGCCAUGCAAAUUAACAAGGUCGAUCAGGAAUUCUCUGCACGUACGCCUAAUGUUCCAUCCACACCAGUAGAGAGCUAGUGGAGGGGUGAAGAAAAUAUGACGUUGUUCAAUGGAAGUCCUAUUUGUCGUUCUCACGAGUUUUUGACAUAUGGAUCAGGUGGACAAAAUGGACUAGUAUUGGACACGUAGUUUUGAUGAUGACCAUAUUUUCAAAUUUGGGAAAGAAAUGAAAAAGAUUGACACAUUUUGAACAAAUAAGAGUUCUCAUUGCGUUGCAUUUUUGUUAAUGAACCGUCAAAUGAACAAAUGAAGAGGAUUUGGAGAGUGCCUUGAAAAUGUCGCAAACACGGUACUUUCAAGAGGCGUAGCUAUGGUUUUUGUUUGGACCACCUGAUCUAAGAUGGCAGGCAUGCAGGAGGACGGUGACGAUCGAUACACAAACGUAUACACAAGUGGAGGGAAAUUGGGCAUAGAGAACGCAAUGUCGCGAGCGUCCUUUUAGCUGUAGAUGACAAGGGUAAUUUUUUGCCCUUAUGUCACCAAAUUUAUGCUGAACAAUUAUGUCAAAUAAAAUACACCAACCCAGCCAAAUUUAGUCUACCAGCAGUUUCAUAUAGUGAGGAAGAAAUUUCUCUCAACCUUGCAUGCGUGGACACCAGUAUAAUGAGUAGCAUGCAUGGCCAGCUAUACUCCCUCGGUGUAGGGUAUUUCCACACGAGUUGACGGAACCUCUGUUAAGAAGUACUCCCACAGGUAUAUAUAAUGAUAAAAAAUAUAUUGUGUAGGGUAUUUCCUCACGAGUUGACAGAACCUUCGUAUAGACUUAUUAUAUUGCAUGAUAAGUCUAUACAAAAAUCUAUUAAAAUCUCUAAUAAAUGAUAAAUAUAUUAUGAAAAUAUAUAUUAUGCCAGAUUUAAUAAAAUCAAUUUGGAGUUAUAGACGUCGACAGAUUUUUCUAUAAACUUGAGCAAAAUUUUAAAAAUUAACUUAGGAUAAAGCUAGGACUUAUGUUUGGUCAAAACAAAAGAGUAGAUUUCAUAAAAUCACGGGUUUUGAGGCAUUGUAGGCGCUCCCGAUGCUGGACUUGCCGGAGCUGGUGCUGGACCGCGUGCUGGAGGAGCUGGUGCUGGACCGCAUGCUGGAGGAGCUGUCCCCGGCAUCGCCGGCGACCAUGGCGUGCAUCUUUACGGGGCUCAGGGCAUGUAGGGGAUGAGGAAAAUAAAUAAAAACAAAUUGGUUUAAUGAAAAAGACGUGACGCAUGACAUACGGGACCCACAUGUAAGAAAAACCGUCAAAUGCGUUUAUACCGUUGUUUUGGAUGAUGUGAGACAAUUGGACACAAAACGUGUCGUUUUGCGAACAAAUUAGUAAAAAUGAGGGCUCGUUGAGAAGACUGCCUUAAAACCUGUGAUUUCGUGAAAUUUACAUAAAACAAAAUGGUGCUGCACUGCUGCCCACUUUUGUCCGAACCUAGGGGCCAGCCAGGGCCAAGUGGGGUUUCCGGUCGGUAUACACUGUCCACUUGUCACUUGAGAGCAAUCGUUGUGCGGCCUAUCGGGCGCGCACACACAAUACAGAGUCUGGUCAUCUGUGUUUGACACUUUGACCUGUCCAAGUCAGAUUCGGCCGAGCAUGCAUGUUGCAGGUGGGAAGAAUGUGGUCAUUUUGGUGACCAGGUCCCGUCUCGAAUUUGGUCCCGGCGAAACAUUUAUUAGGCUUAACGUCGGCGGCCUUCCUGAUGUUACAGCGCCGUUCGAUCAUAUAGGUUUUGGGGUUGUGAAUCGGUGGAUAGAUCGAGCAUUCGAGCCUGCGAGGUGCCAGGCUCCCUUACUCUGUACUAGUAUGACGCUCGAGACAAGGGACCGAUACCAAGAGUUUCUUACGGUACAUAUAUUAUAGUGUAAGGAAAACAUAAUACUUAAUGGGAGUGAUUUUAUUUAAUGGUGUCGAUUUUCUAGGAUCAAAAGUAUUACAGUUAAAAUACGCCAACAACAUGGUCUCGAACAAUACUAGGUGACAAGCUGCGAGCACAAAUGUUGUUCCUAUGUAUACUUGAUUAACAUCAACGGUAUGAUCAAAGAUUCCAUAAAUGUUUCACAUCAUGAUACUUAAUGUGUUUGACAACACUACUUGAUAUGUUGUUACUCGCGAAAACAACGAGUUCAUUAUUACAAUAUAAAUAAUUUUUCAGCAUACAACUUGCCAACUGGUCUCAUAACACGCUAAAAUUAACUUAAUUAGUUGACAUUGUUGAUCAUUUGGUCAGUGUUUGUUUUGAUAUUUUCCAAGGCACAACUCCUUUAGCGAGUUGAAAAUAUAACCUAACAUUGAUUUCUUGUUUGGCUUAAUCAUGAAUUUCUACCAAAUCCUACAAGGGUCUUUUUGGAUUGAAGGAUUUUCAUAAGAAUUUGUUAGGAUUCUAACCAAUAGGGAUUUUUCCUGUAGAGACUCUUAGGUUCAAAGGUAUACAUCCUCCAAAAUAUCAUAUAUUGAUUUUCUACAUUCUAACUUACAAGAAUUCCAGUCAAGACGUUAGACCUUUUGAAAAAAUGUCUUAUGAGUCUAUGACAAUUACGGCCUACACUAGUCUCUAUGCAAAAUUGCCUGCAUUUUUUUACUGUGCAACCAAACAACUUCUAUGCUUCAUGUGUUCUAAAUUCAUGUAGGAUUCUAAGUGCCAUCAGUGGCGGAGGGAGAGUGGGGGCCAGCAGGGGCCAAGGCCCGGGCCAUAUCUAGGAUUAGUUCUGCCUAAAUUUGUGUAUUCUAUAGUUAUGGCCCCCCUCAACAUUCACACACAAAAACAGCAGCCACAGAAAAUCUGCUCUUUGACUAAUUGACUUCUCAUAUUCCAAGCCAAAAGCAGCCUGCUGCCUGCACUCAUCGCUGGAACCGGCCGGCCUCCGGCCAUUCCUGCCCUCGAAUAGCUACAUGCGCCUGGGCUUCUCCUCUUCUUUCAAGAAUUUGUUUUUCUAUUUUUUGUCAUUUUUACUUGGCCCUCACUAUCCAAUUUUCCUGCCUCCGCUCCUGCGUGCCAUGACAUCCUUAUCUUUGUUUUCUAUUCAUGCAUUUUACGAUUCCUGUGAUUAAAAAGGAGCUAAACAUUGUUUGAGCUAAGAAACUUCAAUUUGUCGUCUUCCAUAGCGUGCGGGCCAUUUGGAUGAAUUUUCAGUUACAUCACGUCUCAGGUUACACCGGAUGUUUGCAGACUCGUAGAGGUGCAAAUGUCAAGCGACCUCUGACCCUACUAAUUUCAACCAAAUGAAGUAAAAAUUUAAAAUCACAUCUCUUUUUAAAAAACUAUAGUAGAUUUGUUUGAACUAAAGAGAGUUGCAUGGUAUCUUCUUCGGUUCAUCUUUUUGCACCUGUACUGAGUCGGCAGUUAUUGUAGUAACUGUGCCGUGAAGGUUAGAGCAUGCCAGGGCCCAGGAGGGUACCAUGCGCAGCUGUUUUGAGCCAUCAAACAAUGCGUACCUGUCCUGGAUCAAACACGCGCGACAGGCGGUAGGAGUCAAAAGGCCUUCUCUGGUGGUGCUGCACUACACCGCGCAUGCUUGGUUUCUCUUCGUGUUUUCGAUCCCAACAUCUAUAUCACGUAUUCACGUCCAUCUUCUUAUAUUAGUUUAAUAGAGGAUCAGGAAUGGUGGUGCGUCGGAUUGCAACUCCACGAUGUUUACAAUCCAACAUUGUUCUGUAUCCAACAAACUAGACUCGAAUUGGUGUGCCUAUAGGUUUAAAAAUACAUUUGCAAGAAGAUAGUUGUAUCCAUUACCCAAGUGGACAAAUGGUGUGGCUAUACAACGGCCGAUGUAACGCCAACACUAGUGCUCAACAAGAUAUUUUUCUGAACGAACAUAAGCACCUGCCUUCCAUGAACAAAUAAAAUAAGAAAUAUAGAGUACAUGGCAUGGCCGUGGAGGUAUUUGCUAGUGGUUGUAAGUUCACAUGCCUAGCUAGAUUUAUCCAACACGUGCGAGUUGGCAAUGCCUUUUGGAAAGUAGGAUGAACAAAUCAAAUAAAGGAUAUAUUGGGCAGGAUAGGCAUUAUAUGUGUUUUAUCCACAUGAUCAUGCAUUGCAUGUCUGUCGUUGGUUUUGUGCCGACCGAGCACUACUGCGUGCAAGUUGGGCAUAUGUAGAGGACCAGGAGUGAUGUUUCUGCAGUCUCUCUCUGAUAUGGAGCAUGGCUGAAAGAUCCGUAUAUACUACGCGUUGUACAUUGUGUCAAAUCCCAAAAUGAAAUGGACAGUCUUCGAUGUAACAACUGGCGGGGUGACCCGUGCAAUUUCAGCAUCUAGUUUUUUUUAAUGUAUAGACAUCAUUGCGACUCGGACCUGUUCUGAAAAAAUCGAGACAUUUCAAAUUAUUUGUUGGUACGAACAAAGCAAGAGAAACCUUCUGAAAGAAUUUACCCGCACAUAUGUAUGCGCACUAUAUUUGUUACAUCUUGUUAUUCAUGUUGUUGCAUAUUUAUAUUAAGCAAGUUUGUAGGAACCCUAGGAGCUAGCCAAAUUACAUAAAAAAAAUACUUAGUAUUGGAUUAAGCUGGACAUAGACUUCUCCUGUGGGCAAGUAGUGCAAUUACAAUAUAAUCAAUCGCUUGAUUUUCUCAAUUUUUAACUUCGUAUACAGAGUUCUAUUGUUAAAACCAACUUCUAACUUUUUUUUAAUAAGAUAAAGUUUGUGAGACCGAAAUUUGCGUGUCUUAAAAAAACAUGUGAUUGAAGCUUCUUGCUACUCUAUAUUUUCAAUCAAAUGUAAUACGGAGUAGAUUGUUUCACUAUAAUAUGCUUUUAGUUCAGAUAAACAUACUGCAUCUUCGAUUCUGAAUCCACUUACCAUAAAAAUAACUAUCUUUGAAUAGACCAUGCAGCGUGAGUAUAUAUGAUAGAUUUCCUGAAUUCCGAUUGGCAUCCUCCUGAUACACGUUGCAAGCUCUUUGUAAGUUCCCUUAAGAGCAAAGUUCAUAUUAAACCUUGACUUAGUACUAGAGCAAGUCUGAAAUCAACCAUGACUUUCUAAUCCCUGAAAUCAGCACCCUGUCCUAGCUUGUUAAUCCUGUCUAUUCUCAACCUUCAGGAAUCAAACCCCGUUUGGGAGAACAGGAUCCCUGACAUAACGGUUAAAAUUUGGAAAUUAUUGACUAAUUCAGUUCAGCUUAUUGCUAAAAUUUGACGCCUAUAUUUAUACUAAGUUAUAUAAUGUCAGAUAUAAUAUUAUUUACAAUUUUGCAUUCAUGCAGGGAAUUUGAUCAUAUGUCUAGUUACUUGGAAAAUAAAAAUAAUUAUAUGUCAUAUGAUAUAUAGUCUGUUUUUGAUCAUUUGUCUCAUUUUAUUUGGACACCUGAUGAUUUACCCUUUUCUACUUUUAACUUGAAUUUUUAUUUUUCGAGCACAUGUGAAAUGACACAACACCCAUCCGCUUGCGUAUGUGCAUAGCUGUAUGGACGCCUAUGUGGUUGCGUGUGCGCGGCGUUGAAGAAAAUGAAUGCAUCUUAAUUUUUUGUUUUAAUAUAUGUCUACUAAAAUUGACCCAAUCUAAGUUAUUUUGUAGUUCAAUGUGUUUUUGGAUAAAAAUCCCGAGAUUUGUCUAUCUUGUCAGCAAUCCCGCUCACCCAAACAAGAUUUGGUUCCCAAAGGUCGGGAUCGAACAGGAUUAUUAAGGACAGGGUGCUGAUUUCCGGGAUUGAGACGUCAGGGUUUAUUUUAGACCUUGUCUACACGUUUAAGGUUUACAAUGUACUUUGCUCUUCCCUUAAUUAUGGUUGUAGGUGUGUGCGUAUGCAACGUGACAAUUGUUUUUUUACGUACAUGAGAAUUAUUGUACCACCUCCAAAUCUUGUAAAUCUGAACCGUUUAAUUUACGGUCAACUGUGUAUAUAUUUUAAACCUAAUAUGAGUGGAUGAAUGUGGUGACUUCUCGUUCUUCUGUUUUAACAAUAUGAUAGCUGAUCCAUAUUACUUGUCGAAAUAUUACAUGUAUCUAGACGCUUUUUAAACAUAGAUAUAUCCCUAUUUGGGCAAAUUUGAGACAAAUAAUAUGGGUCAGAGGGAGUAACUUUUUUUCUAAAUGUAAGACGUUUCAAUAAAUUAUAUAACCUAUCAAAACGUCUAUAUAUACAUUUAGUAACAAAGGUAGUAUAUGGGAGUAGAUAGUAAAGAAACGAGGUGGGUGAUUAUGCCCAAAAAAAGACGCCAUAGAAGAUUUGAAUAUCUGUGUACAUAAUUAGUGUAAGGUUUUCUUUCCAUUUUAUGUUUAAGCUUGUGUACAUAACUAUAACCUUACUCUAUCUUAGUCAAUAUAAAAUAGCACUACUAUAUUUUGUUAAAAGUCAAUCAGAAAAUAUAUAAAAAAAUAAAAAAGAUAUAUAAAUCGGGAGCAGUUUUUUGCAACUCGGUUGAAUCGCACUCUAAAUCUGAGCCAUACGAUUUAAUUUAGGGAUUGUGCCCAAAAUUUUCUAUUCCCAAAUACACUAAUAUGAUGGUCCACCUAUCGAAUGAACCUGACCGUUUUCUUUGGAAGCUUACUUCCUCACGGGUUUUUUCCUGACUUUAUGUAUGGUCAGACGGUUUUUAGAGGACUCUGAAAGUUAAAGAUUCCAACAAAAGUUAAGAUAUUUAUGUGGUUUUAGACCAUCAAGUCCUUCUUACUAAAGAUAAUCUUGUCAGGUGGAAUUGAGAGGGGAGUGUGAAGUGUUGUUUUUGCGCGUGACUCUUAUGAGAUUAUACAACAUAUUUUUCUCUCUUGUCCUUUUACUCGCACUGUUUGGCUUAUCAUUUUUAUCUCUUUUUAUUUGCCUCAACCGACUACGAUUAUUUAUUUAUUUGGGAAUUGGCUUAUUGGGGUUCAUAAACAUAUUAAGAUUAUAUGCAUAGACUUGUUAUGCUUGAUUUAAUACGCUGGCUCCUUUUUAAUCCACGAUCGCUGAUCAAUGAAUUGUAUGACCUUAUCAACAAUGCAAUAAAGAUGGUUAUGUGCAUCGAUUGAUGCAGAAGUCAGAGAUCCUUUCCCUUUUCAAAAAAGAAAUAUACUGAAUACAUGGAAGAAUACAAAUGUGCUGGACCCACGUCCCGUCGCCUCUUUCCUCUACUCUCGAUCUCUCCCUGCCAUCUUGUCGCCUCUCUCUCUCUGCCAUCCCGACUGCGCCCCCCACCAGACGAAUACAGAAAAUACCAUUUCCGGACGUGUUCCACGGAAAACGUCGAUUUCAUUUCCCACUUGGUAAACUUUUGUUUGUAAAGUUUCAUUUUAGUUUUCGUCUUCUCACCAUUUCCGUUAUUCCACAGAACGGAGUAAAUGUUUUCGCUAAGUUUGAAAUCCUAGACAAGGUACCCUGUGUUGUCCCCGGUUCUUUGUUUUUUGGUUUUGCCUCGUCCAAUAUGAAGAAAUUGUACUAACUAUCCAGUACUGCCUCUCUUCCUAAAUCUUACAUACUAGUCGUCGAACUGUCCACGAAGACAACCUUUUCAAAUUUUGACCAAAUUUAUAGAAAAAUAUAUCAACAACUAAUAUAUUAAAUAAUUAUAUUAUUAUUUUUUCGAAAGGGUGAUGAAAAUAUAUAUCAUGACAGAUAUAAUAAAACUAAUUUAGAAUCGUGUGAACAAUUUUUCUUAUAAACUUAAUCAAAGUAUAAUAACUUUGACUUAUCUAUUACAUUCAGAAACGGAGGGUAUGUCUUGCCGUAAAAAAAACUGUUAGCAUGUGUGACAUCGUACGUGGGACCCACAGUGAAGCGCCUCGACCAAGAAUUUGUUGGCUGCUAUAAAUUCACGUCCACACUCGGACUCAUCCACACUCCUCAGCUCAUCUCUGCCCCUGUUACACUGUACACAACAGCAUGGCGCUUACUUGCCUCCUCAUCGUCCUCCUCUGCGUCUCACUGUCGCUCCUCUUCGUCAACCAUGCAGGUAAUCGGGGUUGAUGUAUAAAUUAAGGCGGCUGUUUUGGAAAAUACUACGACCGGCCGUUUAUUUUAUUUUAUACUAACUGAGAAAAGCUAAAAUAUCUUAUAUUUAGAAACUUAGAGAAUUCCUACUCCGUAGCCAUGCACGAUAAUUAAACGGCUACGCAUCUGAUUAUUUCUGGAUUUGUAUUGCAAGUUGGUCGUCCAUAGACGUUGAGUGAAUGUGUGCGCGUGGUGGUGUGCGUGCCUCUACGAUGUUUCUAUAAAAAAUAAUACUAGACACUAGAUCGAUAAGGUAAUUAAUCAUAUUACCGACCCAAGAAGGGUCUUUACUUUGUACCCUCUCCUCCCACAAAAUAUAAGUCAGAUUAUUACAAAAGUGGUCAAGAUUUUAGAACUUUCAUCACUAUGCGGGAAGCUAUAUGCAUGGAUUGAAAUGUAAGAAUAAAAUCGUUGUAUUUGUCUUGCAGAAUAGUUUCUGUCGUAUGUUCUUUUACAUAUUAAUUCAAAAUCAUGCAUUAGAGAUGUUGAAAAUUAAGCGCUAGUUAGCAAGGAGGUAACAGGUGAUUUUGGAUCCAUAUGUUGAGUUUGAGUUUGGUUUGAAGCCCAAGCGCGUAGGCUGGUCGAUGUUGGUAAUGACUAGUAGGUUGAUUGGACUUUUUCUUUUUCAAAAAUAAGGAAAUCUCUCGGCCUCUGCAUCGAUCGAUACACACAACCAUUAUAUUAUUAAAAUAUCAAGCAAUCAACGUGCAAGUCUCAAAUAAGCUUAAAAAUAAAAACAAACGAACAAGAGAAACACCACACGCCCUCAAGUUAAAGGUCAGCACACCACCCAAAUUGGCCGAAGAACCCCUGUGCUACCAUCUACAAACGGUGGCACCCAGAGUCCAUACAUCCAUGUCCCUUCGUCGGAAGCAGUACGGAGCCAAUGUGACGCCCGGAAAACAACCUGCAAAAAAUUAGAAUUUUUUUCUGUUUAUAUAGCUAACAUACAAAAAAAUAAAAGUUGAUAUGAUGAGCUAGAUCAUUGUUUGUACCGAUGUUAGGUCAAUCCGCAAGGUUACAAGUUGUAUCGUGAGGCAGGGCGGACCUCGGAAGACAAUCACUUAAUGUCCAUCUUUUCAAAAAAAAAAUAAUGUCCAUCAUUAGAAGAAGUGUUGUCCAGUGCACCCUCUUGCAUGAACAUGGGUGCCGAUUACUUGGAUGGGAUGUUAAUUACAUCAGCAUGUAGAAAUUAACUUCAAACUCAGUGCUCGUUGAGACAAUCUGUUGAAACAUUUUAUAAAUUUGUUUGAACAAACGUGUGUUUGUGUGAAUAUUCACUUUGAUAUAAAUGAACAUUCAAUUUGAUAUACUUGGACAUUUUCCUAGGAGAGUAUUUAAGGUUAACAAGUUUGAAUCAUGAAACUAUUUUUACAAUUUGUGAGAAUCACCAGUACAAAAUUAUACUACAUUUGAAAUAGAUAAAUAUUUUGUCUGGCAUAUAUGGGCAUUUCAUGCAGACGUACAAAGAAUAUCUGAAAUUGCAGAGAACAUUCCAAAAAUAUAUAUUACUCUUGUAGGCCCUAGCGUGCUGCGGAAGUUAUGCUAAUUUCAAGAAUCAGAAGUGAUCCACACAUUUGCGAAAUUAUGAUAUUUUCAUUGAUGAGUCUGUCGAUCCGUAGCAAUGGACGGGCACUGGUGUCGAAAACGAAAUCUACCCAAAUAAUAAAAGGAGGAACGCUUCCUUCGUCGUCGUCGUCGUCGUCCGUCCGUGAAUUUUGCAAUUUGCCCCUUCAAGUUUUUGUUAAUUCAACCCGCCGUCCAAAUAAAGGACGGAACUGGGUUUGUUUUCCAAGGUUUCGGCUAAACUGCAAUUUUGCAUCUCCUUCCACGGAUCUCUCCCCAACUCAUCCCCGAGUCCCCGACCCGCAUCUCGCCCUGCCUCCUGACGGGUUGGGACCCAAGGCGCUGUCCCGUCAUGGCACGGAUCUGGGUUUUUCUGCAAGUUUACCCCCCCCCCCUCCCCGCGCUCCCUCUCCAUCUACCGGCCCAAUAGCUGCAGCGGCGCUCUGGUUGCCACGAUGCUGCUCCACCUUCUACGGCCGAGCGCUCGCCUCCGCCCCGACACCGCGCAGCCGCCGGCCGUCCCCUCAUCCACACCGACCUCCUGCGCUUCACCGCCGCCGUUCACCCACCGCCCCUGAAGCUAGAGCGCCACACAUGGCCUCCUCCACCUCCGUCUCGCCUGCCGCUGCCGCCUUCUCCGGCAACAACCGAUGCCUCCUCCUUCCAUGUUCACUGCGUCACCUCCCUCGCAGCCGCUCGUGCCCGCGCUCAAGCUCCCGCAUCCGCUUCGCUGCCUGCCACGCCAAUACCCUCCUCUCAUCACCCGGGGCCAGGUGCCAUCCGCUACCGCGGCGUGGUCGUCUGCCUCCUCCGCUAGCGGGUUCUCUGUAUAGCUCCUCACGCACGGGCUGCCGCCGGGCAAGGUCGCCAUCCUGGAGCGCCCAGUGGCUAGCUCCGGUGGA